CAUAGAUAAUUCCUCCUACGUACCACAUCGAUUGAUUUGGAGAACCCCCCCCAUUGACCACAAUUCCAUGAAUUUCAUUACAAAAACUCCGCAAUCGUGCCUACGUCAAUAUAAUUACCAAAACGUUAUUAAGUGUGGAAUUAUAAAUAAGAGAUGAACUUCAAAUAAAUUACAAUCCUAUACAAUAUCCCGGACUGCAAGGUCAACACUCACUCAUUAGUUUGGAGGGGUACAUCAGGUGUUAUGAAAUUGAAUGUCCUCAAAUCAUAAGGUGAUACCUCUUUUUUGUGGGCAGCCAACCACAGGACAACCUUGGCCUGAAACAUUUAUUAACGCAACAAUUGAAAUUUUUAUGGGAAGACAUACCUAACAAAUUAUUACUUGUUGCUUGUUACUUUACCAGAUUUUGUUGAACUCCACUCAACAUUGUCUUCUUUCUACCAGGACGAGAAUCUAGCAGUUGGAUUCUCCUGUUUUCUAGGUCAUAUACAUACAAUGUCCAAUGGUUCUUUAUGAGAACCGGUAAGAAGACCUACACCAAUAGACUGCCAUUAAACAUACAUCUAAAUAUUGUACAUUCAUGCAAUAAAAAUACAAAUCCAAGCAUUAAACAUAGGAAUCCACCUCGUUAACAUUGACAUAUGGAAUAUCAAUCUGAUACAGAUGUGGUUCAAAGCGUCCAAUAACUGCCUCCCUCACUAAGUGUUUUGCCUGGGAGUGGAUUACCAUUUCCUGCAUGUCAAAUACGGGAUAAUAUCAGGUUUGUCAUUGUAGGUGAUGCCUGGUUCAAGACAAAAAAUAAAGAUAAGCAAGGAUUUAAUGGAUUAGUCAUCAUUACAGCUAUGUAGGGGGAUAGAAAAAGUUUCGACUUCGGUUCAUGUUGAUACUGCAACAAUCUACAGUAGGCAUCGACGACCUGAUUUCGUAUAUCAUAAAAGUGUAAGCAACAAAUUAUAUUAGAACGACACUUUCAUUUUCAAACUUAAAAUAAUACAUAAAGAGGGAUAAGAAAUGAUAUGCACGUCGUUUCCUAUCCACCCAUUCCCUUCGAAGCAGCCCAAAUUGCCUCUGGUUAGGAUAGUGUCAUGCAUAGACACUAGUUCCUCACUGUUACAAAAAAAUACAAUUUAGUUUUUAUGUUUUCACUAUCAUACAAUGAGAGGAGUGUCACUCAAGUAUGUUACCUUGCAUCCAAAUCGUCUCCAAAUACCAGUGCAGCUCCUUGUUUUAGGUCAAUUUUGAUGGCAGAUUGUUUCGUUUGUGGUUGGGAUAUGUAUGGGGACAACAGGUUUGGAGCCAUUCGACGCACUCGACGUCUCCGGACGUUUCUAUUUGUGGGGACAACAUUACCUUCUGGUUGUUCUUCACCAUCUGCAAUACGAGAUUUAGAACUAGUCAGCAAAGGUAUACAUUAUGAUUGGGUACUUGGGUUGUUAACCAUAUGGGUGUUUGCAUAAAUUUUAUCACUUACUGCUUACUACAUUAAUGGGUACACUGGGCUGCAACUCAUACUCAGGGGCGACAACGCGAUCUGGUGUGUCUAGCACAUGGUAUGCAGCAUGCGAAGCCAUGUACUCAUCACCAGGAAAUGCAUGGUCAUCGGCUGUGGGAGUGCUGGCUGGUGCAUAGCUAGAGUGACCACCCGCAUCUGAAUUUACCCCACUAUGUCUGCGAGUCCCUAACUUAUGCAUAAGGCCACGCAUUAUUCUCAGCUGCUGCUGAAUGCCCCUUUGAUAUUGGUCGAUUGCUCGUUCUGCAUCAUGAUAUUGAUGCCAUAUUUCCUAUGACAUGAUAUUGAUAUCAAUCUUUGAGAACAGAAUGUAACAACAACAUAUUUCUUUGUAGUUAAGAAGUAAAAAUAAAUUACAAUGACAAUGAAGUGAACAUUUAUUAAGUUUUUGAAAAAUUCACAGCUUACAUCACUAUUUUCAGCAUCAACAUUUGUGUCAUGGUCCACAUUAGUCUCUGGCUCCAUAGUUCUCUCUACGGUUGGAGAUCUCUGGGACGCCUAUAAUUAGCACUGAAGAUUAGUACUUAAAUAAUGAGUGUUAUGCUAGUAAUGACAAUAUAUUUAUGCAUGCAUAACUUACAAAAUCAAUCUCAGCAUGUCCGAAUGCUCCAAACUCCUUUAUCUCAGCGACUAGUCGUCGCUUAAUCAAAUCGUCAGUCCAUGCCAGUGCUGGGGGCACUGUAAAGGGGACUUGGACUGAAGGAAUUUUGAAUUUAAUGACAUAAUGCAGCUGCAAAAUAAAUAGAAACAUCAGUAGGCAAAUGUGAAUAUGUUGUGCAAUAAAAUUAGAUAACAAAAUGGAAGACAAAGACUGAAUAAGUUCACUACCUGAAGAAAUAAAACGCAGCCAUGUACCCAAGAGGUCUUAGAUUGUUGGUAUCGCCUAAUUCCCUCAACUAGUUGGUCAAGCACAAACUGGGCCCAAUUAACAUCAUUUCGGAAUCCAUCCUCAUGGAUGGUAUGCCACAAGUUACGGCAACCAUUGAGCCUAGACGUGGGGGCCAACAAUGUGGCACAUGCGUAGUAAAUGAAUGCUCUACGGAACUCCUCGCCUACAGGUAAGUCUAGGAGUUUCUCCUCGCAUGCCCGAAUAGUCCCAAAUGGAUGAUCUGAUGAUGUGGAGGUCACCUGCAAAUUCCGUCCUUCUGUUGGGAGGCCUAAAAUGAGGCCAACAUCGGUGGCUGUAACAGGAUAGUGUUUCUGGGCUGAGAACUCUAUCCGUCUAAAUCCAACAUUGAAAUGUUGGAUUAGAAAGAUACAGAGGUUGUGGCGCACCUCUGUGCAGUUUAAGUUUAAGAGACCUCCAAAUUGGAGGUCUCUUAUGGCUUGAAUUUUUGCCUCUGGUAAUCGGUUGCACAGUUUCUUAAAUCUUGCAGCUGAGCAUCGUGUAAACAUUGAUGUGCCCUGCAUGCAAUGUUUGAAAACAUGGACAUGUUAGGAAUAGCAACAUUCUUGCAGUUGGUAAUGCAAUAAAAUAAGUGAAAAAGUAAAGCUGUCAUUUCUCAAAGUUACAAAGAUUUGUCUGCUUGUAUUUAGAAAUAUACAGCAGGGUAAGACAUUAGAUGGGGUUGGGUGCUACUAACAGUGAGAUAUCCUGUAAGAGGGAGGAUUGAAAAUUUAUGAAUAAGGCUAUAUAGAAUAGGCAAUAACAGUCAAAAUGUACAGAAUAGACUAUAAAAGAAAAAAAUAAAUAUGAGAAUACUACAUGAUAUAUAAAAGAAAGAAAUCAAAUCAAUUUAUGGAAAUAAAUUGACUAAUUAUAUUAGAGAAAGAAACCAUCAACAAAUCAAUGAAUAAUCCUAUUUAACCUGCUCCUUUUGAUACUUCUGACAUACACAAAAUCUAGAGGAACUGCUAGAGCAAGCACUUUGCUACUGCCAUUGAACAUGGACAAGGUUUGGAAUCCAAGUUUCUGUUGAGAGUAUUCCCACAUGGUACUAACUAUCAGUGAAGAAUUGUACACUAUCAUUUGAUACCACAAAUCAUGUGUUUGACCAAAGUUCAUUCAUACCUAAGUUGUUAGCUGAGUGAGGAUUCAUGGGAAAAUAAAUGUAACCUAGGACUAUUAAUCUAAACUUGUGAAAGUUUUGAGGCUUGAAUCUGAUUCAAUGGCCAUAAUAAUCUAAAAUUUGCAGAAAAGAGGAAGUGGGCAUUUAAAAUAAGGUAAUGAUACACUAUGAAAUGCUACUACAUACUUUUUUGUAGAAUAGUAAACAAAGAGUAUGUUUACGCUUGAAAACAAGAAUAAAUAAGAUGAAUCCAUGAGUGUUGGAGAAUUAAAUGAAUGAAGAGGAGUUUGGAAACCAUACUUUAUGUUGGAGAAUAAAAGUUAUGUGCUAUGACUUUAUGUUUUUUUUUUCUGUUAACUUAUAGAAGUAUUUUCAUUGUUGUAAGGAUUCUGCAAGAAGAUAUACAUGAGCAAUUUUAAAUGUCUGUACUGCUCCUGGCAAAAGCCACAUUGGGUACAAGUUUGCCACAUCAGUUUGCUUGGUCAGUGCGUGAAUCACCGUAAAUGAAUUUAUGUAACUGGUUCAAAAUACUGGUAUAUGAAGUGUCUAGAGAGCUAUGCACCUUGCUUAAGUCAAUUGUUUGAAUCUUAGAGACAAAAAAUAAUACAGAAUUUGCCACCCGAAAAUAAGGUAUGUCCAGAGUCCAAGGCACUGAGAAAUUGGCAAGGCAUGGCUCUCCACCUUCAUAUUUAAAUCACUUAGAAAGUGAAGCAAAAAGAAGCCUAAUGUCUCAAUACCAUUGAGGUCCCCAUAAAUAAUUGUGAUCAUUUAACCCUGGAGACCUGGCUAAAGUGGCUACAGAGGUAAGGGUUACCUAUAACUCAAGUGGCUAAAGAGUUAAUCCCAUCCCCAUCACCAUUCCUACCAGAACACCUCUCUUUAUCCCUUCCUCUACCCUCCUCCCUCAUCCUAGAGGACAUGGUUUUUGCCUAUCCCCACAGCUGUAUAACGAAGACCAUUAGAUCCCUAAAGCAUAAUUGUAUAUGGUGUUAGUGAACCACAUUUUCUAUAUUACCAAAUUGAACACAAAUAUUACCCGACAACUUACAAAGCUGAUAUAAUAGUAUUUAAUAAAUAAACGUUGAAUUGUUAAAACUUCAAUAUUAGAGAACUUUCCAACAUAACUGAUACAUGGUAACUAUAAUAAGGGACAUGAAGAAAUCACUUAAAUUUCAUGCAUAAUAUAUAUAUAUACUAACUUAAAAGGUAUCUGAAAAUGAAAAUUUCAUAAAAGGAUUUCAGAUUAUAUAUAAACAAGGGAGUAAUUUGUUCACACCAAUUCAAAUAUGUAAAAUAUCAUAAAAUGAAAUUUCACCCAUUUUGAGACCAACAUGCAUUCUGAUUUAUGUUCUGACAAUACAUUAAAAUUGCAUGACUAUAGAUUAUAAGUUCUUGUGGCACUGUACUACAGAAGCGAAAACCUCUCAAAUAGUAUGUUGGCAACGGAAGAAUGCAAAAAACAACAAAGAUAAGCAAGUAUGAUGAACCAUACCGAGAGUGGGAGUGAACUGGCAGCAGAACCAUCUAAGCCAUUACCAACCAUUGUUAAUAUUAGAACUGCAUCAUUGGGCAUAGAAAAGUAGAAUGUAAUGCACAGAUAAACUGACCAACUGAAUAACUAGACAGCAAGUAUAGUACAAUACUAUGAAAGUUCAGCUAAGUGAUAAGAAAAAUGCACGCAUCCAAUGAUGUGAGUAGGACAUACUUAAAAUAGGGAAGUGAAAGUAUACAUCAAGUUAAAGGAUACCACAUUGAAAGUGCAAUUUCAAAUUAAAUCAGUAAUGAAAGCAACUCCAAAUCAUGAAAAUUAAAAAGUAGUCUUAUAAAAAAUAAAAUCAAAAGGUAGUGCAUCGUGUCUAUAAUAAGGACAAUACAUAACAUCCAAAAGCAACAACCUUAUGACCAUAAAGCAAAUAAUGGAACAAUGAGGGAUCGUACACAAAAUGAAAACCUUACAAGCAAAGAAAUGAACAUGUCACGGCAAUGGAUUAUUACAUUUAGACCGAUUGUGACCUAUGCCAUUGCAUCGAGAGCAAUGAAUAGCUCUCUUAUGGCUAAAUUGUGACUCAAUACGCCUUUGUCGGGGUCUUCCUGGAGGACGUCUCACUUGCGGGGGUUGGAGACUAGGAAAUACGUUGCCUUGCCCAUCUUGCAAAGUCCCAACCUCACAAACUUUAGGCAUGUUGUGUGUUGGUAAUGGUUGAAACUGACCCGAGUAAAUCAACUGUUGGGUGGAGACUUUAAAACAUGGGUCGAUAUAGUCAUACACAUCGUGUCUCAAUGUACGGAUCACAGCACAUACAUGUGGACAUGGCAACCGGACAUUUGCCAUGUUAGACAUGUACACUUAUGUUGCUGCAUAUCCACAACCAAAUAAACUUCUCUAGUAAAAACCUUGAACGUCCCACCCAAAUAAGGCAUCACAGUAAUCGGAGCAGAUCUCGUGAUAUUUGACAUUAGGUUUUCCUCUGUUUUGGGUCCAACCACGCUCUUCCACUUAUCUGUACCACGCAUAUGGGUGUCCAACAUGGCUACAAGCUUAUCCAUGUGCAUCAUCAGCAACGUAUAAAUUGUUUGGUGGCGUUCCUCUCUUAACCACGCAUUAAAGGACUCUGCAAUAUUAGUUGUCAUUUUAUCCCAACGUUUUUUAAGGAACUUUGACAUCGCCCAAUGCUCCAGACUAUUCUCCACAACCCACCUUGCUAGGUCGCCAUUAAAACACACAAGUUUUUCAAACGCCUCAUUGUAGUCUAUAUCCAACCGAGCAUAUGCAAUGUUGUCUAAAAGCAACAAAGCAUCUUCUUUCCCUUUCUUUCCCCUAAUGUUUUGCCUGUUGAAGAAGCUUGAAAAGUUCUCUUUCACAUGUCGAUAACAAUAGGCGUGAUUUUUUACCUGAUUACUACCAAAAAGUGCUUUUUUGUAGACCUAAUUAUAAUGGUUUUAAGCACCUUUGAGUAGUAAUCAUAUUCAUUUAACCCAAUUAAUUCAUUAAGGUCCUUAGUGAUUGGUUUUAACCUUUUUGUGGCAAGUUGACAUGUUUUUAUCAGCUUAUGAAUCGAUUCAAGCAUGCCAAUUGAUGGAGGAGCUAUUUGGGCGAGUUAAGCAAGGAUUUUGGACGAUUACAGGCUUGAAUUUCAAGUGGAAACACGAGCACAAGCAAUGGAGAAGAGGAAAACAGAGUGAAGAAAACAGAAUGAAGAAACACCUUGCGAAAAUUUCGCAAGGUAGAUUUAGGCACAUUGCGAAAUUCCUUUGAAUCUCCUGUUUUGAGACGUUGUUGAUGUUAUUCCACUACCGGUUCUCCAAGAUAUUUUGCUUGAUUUUUAGCUUUGUAAAUACCUAUUUUACCCUUGUAAUCAACCAAUGAAUAGGUUGCUUUUGUAAUAGCUCUUGUAAUUUAGCUUGUUAUUGUCUUUAAAUAGAGGUGAAGAGCCUCAGACAAUCAUCAUCUAAUCUUGUAACCUGUAACUUUAUAAGUUAUAAGAUCACUUUUGUUCAUACGUUUCUUUUCUCUUUUCUUUCUCAUUUUCUUAGUAGCCAAACAUCNNNNNNNNNNNNNNNNNNNNNNNNNNNNNNNNNNNNNNNNNNNNNNNNNNNNNNNNNNNNNNNNNNNNNNNNNNNNNNNNNNNNNNNNNNNNNNNNNNNNNNNNNNNNNNNNNNNNNNNNNNNNNNNNNNNNNNNNNNNNNNNNNNNNNNNNNNNNNNNNNNNNNNNNNNNNNNNNNNNNNNNNNNNNNNNNNNNNNNNNNNNNNNNNNNNNNNNNNNNNNNNNNNNNNNNNNNNNNNNNNNNNNNNNNNNNNNNNNNNNNNNNNNNUCCCAAAAUCUCCAUUUUUACACAGUGAGUUAAGCAUGGCUAUCCAAAGCUUUGAGAAACUUCUUUUUCCAUCUUUUAACCUAUUUUCAUGUUAGUUUAGUUUACAACACCUUCAUCUUUUUAUGUUUUCAUCUUAACCUACUUUUUAUUAAGAAAAGUUCACUCCAUCCUCCGAACUUCACCAGUUAAAGUAAAAACCCUUCCCAGUGUUCGAUCCUAGAGCCACUAUGCUAUAGUAGCUUUGCUACUUUAGUGUAAGGACCUUAGGUAUAAAUUUUGUUGAUACCCUUACAUGCCAAGCUACCAAGAGUCGGGUUAUCAAAUGGCGCCGCUGCCGGGGAGGGUGCUACUUCACUGUGAAUAAAUCAGCCGGAGGUAACUUGUGAGACUUCUCAUGAGUAAGGUGAAUUCUAUCUCAUUUUUCAUUUACUAACUUUUUAUUUUAGUUUUAGAACAUUUUUAACUUAGUUUAGAUAAGUUUCUUUUAGCUUUUAACUUUCAUUUUUAGUUUAUUUUUCAUACUCUGUUUUUCCUUCCGCAUGCUCUGUUUUUUUCUUCUUUUUCUUUGUUUUGUUUAUUUGUUUUGUUCCAGCUGAAUCCGUGCAUGCCCUAUUGGAUUAGAGACCAAGAGGGAAGGUUAGUGUGGAUAGAGACUCCACGAGCUACUGAAUUAGAAAUUAUUUUGGAAGUCAUGGAGAAUCAGCCAGAGGAUCAACAUUCACAACACGGGCAGGGGAAUGAUCCGAACUUGUAUAGGUCCAUGAGGGACAGGAUGCACCCUCCGAGGAUGAGUGCACCAUCUUGCAUCAUUCCUCCUACAGAGCAAUUGAUUAUCAGGCCACACAUCGUGCCUCUGCUUCCUACUUUCCAUGGGAUGGAAAGUGAAAAUCCAUAUGCGCACAUAAAGGAGUUCGAAGAUGUGUGCAAUACUUUUCAAGAAGGAGGAACAGCUAUUGAGCUUAUGAGGUUGAAGCUCUUUCCAUUCACAUUAAAGGACAAGGCCAAGAUAUGGCUCAAUUCCUUGAGGCCGAGAAGCAUAAGAACAUGGACAGAACUUCAAGCUGAUUUUUUGAAGAAGUUUUUCCCUACUCACAGAACAAAUGGAUUGAAGAGACAAAUCUCCAACUUCUCAGCACGUGAGAAUGAAAAAUUUUAUGAAUGCUGGGAGAGGUAUAUGGAGGCCAUCAAUGCAUGUCCUCACCACGGCUUUGAUACAUGGCUUUUGGUGAGCUAUUUUUAUGAUGGCAUGUCAUCUUCAAUGAAGCAGAUAUUGGAGACAAUGUGUGGGGGCGAUUUCAUGAGCAAGAACCCUGAGGAGGCUAUGGAUUUCCUAAGUUAUGUCUCAGAGGUUUCCCGUGGAUGGGAUGAGCCCACUAACAGAGAAAUGGGGAAGAGGCCAGUUCAGCAAAUGUCAAGAGUCGGGUUAUCAAAUGAUGGAGGUUCCACCGAGAUGUACAGUCUGAGUGAAGACAUGGAGAUGAAAGCCAAGGUAGCUGCCAUGGCUAGAAAAAUAGAGGAAAUGGAGUUGAGAAAAGUUCACGAAGUCCAAGCUAUUUCAGAACCUCAACAACCAGCCAAUCCUUGCUCCAUAUGUCAGUCAUUUGAACAUAUGGUGGAAGAAUGUCCCACCAUUCCGGCAGCAAGAGAAAUGUUUGGGGAACAAGCUAACCUGAUUGGCCAAUGGAAGCCAAAUUCAAAUGCUCCCUAUGGCAACACGUACAACUCUAACUGGAGGAAUCACCCAAACUUUGCAUGGAAGCCAAGGCCAAACUCAUAUCAGUCACCAGCCCAAUCAAGCCAACAGAGUCAAGGUCAAUCCUCAGUUGAGCAAGCACUCAUAAGCCUUAGCAAGGUUAUGGGUGACUUUGUGAGUGAGCAAAAAUCCAUCAACUCUCAACUAAAUCAAAAGAUUGACAACGUAGAGAGUACAUUGAACAAGAAGAUAGAUGGGAUGCAUAAUGAGUUGUCUCAGAAAAUUGAUAACAUCCAAUAUUCCAUCUCAAGGCUCACAAAUUUGAACACUGUCAAUGAGAAAGGGAAGUUUCCCUCUCAGCCUCACCAAAAUCCUAAGGGGAUACAUGAAGUGGAAUCCAAAGACGAGGAUUCUUCAAAGGUGAGAGACGUGCAAGCUAUUAUCACUUUGAGAAGUGGUAAGGAAGUGCAUCAGCCGGAGCAUGAUCAGAGGAAAGCCAAAGAAGACAAGGCUGAUAGAAAUGAAGAAAAGAAGAAUGAACAAAAGGGAAAGGAAGUUCAGAUGAAAGAAAGCAUCAUUCCUAGCAUGGAUGAGGAACCUCAAAUUCUUUUAAAGGAAGGCAUGAUGAAGAAGCACAUGCCUCCUCCAUUUCCUCAAGCCUUGCGUGGGAAGAAACCGAUCAAGAAUGCUUCUGAGAUUCUUGAUGUGCUAAGACAAGUGAAGGUGAAUAUUCCUUUACUUGAUAUGAUCAAGCAAGUACCCACAUAUGCAAAGUUUUUGAAGGACUUGUGCACUGUGAAAAGAGGACUCAAUGUUACAAAGCAAGCCUUCCUAACUGAGCAAGUGAGUGCUAUAAUCCAAUGCAAGUCUCCAAUCAAAUACAAAGAUCCUGGGUGUCCUACAAUCUCAGUCAAUAUUGGAGGAACCCAAGUGGAGAAGGCAUUGCUUGAUUUGGGGGCAAGUGUUAACUUGCUUCCAUACUCUGUAUACAAGGAGCUGGGGUUGGGAGAACUCAAGCCAACAUCGAUCACCCUAUCCUUAGCUGACCGAUCAGUGAAAAUCCCCAGGGGGGUAAUAAAGGAUGUAUUGGUUCAAGUUGACAAAUUCUACUAUCCAGUAGAUUUUGUGGUGCUUGAUACGGAUCCCAUUGUCAAAGGGAUCAACUAUGUUCCAAUCAUCCUUGGAAGACCAUUCCUUGCAACAUCCAAUGCAAUCAUCAAUUGUAGGAAUGGGGUCAUGCAACUCACUUUUGGGAAUAUGACAUUGGAACUCAACAUCUUCCAUCUAUGUCAAAAGCACAUCCAUCCUGAAGAAGAUGAGGGCCCGGAAGAAGUGUGUAUGAUAGAUACCCUGGUGGAGGAGCAUUGUAAUCAGAGUAUCCUUGAUCAGUUUGAAGAGAAUUCAGAUGAAAGCCAUGAAGAUCUUGAUGAUGGGUUAGCUGAACCCAUGGGAAUGAAUGCCAUUAUGUCAAACUGGAGACAAAAGCCAGUGAUCCUCCCUUUGUUCAAGGAUGAGGAAGAGAUGAAAGAAGCUAAGGAUGCAAUCUUUAAGCUUGAAUUGAAGACCCUUCCUGCCGAGUUGAAGUAUGCUUACUUGGAGGAAGGCAAUAAAGCCCCGGUGGUAAUUUCUUCUUCUUUAACCGUUUCACAAGAGGACAAUCUUCUGAGAAUCCUUAGAAAGCAUAAGAAGGCCAUCGGAUGGCAAAUUUCUGAUUUGAAGGGGAUAAGCCCAUUGAUUUGCACGCACCAUAUUUAUAUGGAGGAGGAAGCUAAGCCAACUCGUCAGCCACAGAGGAGAUUGAAUCCUCAUAUGCAAGAGGUAGUAAGGGCUGAAGUGUUGAAGCUUCUUCAAGCGGGCAUCAUUUACCCCAUUUCGGAUAGCACUUGGGUGAGUCCAACCCAAGUUGUUCCAAAGAAGUCCGGGAUAACCGUAGUCAAGGGGGAAAAUGGAGAUGAAGUGUCCACACGCCUCACAACUGGUUGGAGGGUGUGCAUUGACUAUAGGAAGCUGAACGCAGUAACGAGAAAGGAUCACUUCCCUUUACCUUUCAUGGAUCAAGUCCUUGAGAGAGUAUCUGGGCAUCCUUUUUAUUGCUUCUUGGAUGGGUAUUCUGGGUAUUUUCAAAUAGAGAUUGAUGUGGAGGACCAGGAGAAGACUACCUUCACUUGUCCAUUCGGCACCUAUGCUUAUAGGCGGAUGCCUUUUGGAUUAUGCAACACUCCUGCUACCUUCCAAAGAUGCAUGCUUAGCAUCUUCAGUGACAUGGUUGAAUGAAUCAUGGAAGUCUUCAUGGAUGACAUAACUGUGUAUGGGACUUCUUUUGAGGAUUGUUUGUCACAUCUUGAAGAUGUUUUGAAAAGAUGCAUAGAGAAAGACCUCGUACUCAAUUGGGAGAAGUGCCAUUUUAUGGUAAAUCAAGGUAUUGUUCUUGGGCACGUAAUCUCAAAGAAGGGUAUAGAGGUAGAUAGAGCUAAGGUGGAACUAAUUGUGAAGUUGCCACCUCCCACCAAUGUAAAAGGAAUAAGGCAAUUCCUUGGGCAUGUCGGGUUCUAUAGGAGGUUUAUAAAGGAUUUUUCCAAGAUUGCCAAACCUCUUUGUGAGUUAUUGGUGAAGGAUGCCAAGUUUGAGUGGGAUGAUAAAUGUCAAAGGAGUUUUGAGCUUCUUAAGCAAUUCUUGACAUCAGCGCCCAUUGUGAGAGCACCAAAUUGGGAGUUGCCAUUUGAAGUGAUGUGUGACUCAAGUGAUUAUGCUAUUGGGGCUGUUUUGGGACAAAAAGAAGAUGGCAAACCUUAUGUGAUCUACUAUGCAAGCAAGUCUUUGAAUGAUGCUCAAAAGAAUUACACCACCACUGAGAAGGAAUUACUUGUUGUGGUGUAUGCUUUGGAUAAGUUCAGAGCUUAUUUGAUNNNNNNNNNNNNNNNNNNNNNNNNNNNNNNNNNNNNNNNNNNNNNNNNNNNNNNNNNNNNNNNNNNNNNNNNNNNNNNNNNNNNNNNNNNNNNNNNNNNNNNNNNNNNNNNNNNNNNNNNNNNNNNNNNNNNNNNNNNNNNNNNNNNNNNNNNNNNNNNNNNNNNNNNNNNNNNNNNNNNNNNNNNNNNNNNNNNNNNNNNNNNNNNNNNNNNNNNNNNNNNNNNNNNNNNNNNNNNNNNNNNNNNNNNNNNNNNNNNNNNNNNNNNNNNNNNNNNNNNNNNNNNNNNNNNNNNNNNNNNNNNNNNNNNNNNNNNNNNNNNNNNNNNNNNNNNNNNNNNNNNNNNNNUUGGGAUGUCACCAUACCGUCUUGUUUAUGGCAAAGCUUGCCAUCUUCCCGUUGAGAUCGAGUUCAAGGCAUGGUGGGCCAUUAAAAAACUCAACAUGGAUUUAACUAAGGCUGGGCUAAAGAGGAGUUUGGAUUUAAAUGAGCUUGAGGAAUUGAGAAAUGAUGCCUAUCUCAACUCAAAAAUAGCUAAGGAAAAGCUAAAGAGAUGGCAUGAUCAGUUGGUGACCAAGAAAGAAUUUUUCAAGGGACAAAGAGUCUUGCUAUAUGACUCUAAGCUUCACCUAUUUCCGGGAAAGCUCAAAUCAAGGUGGGUAGGGCCUUUUGUCAUCCACCAAGUACACUCACAUGGAGUAAUUGAGUUACUCAACUCAAAUAGUGCAAAGACCUUCAAGGUAAAUGGGCAAAGACUCAAGCCCUACAUCGAGCCAUUUUCCCGUGACAAGGAGGUACUCAUCCUCCAUGACCCAUCACAUCCUUGAGAAAGUGUGGUAAGUUGAUGAGCUUAGCAUGAAAAGCUAAGUGCUCAUCUCUUUUUGUUUUAAUUUUAGUAGUACAUUCUUGUUUACUUUGCAUUUUUAGUACUUUUGCACAUAUUUUGUUUAGGUUUCUUAGUUUUGAUUUUGUUUUUUUUAUGUUUUUAAUGGAGCUUUGAUGUCCAAUAGCAGGUACGAAAGCUCACAAGCUCACAAAUGUGGAGAGAAAGGUGAAAUAAGGGAGAAAUAUAUCUAAGUCCAAGCUUAAAAGCCCAUUUCGCAACUCAAAAAGUGAGUUGCGAAAUGCACAUUUUGGCAAGAUGCAAAAUGCAACCUCUCGGGAUUGCACUUUCGCAAGGAGUAACCAGUGCGAAAAUUUUCGCAAGUCAUUUUUCACCUUGCGAAAUUGUUUUCAAAGCAAAUAUCAAAAUGCAACCUCUCGGGAUUGGUUUUUAAGGGGAGUAGCCAGUGCGAAAAUUUGGCAAGGUGAAUUUUCACCUUGCGAAAUUUCCAGCACUCCGCCAUGCUCUCUCAAAUCCACCAUCACCUGGACAUAUCACCUCCUCCACCUCAGGAGCCACAUCCAUGAUUGGAUAUUUCUAUCUCCAUUUUGUAUAUGUUUUUCUGUAUAUGUACAUGUUUUAUAUUCUGAGAUUGUAUGUACCUCAUGCUUAUAUCUUGUACUCAACUCUCUCAGUUUAUAUAAGCAUCAUUUUUUGUAUCUUAUUUCCUCUCUCACGUUUCUUAUGGUUUUUGAAUCAUGUGGAUGCACUCACACGCUUUGAAUACCACAUCACCAUAAGGUAUAUCAUUCCUUCCUCGUAUUUUUCGAUAGAAACAUUGGGGACAAUGUUCAUCUCGGUUGGGAGGAGAGUUGAGGAAGUAAGUAUUUCCUAUUCUAGUUAGUUAUUUUGUUGAUUUAGUAGUUUUUGCCCUUUUUCAAAAUUUUUUGUUUCAUUCUCUAUGGUUGUUAAAGAUAAUUUCUCAAAAUAAAAUAGGAUAAGUCGAGUUUUAACUUAAUUACUUAAGUCUUAGAGUUUGUUUUAUGCUUUCAAAGUUGAUAAUCUAUUGAAGCCCUCUUUGAUUUCGAACUUAUUUCUUCCAUUUCAAGCUUUACACACACCAUGCACAUUAGAUCCCGGAUUUAUGAUGUAAAACUUUCUCACCCUCUAAGCUUAGGAAAAUUUUGACUUGGUUUAUUACUUAACCUCUUUUUAAUAGUGUUGGGACACCUCAAAAAGACCAAUAAGUCUUAGAAAAAGAAAAAGAGAAAAAGAAAAAGGAAAAGAGAAAAAGAAAAAGAAAAAGAGAAUAAGCUUCUAUUCUUUCCUUGAAACCUAAGCAUGAUCCGAAGGGGUGGCGAAAGCCUUUAAAACCCGAUGCCCUAAACCUUGAUUGGUUGGGAGUCAUCGAUCCUCUGCUUGCUACAUAGGUGAAUUGGUUAAGUUUAGUGAGUAAAAAGAAUUGUGAAUAAGAAGGUGCGUUCCUAACCUAUUAAGAGUUGGUUAAUUUUGCCAAUGUCCGAGAAAAGCUUAGGUUGGGGGGAGAGGAUAGUUGUGCAUACUAUAUCCGGAAGCUAAUCUCAUUAACACUUAGCUCAUUAUGGAAGAGUUUGAUCCGGAACCUUGAGAGUAGAGAUUCUUUUGAUACUUAAUUGCAUAAUCUCCACUCUUUGUACUUUUUGUUUAAGUUUUAGCUUUGACAACUCCUAUUGCAUUUUGAAUCUUCGUAUCUUUAGUUCACCAUGUGAGAUGUGUUUUGAUUUCAGUCAUCCCACUCAAUUAUUUUUUGGAGUGAUUUUCAUGAUCCCUUUUAUGUAUAUUAUUAUAGUUUACUUAGUUUUUAUCUCCUCCAUUGCUAAGGGACUAGCAAUGAGUCGGUUGGGGGGUGUGAUUACUACCAAAAAGUGCUUUUUUGUAGACCUAAUUAUAAUGGUUUUAAGCACCUUUGAGUAGUAAUCAUAUUCAUUUAACCCAAUUAAUUCAUUAAGGUCCUUAGUAAUUGGUUUUAACCUUUUUGUGGCAAGUUGACAUGUUUUUAUCAGCUUAUGAAUCGAUUCAAGCAUGCCAAUUGAUGGAGGAGCUAUUUGGGCGAGUUAAGCAAGGAUUUUGGACGAUUACAGGCUUGAAUUUCAAGUGGAAACACGAGCACAAGCAAUGGAGAAGAGGAAAACAGAGUGAAGAAAACAGAAUGAAGAAACACCUUGCGAAAAUUUCGCAAGGUAGAUUUAGGCACAUUGCGAAAUUCCUUUGAAUCUCCUGUUUUGAGACGUUGUUGAUGUUAUUCCACUACCGGUUCUCCAAGAUAUUUUGCUUGAUUUUUAGCUUUGUAAAUACCUAUUUUACCCUUGUAAUCAACCAAUGAAUAGGUUGCUUUUGUAAUAGCUCUUGUAAUUUAGCUUGUUAUUGUCUUUAAAUAGAGGUGAAGAGCCUCAGACAAUCAUCAUCUAAUCUUGUAACCUGUAACUUUAUAAGUUAUAAGAUCACUUUUGUUCAUACGUUUCUUUUCUCUUUUCUUUCUCAUUUUCUUAGUAGCCAAACAUCCUUGGAGGAUGAAAUCCCCAAGGAUGAGAGGCUAAAACCUUUUAGUUUCUUGAAGUAAUGGAUGCCAUGUGAAGCUCCCGUGUCAGGAUGGAGAUUUCCAAGCCAUGAAUGUAAGUAGUUGAGCGUCAUAAAUGUUUUCAUUCAAAGUAAAGCUUUUAAUCCCUCUAACUUGCUUUGAAUGGCCAAUACUUGAUAACCUUUUGGUCUCAGUGGAUUCUUAUUGUUAGAUCCACUGACGUUCAUUAGUUAUCCCCUACGAGCCAUUGUAUUGCAAGUCGAGGAGAUGACCUAUAUCAUUAAAAGGGCAUUUAUGAGGUUCAGCUACCCUUUUUGUAAGUUUUCAAGGACUAAAACUCAGUUGUUAAACUCAUACCGGUUCGAGAAGUAAGCAUCACCUUAGUUGCUUCCCCAACUCGAGGUGAAAAGUCCCAAAAUCUCCAUUUUUACACAGUGAGUUAAGCAUGGCUAUCCAAAGCUUUGAGAAACUUCUUUUUCCAUCUUUUAACCUAUUUUCAUGUUAGUUUAGUUUACAACACCUUCAUCUUUUUAUGUUUUCAUCUUAACCUACUUUUUAUUAAGAAAAGUUCACUCCAUCCUCCGAACUUCACCAGUUAAAGUAAAAACCCUUCCCAGUGUUCGAUCCUAGAGCCACUAUGCUAUAGUAGCUUUGCUACUUUAGUGAAAGGACCUUAGGUAUAAAUUUUGUUGAUACCCUUACAUGCCAAGCUACCAAGAGUCGGGUUAUCACUACCCCAAACAACUCCGAAACACUACGCAAUAUCCCUUGAUGUCUAUCUGAUAUAAUAAUUACUUCUUGACCAUCUAGGAUCCCCUUCAAUUUCUCCAAGAACCAAUACCAAUCCUCAUAAUUUUCUGAACCAACCACACCCAAGGCUAGAGGGAACAUUCCAUCAUCUGCAUCAUAUGCAAUGGCAGACAAAAGAGCUCCUUUGUAUGGACCACUUAGGUGGCAAGAAUCAAUAGCCAAUAUCGGUCGACACCCCAUGGUGAACCCUUGAAUUGAAAAUGCGUGGGCAAUGAACAAUUGCUUGAAGUGACCUUCAUGAGAAGUGUACUCGGCAAUAGUUCCAGGGUUAAUUUCCCUUAGCCUAUGGCAUAACCAAGGCAAAUACGCGUAGGACGCACGUGGAGAUCCAUAUACACGCUCUUUUGCCUUCUCUUUAAGAUGCCAUGCUUGGUUAUAAGUCAAUUGAACUCCAUGAUCACGUUCAAAAUCCUUGCAAAUUUGUCGAGGAAGGUAUUCUAGAGUUGUUCUAAACACGUCUUCAACAACAACAGCACCUCUCUUGGAAGAAACCCGUACCUUAGAUGAACACUCAUCUUGAGCUAUAUGAUUAUGAUUAACUUGGUAAGUAUAAACUCGCAAUAUUUCAUUUCCUUCAACAGCAUGAGUUGUUAUCUUCCAAGGACAAUCCUCAACCGAACACUUUACUGACAUAUGUGUAGGUGAAUUUUUCUUGUACUUGUAUUGAAACCUUCCAGCUAAUGACAUUUGGUAUAUUGCAUUCCGAAACUCAUCUGCAUUCUUAAAUGUAUGUCCGGAACCUAAUAUUGCCUCACGAAACCGAUUCGAUUCCAAAAGGGUGUACUCAGUAUCUGCACAACGCGAUGCAAAACCUCUUAAUAACAUCAUAGUAUUAGGAUUUGCAUCGCAUGAUGCAUUAGACGAAGGAAACGUAGGAUGUGGACCUCUGCAUUUACAUUCAUAACCAAAAUUAGACUACAUAAUGCGUAAAAUUGAUAUUCAUCACAUUUUAAAUAGACAUCCAAGUGAAAACGCAUUACCCAAGUGCCAACUGUGUAUUCGGUAUAUUUGCCUCUAUGGCUUCCACACCGGGUGACUCGACUAUGUACACAUUUGCAAAGUCAUCACUGUGGGAAACCACGUUAUCCAAGUCAUCCUCAUCUUCUAAAUCUUGGAUGACUCUAGGGUUAAACUUGAGGGUGUAGUGCAUCCUCAUCACAUGAAGGGAAAUGUCGAAUUUUUCUAAGACCUUCUGAGUGAAUUCUUCAAAUGUCAUUCCUUUAUAAAUGUGAAUACCUUUGCUUCUUCCACCAACAUAUUCCCAAAGGCCAUCAUUUUUUUGGACAAGUUUGCCUCCCACGAAAAUAUAACAGUAUAUUCUAUUUGUGGCAUCCAUCAACCUAUUGAAAUAAAGCACAAAUUUAUAUUGUUGAACAAACAAUAAUGCAUAUUCAAUGUGAUCUUAAAAGUUUUUUCAUCUCACAAUAUACUAUGUUCCCAUACAAAAAAGUUAUAUUUUAAAAAAUGUAUAUACAAAAAAAUGUAACUUUAAAGUCUUAAAAAAUAAUUUUUGUUGCUCCUUUUGAUUAUUCUAACCAUUGUCAACGGUAAGAUUAUUUUAAGAUAGGCACUAAUAAACAAACGGUGAGUUGAACUAAGAUAUGAAGACCGAGCUUCUCUCUUCUCUUGNNNNNNNNNNNNNNNNNNNNNNNNNNNNNNNNNNNNNNNNNNNNNNNNNNNNNNNNNNNNNNNNNNNNNNNNNNNNNNNNNNNNNNNNNNNNNNNNNNNNNNNNNNNNNNNNNNNNNNNNNNNNNNNNNNNNNNNNNNNNNNNNNNNNNNNNNNNNNNNNNNNNNNNNNNNNNNNNNNNNNNNNNNNNNNNNNNNNNNNNNNNNNNNNNNNNNNNNNNNNNNNNNNNNNNNNNNNNNNNNNNNNNNNNNNNNNNNNNNNNNNNNNNNNNNNNNNNNNNNNNNNNNNNNNNNNNNNNNNNNNNNNNNNNNNNNNNNNNNNNNNNNNNNNNNNNNNNNNNNNNNNNNNNNNNNNNNNNNNNNNNNNNNNNNNNNNNNNNNNNNNNNNNNNNNNNNNNNNNNNNNNNNNNNNNNNNNNNNNNNNNNNNNNNNNNNNNNNNNNNNNNNNNNNNNNNNNNNNNNNNNNNNNNNNNNNNNNNNNNNNNNNNNNNNNNNNNNNNNNNNNNNNNNNNNNNNNNNNNNNNNNNNNNNNNNNNNNNNNNNNNNNNNNNNNNNNNNNNNNNNNNACACCAAAAACAUUAGAAUUAUGGAACUAUAAGACAUUCAAUAGGAAAUAAUCCCCCACGUUUUAUUAAGCUCUGACCUAUACUUACACUAGGUAGAAAACAAAUUCUCAUUCUCACUCAAACCCUUAGACAAUUUCUGUUGGUACUACUAUAUCAGACAUGCCUACAAACUUAUUCAAAGAGAAUGGAGAUAUUUAAAUAUUAAUUAUAAAGCGUUGCUUUUCAAAAUAAUAUGAAGAGAUAAUAGCCUAAAAAAUGUAACAAAUACAGAAUUCUCUUCUAAACUAUCAUGUCCUACUUUAGAUGAUUCAUACAAAACCAUAAGCAAUAGUUUAACACAUUUAAGGUUUAAGGGUAAAAAAAACUAAUAGAUAAAAAGAGAUAAAUCUGUUACUUGUGCCUACAUCUCAAGCCAAUGCACCAUAAGAAAACUUUAGGGUUUUUAGGUUAUUCAUUUCCCCUUUCCAUUUUUCCUCUCCUGGUUUUCUAGCAACCAAUUAAACAAUUAUAAAUUAUUUUCAAGUAUAUAUGACAAUUUUUCACAAAUAUUUUUUUGAAUUUAAAAUAUACAAAUACCAUGAAAAAAAAUCUAAAAAAAAUUACAAAAAUAUAAUCAGAUCGAUUAAGCCAUGAAUCAUGAGUUGCAGGUAAAGUGCAUUUUCUGUAUUCUCAAGGAUUAAAGAAAAAAUUAUGGUUCAAAAUUUUUCCUUUCUUUUUCUCAUUACUUUCUCAGCAUCCGAAUAAUAGUACCAAACCAAGAUGUCAAUUAUUGAAUGGGAACACUAACUUGAACUCCGGAGAUCAAGUUGAACACAGUUUAGAGAUUUGGACUAAGAAAAUUUAGGUCGAGAUUUAGGCAAUCUACUAACCUCAAAUAUGCAACAAGAGAGACCCAACUGAAAUCCAUACCUUAUUCAAAUUCUCGAGAGAGACGGAUGCGAGAAAAAAUGAAAGAGUCGCAGAGAUUGAGAUGCAAGCGAUGGAGGUGCUCGGGAGGAAGAGAAGAAAACGGCUUCUAGGCUUGAAAUGCUGAAGAGACCAAAAUUUAGGCAAUCUACUAACCUCAAAUAUGCAACAAGAGAUACCCAACUGAAAUCCAUACCUUAUUCAAAUUUUCGAGACAGCCGAAUGUGAGAAAAAAUGAAAGAGCCGCAGAGAUUGAGAUGCAAGCGAUGGAAGUGCUCGAGAGGAAGAGAAGACAACGGCUUCUAGGCUUGAAAUUGCUGAAGAGAGACCAAAAUUAGGGCAAAAUUCCAAAAAGCCACAGAGAUUGAGAUGCAAGCGAUGGAGAAACUCGGGAGGAACAGAAAAAACGGCUUCUAAGCAGAGAAGAAAACGACUUCUAGGUAGAGAAGAAAACGGCUUCUAGGCAAAGAAGAAAUCGGUUUCUAGACAGAGAAGAAAACGACUUCUAGGCAGAGAAGAAAACGACUUCUAGGCAGAGAAGAAAAUGGCUUAUAGGCUUGAAAUGCUGAAGAGAGCAAAAUUAGGGCAAAAUUCCCAAGAGCCGCAGACAAAGAGAAGAAAACGGAGGCUUGAAAUCUGAAGAGACAUAGGGCAAAAUUCCAACCUGGCUUUUUUUGUUUAUUAUAUUUUUUUUUUUCAUAAUCAGCAAAGGUUAUUUUUGGAAUUAAUAAAAGUGCAUAUCCUUCUUUUUAAUUUUGACACUUCCUAUGGGUUUUCAGCUUAAAUGGGUCGGUUAGAUGGACCAUUUCUUAAUUUUUGGGCCCAGCUGGGCCCAAAACACAAUUCUCCCUUCAUCAAUUAGCGUCAAGUCACUCACAUCAAAGCUUCAUUCAGAAUAACCACCUUGAUGGGCCUUAAUGUAAUUAAGGAAUGUGGAAUUGGUCCAGUGUAUGUUAAUGAAGAGAUGAAUUACUCUAUCUUCACUCCUAAUGAGUCAUCUGUUGUCCUUCAAGAAAUCCAUGAGGAGGGACCUAGUGCAAGCGGGUGCUCUAAUAUUGAACUCUGAUUACUAUUCUGCUGAUGAGGGGGAACCCACUGCACCCCUACUGUAAGGAUCACUCUGAAUCAGAGAUGUGGCUAGAGAAACACUUGCAAUGCAGCCAUUAUCAGAGCAUCCCUUGGCGAGGAGGAACCGGGCAGGCAAAUGCUUGAUAUGCACCCAAAUCUUCCGAUAUCAACUAUUGGUGAGUUGUGUGCUUCCUUUGUUUCUUAUCCUGAAACUGACUUUGAGUUAUUUAGCAAAAUACUUUAAUUUCUAAUAUUUUUGAUACAUGCUGGGUGGUUGUUGCUGGUUUUUGCUUUAAAUUUGCCUUGAUACAUGUUGAGUUGUUUAGCAAACUCACUCUUGACCGAUUUUGGUUAUUCUUUCCCACAUGCUAAUGUGAUGUAUCCUUAAGGGCAUAUGUUCUCUUCUAAUGUUAGAACGAAUAUGAUAGAGCUGUUAACAGUUCAUGGUUACUUCGUAAGAAUUGUAAAUUCUUUGGUUGAUUUUUAUACCAUAUUUUGUAGUUUCAUUUUGAUGGAUUCUAAGGUCAUCCAUGACUCAUUUUUCUUCAUUUUGUUUGUAAUGAUGUAUAAGAUACUCGCAGCCAAUGUUUUGAGAAUCGAACUGAACCAUUAUCGGCCAUCUCUCAGGUCCAGUUUACCCUAGGGAACCAUUUUCAUAUUAAACCGAUGUUGAACUGCUCAAGCCGGACUGGUUUGCCCCAGGGAACUGUUUUCAUAUUAAAUCGGUGUUGAACGCUUGAGCCGUGGUUGGAUCGUUGAACCGGAUGGACCAUCCGGCUUCCUAAGAAGCAGUCAAGCCCAAAACUCAGUCAAACUUCCACUUGUUGUAGAAGCCCAAUAGGCGCUACAGCCAAUCAUCUAUUAAAAGCCCAAACCGGUUGAGCCCAAGAGGGUUUAAACGAGCCAAAGCCCAACCCAAUCCGAUGUGGGAUUGAUUCCAGGUGGUAAGGAAAAAAAGUUGUGCAUGCUGCAGGUGGAUUUGAGGUCAGCUUUAAAAUCAAGGGCGAGGCCAUUGAGCUAUUUGCCAUCCAUGUACAAUAGUGCUGUAAAACUAAAUAUAUAGAAAGAUUAAUGGUGUUUUUUUAAAUUAUUUUCAUGUAAAUAUUUACAUGCAUGUCUAUUUUUAUAAUAAUUAUUAUGAAAAUAAUUAAUAUAAUAAUUUUAAAGUAAUAAAAUACAACAACAAGGAGAUAAAAUUAAAUACUAUGAUUUUAUUUUCAUCUUAAACACUUUAUAUUUAAAUAUUAUACAUAUUCUACUUAAUAAGGUUUAAAAUAUUAAUAUAUUUAUAUUUAUCUGUAUAAUUUAAUUUGACCUAUCUAAUAUAAAAUCGAAAUAUUAUUUAAAAAUUUUAAUUAUAUAUUCUAAAAAUUUUAUAAUUAUUACUUCACUAUUUCCAUUGUGGUUCAACUAUUGAUCCGGCAUAAACCAUAAAUCGAUAACUUUCUCAAUCCAAUAAUCAAAUUGGUUUUUAAAGUAUUGCUCGUUUCUUAUUAAGUUGGGUUGUUUCUUCAUUUUAUACCAAGGAUGUUGUCUUUUAUUGUAAACAAUCUAUCACCAAUGGAGAAAGCAUAGAGAAAAGAAGAUUUUCUUUUCAGAAUUGACAUUUGGGUUUUGAUAUUUUAUGUAUUCUCUAACAUUUGAUAUUUUAUGUUUUCUUAGAAUAUAGUAAGAAAUUAUUGAAAAAAAAAAAAAGGAAAAAUCCAGUUAAGAAAACUUCUUAGAAGAAGCCUAAAAUCCAAACAAAGAAGGUUUUCAAGAAAAAUGAUAAAUAAAAAGUUACAAAUACCAUAGGAGAAGGGGUUGAAGGGAAAUCUCUCUUCACUCGUUCCUAGUGUACAAAUGGAAGUAAUUUAUUGCUUUGAUAAGAUUAAGGAAGGGAAGAUAGAAUAAGGCCUCCUCUAUCGAAGGCCCCUUCAGGUAACAAAACCUAAGCUAUCCCUUGUAUAUUUCAUGACAUAAUUUUAAGCAAAGAGGUAUAUUUAGCAAAUAAUCAUUCUCUUCCCCUUACUUUCAUCCUGCUCACUGUCCUAAGAAAAAUUUAGCAUCGUCAACCUUGUACCACGUGUGCUCUCGGGUCCUAUGGCUUUGUAUCUAAUCCCCGUUUGCAAAACGUUCAGAGUGUGAAGCCCAAGGGUCUUAACAAAAAAUCAUGGUAUAAAAUGUGAACCAACCAAAAGACUUUAUCCAAUUCUUGUGGCCAUGCAAAGCCCUUGUCUUUCUCUGCCCCACUUUCCACCCACACCUCUCACUCCACCCCCUCACCUCUCCUCUCUCUCACCUCCCACUUCUCCACGGCCACAGCCGCUGCCGACAAGCACACGCCCCAUCUCCUUUCUCUCUCCUCCCCCCUCCGUCGCCGGAAACCCCUGCUGCACCACCUCCCUCCGCCGCUGCCCCGGAAUGACCGUUCUGCUGCCUUAACACUGGGACUCUCUAGCCGGAGAAUUACUUGCAAGGCGACGGAAGUGUCGGUGGCGGAGGAGCCGUCGGCUGCGGGCGAUGGCGAGAACUGGGUGCCAGUGGUGCCGCUGUCGGCAUUGCCCAAGGGGGAGCGGCGCGUGAUUAUACAGGACGGAGAGACGAUUCUGUUGUUGUGAUUAUACACGAAAUUUAUGUGAAGAAUGAAAGGCUCUUUUGAGGCUCAUGCAAGCCAUGUAAGAAUUUUAUGUGGCCUUGGUGUAUAUUAUUAUGUGAUAUUCCUUUAAAUAUUAUGGUCUAAUAAAUAAUAAAACUAAAAUUUUAUUUCCUAAAUUAAAGGUACUUUGAUGAAAAGCAUACUCCUCAUUCUAUAUGGAAAUUGAUCUUCUCUCCAUCCUAUAAAAUAAAUGUUCAGAAAACCUAAGGAUAAAAGGGUUUAGGGAGAACAACACAAUUUCUACUUGGCUUAUUGUUUGGUCUCUUCAAGACUUCUAUAUAGUUUAAAGGUAUGUCUUUUCUCAAUAAUGGAAUUGUGAAAAUCAUAUUAUUCUAUAAUUCUUGACUAUUUUGAUUUAAGUAAAAUUAGGAUUUGAUUUACAUAAUUAAAUAAUUACUUAUGAGUUUCAUUGGUGAGCAUAUAAUACCAUUGACAUAUGUUGAUUAAGUGACAUGUAUACCUUUGAUGCUACUGUAAUGAAGUUUAUGAUAAUAAAAGUUUAUUUUAUCAAUUUUCGAUAUGUUAUAUACAAUGUAUGUUUAUGGCUAAUAUAUAAAGUGAAUGACUUUCUUGAUUUAUGAAAUUUAGUGAAUCGAUUUAUGCAUCAACCGCUUUUGAUUGAACCAAAAGUAUGAUUUUGUUCAUGGUAUUGCAUCUUCAUCAUCAAAAUAGAUAUCUAUAUGUAUGUGAAAUAAAUUAUGCUAUAUAUAUAUGUCAAUAGUGAAUUUUGUGUCUUCAAUGGUAAUGUUUUAACGAUAUACAUAUACUAUAUAUAAAAAACCAAGAAAAUUCUAUAAGAGUAAACACAUUGAGAGGAAGUACCACAUAAUCUAUAGAUAGUACAAAAAGGUGAUAUGGUAGUUUAGAAGAUAUCUUUCGGAAAGAGCCUAAUAGAUUCAUAUACUAAGACAUUGACUGGAAAAGUCUUUGAUUGUAACCGGGACAACAUAGGUGUCAGAUAUGCACCUAAUUUACUUUUAUUGCAUUAUGUUUUGAGGGCUUAUGGAAGAUUGUUAUGAUAUCAUCCUACAAAGCUUUACAUGAUAUAAGACAUUUGGAUUUAUCAUUUAUUUAAUUAUAUUCUAAUUGCUCUUUUAUCUAUGCUUGUAAUAGAGAGUUCCCUACGCUCAGAUCCCAACACUUAUAUCAUAUAAAAUAAAGUUUCAUGCUAGUAGAAUAUCUAAAUAUAUUCUUGGUAGUUUUUGGUCAUGCAUGCAUUCGCAUAACUUUGGGCUAUGCACAAUAAUUUUCCAUAUAAUUGGCUUUUAGGUAUAAAUUUAAUUUCUAUAUGAAAUCGUUCAAUAUAUAACUUUCUGCUACAUGAGUCUAAAAGUUAUUAACUUCCAUGCAUGGUGCGACUGGUGGGGUUUCCAGUCACUUGGAAACCAUGUCCAGAUACAUAUGAAGAGAUCAAUAAAACCAACCUUCCACUUCCUACAAUAAUCGUUUACCAAGUGUAUCUUCAAUCCUAAGCCAGUCUGGUAUUCGUUGUUGCAGCUCCUGUAAACUGGCCUCUGCUUGGUCCAGCUCCAGAUAUAGCUGCUCUACUUCAGCUAUCUUCUCAUUCAAGCGCCUACGAAUCACGUCCCUCUUGCCCUCUGCUUGUGCAUACUCAACUAAAGGUUGCACUCCAACAAAUGGGCUUCUUAACCAAUCAACCUUAACCUGAGCCCUCUCCAAAUCACUCAAUGUUCUAUCAAUGAAGUAGGUGUCUGCACCAGACAGGCUACGGGCAGUAUUCUUCUGCAUCAGCUCCACAAUCUGCAGUAUGGAACCUUUGAUUAUCUCUACAAACUGGGGUGCUGUAAAGGAGCAAUUGGCAGUUACGUCUCCAUAUUUGGUCAAUAUUUGCUGCCAAAUCGACUCCCUGGUAUUGGAAGUUACACCAGAUCCCUCAACCAUCUCAAGAAGCCCUGCAGCGGCUGUGUUAGGAUCUGUGAGAGUUUUGUCUGUGUCCUCAGCUUCAGUUGGAGCGAAGGUAGUUUGGAUCUCCUAAAGCCCAAAAAAGAGAAGGAAAAGUAUAGAACUUGUGCUUGGAAUUAACCAACAAAAAAGAUUAAUUUUGAUGUAAAAGUGCCCAAGGAAAAAUAUUUUGGUAGUUUCAGUUGAAAAUUUUGACAAACCUUGUCAGCUCCCGAAGCACCUUCCACUUCAUCUGAAGGCCAAUUAAGUGUAUCUAGGCAUUGCAACCUGUGAUUAUGCUCAAGAUGAAGUUUUGUGAUCACCCAUUGUCCAUUGUCAAGUUUGACUUGGAUCUGGACAUUGCAACCUGUUCUUGUUUCUGAUCUCUUAUACUUUGUUCCCUGGUUGGGAUGCUUCUUGGUCCGGAAGCCUUCACAUGAACAAAGAAAGCAUCGCCCUUUCAGUGUACCAUUUGCUUUCCUUUGUACCUUUCCUUUUCUUACUGUAAAACCAAUUCUCUUGGCAUACUUUUUACAAAAUUCUUCAGCUUCUAACUCAGAAGAAAACGCCAUCCCUCUCCGUGGUAUCUGAUCAUCGUCUUCAGGAUUUUUCUCAUUUACAUUAACCAAUGUUCCAAUCUCAUCACCAUUUACAUUAAUAGCCAUUUCAGUCUCACCACUAUAGAACGAACUCCACCAAGAAUCAAAAUUAAGCUCAUCCUGUACAAAGUGAGAUAGAGAGAGAAGUUUUCUAUGAGAAAAAUGAGAAGCAAAAAGCGGUACAAUGCAUAACAACAAUUUUCUUCUGUUACACCAACUAUUGAUUCAAACUACAUCUUAUCCUGUAACUCUUGUAGAACAAUGAAUUAAUAUAAGAAGAGUGACACUGUAAGACGGCUUAUAGACAAGUAGAUGGAGCAACAAAUUCUUGAUUUGCUGGUUGCAGCUUUAUUUGGGCAGAAAAGUUCAUGAAUUAUUUAUCUUUAAAAUUAACCGUUGUUCUAGAAAAUGGAUCGAGCUUACCUGGAUAGUGAGGCCCCUGAAGGAACCGCCAACUCUGUGGUGGUUUACUAAAUCAUCAGAUUCCUGUAUGGCACCCCAAACAUCUGGGCGUGAACCGAUGGAACUAUACCUGCCAAGAUGAUAGGGUUCGAUAGACAUUCUGGUGCAGUUGAUGGGUGUGGAUCCAGAGGAUCGGUGCUUGAUUGCUUUGCUUCCGGCUGGACCUUGGGAUCUCGCCUUCUCAAGACAGGACUCGUUUUAUAGCUCUCGCAGCCUGCUGUGUGGGACAGCGUCCCUUUUUCCUUGUUUGCUUUGCUUCCAUUUCCAAAUUCCAACCCACUGCGCUUUGACCAAAUGGUCCAAAUCUCCAUUUCUCGGCGACGUCGGUGCGUUCGGUUCUCUUUUCCCUUGUUUUAUUUCCUUCAGUGCCUCUUUCCUCCCAAGAGGCUACUACUCGCCCUCUCAAAAAGUCAAAACUUUAGAAACAUUAAAUAUAUAUAUUUUUUUUUAAAUAGAGAACUAUCAAAACGGUGGGCGGAAAGUGAUAAUCCUUUUUAAAAGUCAUCAUGUUGACCAAUUCUACUCUUCGAGUAAUCAUUUGAAAGCUUAACCAUUCGAAAUUUUCAAUUAUAUCCUAUUUAAACUUUAUUUUUUUAUUUUUUUUCUUUUGUAUUAUUAUUAUUAUUAAAUAUUAAUAUUACUCUUAAUAUUAUUAUUUAUGAUAUUAGUAUUUUAAAUUAUUCAUAUUAUUAUUAAUAUCAUUCUUAUUAAUAUUAUUUAUUAUUUUUUUAUUAUUAUUCAUAUUUUUAAUAUUAUAUUAAAAAUAAUAUUAUUAUAUUUUUAUUACUACUACUACAAAGAAACCUUAGGAGAUAAUUUAUAUUUUUUAGUUCUUAAAACUUGUAAACUUUAUUAAAAAAUUAUUCUUUUUUUUCAAUUUAUACUUUAUAUGUUAUAUUAAGAUUAAUUAAAUUAUUAUUAUUCUUCUUAUUAUUACUAUUAAUAUUUAUGAUAUUAGUUUUAUAUUAUUAAUAUUUUAAUAAAAUAAUAUUAUAUCCAAGUUAUAGAUAUAAUAAAAAUGCAUUGAUGUUAAUGAUAUAGUAGAAUAAAACAAUGUUUCUAAUAUAGAUAAAUACAACAUUUAUCUAUUGAAUUUAUAACAUAAAUACAUUAAAAAUACAAUAUAUUACAACAUUUUUAAUAGUUUUCAUGUAAAAAUAAAAUAAAAUUUUAUCAUUCAAUGCGCUUUUUCUAUUUGAGUCGUAACACCCGACUUUUUCUUUUCCUCUUUAUCAUUCAACGCGCUUUUUCUUUUCUUUGUUGCGUAAAAUAUUUGAAGUUUUGUUGUGAGACUUGCUUCGAUCACAGUUGUAUUCUCAAUUUUGCAAUUAAGCAAAUUUAGCUUUAUUAGUCAGUUGUGGUUGAUAUAAAUGAACUUUUUCUACUGCAAUUAAGUCAGGACUCAUAUCUCAGACUUGGUGUCUCUACUGCUCAGUAAUGGCUGCUGCUGCUGCUUCUUCUGCGUCUUCUCAGGGGCGCUAUGAUGUGUUCCUGAGCUUUAGAGGGGAAGACACCCGCAAUAACUUCACUGCCCAUCUCUGUGAGGAGUUGCACACCAAAGGAAUCAACACUUUCAUAGACGAGGAGAAGCUCGAGAGAGGGCAAGCCGUAUCUGCUGCACUUGUUUCUGCUAUUGAAAACUCCAUGUUUUCUAUCAUUGUUUUAUCAGAAAAUUAUGCAUCUUCUAGAUGGUGUUUAGAGGAGCUGGUGAAGAUAAUACAGUGCAUGAAAAACAGGGGGCACAGGGUUCUCCCAAUUUUCUAUAAUGUGGCUCCCUCGGAUGUGAGAAAUCACAAGGGAAAAUUUGGAGAAGCCUUGGCUAAACAUGAAGAGAAUUCCAAGGAGGGUAUGGAGAGGGUGCAGAUUUGGAAGGAUGCUCUCACUCAAGUCACCAAUUUCUCUGGUUGGGAUUCAAGGAAUAAGUAAUUAUUUAAAGCUUUUUUUCACUCUUACUUUUAUUUUUUAUUUUUAAUAUUGCCAUUUUAAAUGCUCUUGCUAAUUCAACUAUUAGUUAUUACAACACAAAGGGUAUGAUAAUAUAUACCAUGUUAACAUUAUCUGAUUAAAGGACUGGGUUCAUAGGAUUUAGAAAUAUUUUACUGGACUUUUUUAAAUUAGAUAUAAGAUACCAACCAUAUCUUGACACAUAUUCUCAUAUUCUCUUUAUUUUUAUUAUCUUUUUGUAGAUAGCUGGACUUAUUAUGUGUUUAUGCUUUAAAUAUGACAGGAAUGAGUCUCUACUAAUCAAGCAAAUUGUUAAAGAUAUUUUGAAUAAAUUGUUAUCUUCAUCCGGUAGUGAUACCAAGAAUCAAGUUGGAAUAGAUGCUCACAUACAAGAAAUGGAAACCUUAUUAUGCUUGGCGUCAGAUGAUGUUCGAAUGGUAGGAAUAUGGGGCAUGGGUGGAAUAGGGAAAACAACCCUUGUCAGAGCUGUUUAUAGUCGAAUCUCCUAUCAAUUUGAAGGUUGCUCCUUUCUUGAAAAUGUUGCAGAGGGUUUAAAAAAGAAGGGCUUAAUUGGGUUGCAAGAGAAACUUCUUUCUCAUCUAUUAGAGGAAGAAAAUCUAAAUAUGAAAGAACUCACAUCUAUAAAGGCAAGGCUCCACUCAAAAAAGGUCCUUAUUGUUCUCGAUAACGUGAAUGAUCCAACAAUAUUGGAAUGCUUAAUUGGAAAUCGGGAUUGGUUUGGUCAAGGAAGUAGAAUUAUUAUAACGACUAGGGAUAAACGUUUAUUACUUUCACAUAAAGUCAAUCUUUAUAAGGUUCAUAAAUUCAAUGAUGAUGAAGCUCUUGAGUUUCUUGCACGUUAUUCAUUAAAACACGAACUCCUUCGAGAAGAUUUCCUAGAGCUUUCAAGAGCUGUGAUAUGUUAUGCUCAAGGCCUUCCAUUGGCUCUUACGGUUUUGGGUUCUUUUUUAUUUAGCAUGAGCAAAGAAGAAUGGAGAGAUCAAUUAGACAAAUUAAAAAGUAUUCCUAAUAUGAAAAUUCAUGAAGUUCUUAAAAUAAGUUAUGAUGGGCUAGAUUUUGAGGAGAAGAAUAUAUUUUUGGAUAUUGCAUGUUUCCUUAAAAGAGAGGAUAAAAAUUACAUUAAGGAAAUACUAGACUAUUGUGGCUUCUUCUCAGUUAGUGGUAUACGAGCUCUCGUUGAUAAGUCACUCAGUAAGUUUUUUUCACAAUAGGAUAAUGAUGCAUGACUUAAUACAAGAAAUGGGUAUGGAAAUUGUUCGCCAAGAAUCUCAUACUCCCGGCCAGCGUAGUAGAUUGUGGCUCCAUAAAGAUAUCAACGAUGCAUUGAAAAAAAACAUGGUAAGAGCAAAAAAAUGAAAUUUAUUUUAUGCAACACAAGUUAAGAUUUGAAAUUAUUUUGGCUUAAGUAGUUAUAUGCUAAUAAAAUUGUAGCAGACAUAUAUUUAUUCACUAUGCAUGUUUUUAACUUAGUCUCCUUCUUGGUAUGCAGGAAAAUGAAAAAAUUGAAGGCAUAUUCCUCGACUUGUCUCAUUCACAAGAGAUAAUAGACUUUAGCACUCAAGCCUUCCCAAGGAUGUAUAAACUAAGAUUGCUCAAAGUCUAUGAAUCUAACAAAAUUUCAAGAAACUUUGGAGAUACCUUAAAUAAGGAGAAUUGUAAAGUGCAUUUUUCUCCGAACUUAAGAUUUUGUUACGACGAAUUGAGGUACUUAUAUUUGUAUGGAUACUCUUUGAAAUCAUUGGACAAUGAUUUCAAUGCAAAGAAUCUUGUUCACCUCAGCAUGCAUUAUAGUCACAUUAAACGACUUUGGAAAGGAAUCAAGGUAUGAUUAUGAUGUAUUGAUAUUAUUUUCUUUAAAAAGCGUUUAAUGUGCAUGAAAGCUAAUUUUUAAGUCAACUUUCUUUCAUGGUAGGUUCUUGAAAAGUUAAAAGUCAUGGAUCUCAGUCACUCCAAGUCCUUAAUAGAAACCCUAGAUUUCUCAAGAGUCCCCAAUCUUGAACGAUUAGUUCUCGAAGGUUGUAUAUCUUUGCAUAAGGUACAUCCGUCUCUUGGAGUUUUGAAUAAACUCAAUUUCUUGAGUUUGAAAAAUUGUGAAAAGCUCAAAAGUCUUCCAAGCAGCAUGUGUGAUUUGAAAUCCCUCGAAACAUUUAUUCUUUCUGGUUGUUCGAGACUCGAAGAUUUUCCUGAGAACUUUGGGAACUUAGAAAUGUUAAAGGAACUUCACGCAGAUGGUAUUCCUGUAAGAGUACUACCCUCCUCUUUUUCGCUCUUGAGAAACCUUGAAAUAUUAUCCUUUAAGGGAUGUAGAGGACCCCCAUCUACCUCAUGGUUGUUGCCAAGAAGAAGUUCAAGUUCUACUGGUUCCAUACUGCAUCAUUUGUCUGAUGUAGGACAACCCUAGGAUGGUUGCCUACACUCAAGGGUAGGUGGGCUAGGGUUUUAUUUUUAGGGUGUAAGGAGGGGAACAAGGAAUAAACUUUAUGGUAGAGAAAAUUAUAAGAUAAGAAAAAGAGAGAAAGAAGAAACAAUGAAGAAAAGAUGGAAAACCUUAGAGUCUCACUAAGGCCUUCUAGGAGUCUCACCUAGAAGAAAAUCAAUGGAGUCUCACCAUUGAGGGUUGCAACCUUGCAAUGAAAGAAAGUAUAAUAUUAUUCAUCAAAAAUUCAUUCCUUUGAUUUACAUUGAUUAGCCUAUUUAUAGGCUUCUCUAAGAAAUCCAAAGUCUACUAGGACUCUAAUAACCUAUUCUACUAGGACUCUAAUAGGACUCUAAUAACCUAUUCUACUAGGACUCUAAUAACCUAUCAUGACUCAAAUUCUAAUUAUAUUAAUCCUACUUAAAGUUUACUUAGGUCUUCCCUUUCUUCCUUGAAUAAACUUUAAAAGGCUUUCCCCCAUCAUUGUCAGGUCUAUAUUCUUUAACAAGGCUAAACCUAGGUUAUUGUAAUUUAUCAGAUGAAACAAACCUUAGCAGUCUUUGCCUCUUAUCUUCAUUGGAAGUGUUAGAUCUAUCUGGGAACAACUUUGUUACUUUGCCAAACAUCAGGGGACUUUCUAGCCUAGAAGGUCUGUUGUUGGAGAAGUGUAAAAGACUGCAAGUACUGCCAGAACUUCCAUCAAGCAUAUAUAGUUUAAUUGCGCAAGAUUGCAUAUCAUUGGAAAAUGCCUCAAAUCAAGUACUCAAGUCACUCUUUCCAACUACAAAGUCCCCGAAGAAAACUUUCAAGGUGGGUUCUAUUUGUAUACGAUGUAUCAUAAUUUUAAUUAUAUAUGCAUAUAUAUAAUUAUUUCGAUUCUAUCUCUCUAACAUCCUAAUAAUUUUGAUUCUACAGCGUAAUUCGGGUGCACACUUGAUAUAUGUGAUGGUUUAUGGGAGUAGAAUACCAGAUUGGAUAAGGUAUCAGAGCUCAGGGUGUGAAGUAGAAGCAGAUCUACCUCCAAAUUGGUAUAAUUCCAACUUGCUGGGUCUUGCUUUGAGCUUUGUCACUUAUGUUUUCGCAUCUAAUGUGAUUAUUCCAGUAUCGUAUACCUUGCGCUAUUCAACAUCCAGUUACAUUGCUAACCGCAUUAGUAUCAGAUUUGAUAAGGAAGGUGUAGGGUUAGAUCACGUGUGGCUACUUUAUAUAAAACUCCCCCUCUUCAGCAAUUGGCAUAAUGGAACUCCCAUAAAUUGGCAUGAAGUGACUCACAUCAGUGUAUCAUUUGGGACUCAGGUCAUGGGGUGGUAUCCUCCGAUUAAGAGGAGUGGGUUUGAUCUAGUGUACAGUAAUGAUCAAGACGUGAAUCCCCCAGUGAUCCAAUUCAGUUCUAUCUCCUCUCCUCCUCUUCCGAACAAGUCAACAGUAGUCCUUAAAGAAAUCCAUAAGAAGGAGGAACCCAGUGGAAGUGAGUUGUCGAAUGUUGAUGGCUCAGAAUCAGACAGCUCUGAUUACCAUACUGCUGAUGAGGAAGAACCCACAACUGCAAAAGAAACUGACCGCUCAGAGGAUCACUCUGAAUCAGAGAUGCGGCCGCAGAAACGUUUGAAGUGCAGGCAUUAUGAGGGCAUCCCUUGAUGAUCGGAGAAACAGACCUAAAACUCUUCCCAUAACAUCAUCUCUUGGUAAUGGUAGGUUGUGUGUUUCUUUUCUUUCUGCCUUUCUUUCUUAAUCUGAUUUUCAACAUUUUUGCUUGGGUAGAUGUCUUAAGAUCAUUUAGAACUGUUUAAAGCGGGAACUAAAAAAUCCCAUAACACUGUUUGAAAUUAGAGUACUCUCACAUAUCGUCGAUUUCAUGCUUAAUCAUCCCGGGAUACACAUGGUUCCAUAUCAUUAGAAUCAUUUGUAUUAAUAAUGCAUUCUCAGUUUACUAAUUGUGGCAACUAAACAGAGUCCCAAAAUCUCUCUCGGGGUUGAUCAUCUUCAAUAGAUACGCAUUGUUUUAGCAGUGAUAAUGUAUUUUGUGAAUUGCAGUCGCAUGAUCUCCAUUCCUGUGAGCAUUGCAAUUAACUAGGGAGAUUAUUUUAGUGGGGGUGAUGCUACAGCACCAGCGAAGGAGCAGAAGCAGAAGCAGAAGAGAGAAAAGAUCUUGUAACGGAACCCAAUCUUCCAUAAACUAACUAUUUUUGGAUUGUUUUUCAUUUCUAGAAAUGGAACGACUAUGUAAAUUAAAGGAUUACUGGAUUCUUCAAUUCAAAGAGUCAUCACAAAUUUGAGUCACUACUCACCUACAUUUGAUUUCAUUCCUUCUACUAUCUCCACCUUGCUCCUUAAUUCUUAUAAUGAUAAAUGUGUUAUAUAAAAUUUUGAUUAUAUUUCAUUUAACCAUUUUUGCAUUAGGGUCACAUCUCUUAGUCGUAUAGAUAUUGUUUACUUUAAUCCAAAGGACUCCCACGAUUUUAAAACGCACCUAUAAGGUUAAAAGGAAUCCAUGCAUAUAUAGAUAUAUCACAUCCAAUAGGGUGAAAAAGCUUUUACUCUCUUACGCCAUCCCUUCCCAUGAAACCCUCUAUUUUGUGCCCACCUAUACCUAUCCUUUCCCUCUUUCUCUCAUGGGCAUAUCCUUUGCAUGAUACACAUUUUAAUCAACAAAUUAUAAUUAAUUUGUUCACUAAAAUAUUUCUUUAGGUUGUAUUUGGUUCCAAAAAUUACUAAGAAAAAAAAAGAAAAAUAUAAAGAAAUAUUAUUUUUUCAUAUUUGGUUAUCGUAUGAAAAAUAUAUAAAAAAUCAAAUAUAAUUAAAAUUAAGUAAAAUUUUUUGUAUGUUUAAAUUAUUUAAUUUUUAUAUCGAUGAGUUAAAAUAAAUAAAGUCAGUUUAAAGUAACAAAUAAAAAUAAAAUUUCAAAUUUUAAUCUAUUUUUUUAUUUUUCUUUAUUGUUUUUUUCUUUUACUUUUUCUUUCUAUUUUCUUCCUCCCAUAUUUUCCCCUAAUUUUCCACCUUAAAAUUGUAUUUUUGUGAUAACUUUCGAAUAUAUUUGACAUAGUGGUUGCCUAGGGUUCAUUCUAAACCAUUUGUUUGGAUUUCGAAUAUAUUUGACAAUUUUUUAAAUCCUUCCUCCCACCUAUACCUAUCCUUUCCCUCUCUCUCACACACACAACCAUCCCGUUCGGGCCAUUCCCAUGAAACCCAUUUUUUCUCUCUUUUCUCAUCCCUCUCACAAAUCACAACCACUUUUUUCUUCCUUUCUUCUCAUCAUUUCAUGUUCUUUAUUUUUUUUCUCUCUCUCUCCCUCUCUUUCUUUUUUCCAUAGCCAUUUUCAUCUGCCCAUCACCGACGCCACCAUCCAUUGUCCGCCGCGACGUGCCACUACCGACGCUGGCGUCACUCUUUCAUGGCUUCCUCCUCUCUCAUCUCAUCAUUUCUCUCUUCUUCUCUCCCUCUAAAAUACCAAGAGCAUGGCAUGGAGGGAAAAUGGGAAGUUCGGGUGAGCUAAACACCAAGGCAACUUGUAGAGUCAUUGCUAUGGCUACUUUCAUCUUGUUUUCAAGACAUGCAUGGGUAUACUCUUUGAUCUCUACACAGUAGAUGUUAGUAAUUUGUGGGUUUUGUUUUCAUUUGAUGUUUUGUUUAUUGAUUUAUAUUUUUGAUGUUGGGUUUGGACUUGUUGGAUUUUGUUUAAUUCUUUUAGGCGUCAAUUAUUAAUGUUAGGCUUGGUUAUUCCAUGCAGACUUGGGCCUGUGCGUAUUGAAUAUUUAGGUUGGGCCUCAUUCCUUGAUUUGAGCCUGGUAGGGAGGUUUUGGACUUGACCUUGGGUUAAUUUUAUCCUUUAUAGUUCAUUUAUGAUUCAUUGUCGUGUUUAGAUCAUUCAAAAAAUUUGUUUUCAACUAUGUUCUUGAAAAUAAUUUCACUAAAAGUAUCAGAAAUCAGAAGGUGUCCAAUUAGUCGAGUUUUAAAAAUAUUGUUGACAAAUUUACCAAUAAAUUCUUAACAGCCCAACCACCCAAAAUAUAAUUGCCUACUUGAAUGAAAUAAAUAAUAAACUUUAAUUUAUACAAAAUAUUUAUUAUUAUAAUUAAUAUUUUAAUAUCCUUCAUUUAAAAAUAAAAUGAAUAAAUAAAUAAAUAAUCAACACAGACUCUUCUUCAAUGAUCGCAUUUAAUUUACUGCAAAUUUUGCUAAGAGUAUAUUAUUCCCAAUUCUCAUUUUCAUACAUAUUCUAUUAUUUUUCUUUUGCAAAUAAUCAAAUAUAGUUAUCUGUUUGUUUGAUUUGUUCAUCAAUUUGGAAUUAUAUGUAUCUUUUUGUUUCCCACUGGAUAAUUUAGGAUUCACAACUCAAAAUUUCUGAAUCCAUCUUCUCCACUCCUCAUAAUGGCUGAUCCUUCUUCUUCUCCCUUUCUUUACAACAGGGCUAUAACGUGCUCUUGAGCUUUGGAAGAGAAGAGAAGACACCCACAAUAGCUUCACUGCUCAUCUCUAUAAUGAGCUUGAAAAGGUGUUUAUACUUAUGAUAUCUUAAUCUAAUUUCUAGAUUUGGACUCAAUUUUUCGUAAUCAUGUUUUUUUUAUUAAAAAAUGAGUUACAUUAGAAUUUUAUUUCUUAUAUUAUUUUUCUUUAAAAACAAAUAAAAAUAAGUAAUGGCUCUAAUUUUUAAAAAUUAAUAUGUUUUUUAAUAAAAAUGAGUUUCACCAUUAAAUGGAAAUACAAGUAAAACAUACAAAUCAUAGUUUCAUUGUUGUUUUCCUCUUAUGAUCUUUUAUGUUUAUAAAGAGAAAUAUGAAAAAAGUAAUACAAAAGGUAAAAUUAAGUCCUUAUACAAAUUCUAAAAACUGAUGACCCCAUAGACUACUUAUCCUUGCCAAUUCACACUGUUCCACAAUUUUGCAUGUUCACAUUGCUCAAAAUAAAACUAUUAUAGAUCAAAAGAUGCGUCUAGGUUCAAAGAGUUUAGCAGAUUUUUAGGAAUGCUAGUUGAAGGGUGAGAUGAAGAAAUCUACUUGUUGCUGAGUAAGUUGAGGAAAAUGGUCGAAAGCAGGACAUCUUGCAAAGGAAGGAAGAAGAAAUCGGUGUCCGUUUCUCACUUUGAAAUGGAGCUUAGAAGGUUGGAUUGUUCGAUUAGUUAUGGAGAUUUUGUGUUCACUUCCAAAAAGGGUGGCAAAAACUAUUGGGAGCUAAUUUUGGUGGAUUGAUGAAGAUCAAAUCCUCUCUUGGAAUGUUAGAGGGCUCAAUGACAGGGAGAAAUAAAAACUGCUUAAGUCAGUGAUUAGGUCUCAGAAGAAAGAUUUGGUUUGUCUUAUUGAGAUGAACAUGCAGGAGAUGUUGUUAAAGGUGGUGAAAAGUCUGGAUGUUGGUAGGUUUUUGGACUAGGGUGUAGUUGAUGCUAGGGGAGUGUCCGGAGACAUCUUGAUUUUUUGGGACAAUAGAGUUUUGGAUCUUCUAGAGCUAAAAUGUGGAGGUUUCACCAUCUCGAGUAGUUUUAGGAAUGUGGAAGAUGGUUUUGUUUGGGUAUUCACAGGUGUCUAUGGUCUAGUCCUCUCAAGGAAGAGAAAAAAAAAAAGACUUUUGGGAUGAGUUGGGUGUAAUUAAAGGUAUGUAGAACGAUCCCUGGUGUGUAAGAGGGGAUUUCAACUCUGUUAGAUUUCCAAGGGAAAUGAGGAAAGAGGUCAGUUUAACGGCAAAGAUGAGAAGAUUCUAUUAAGUCAAUGAGGAACUAAGACUAAAAGAUUUACCCCUUUCUGAUGGUCAGUUCACGUGAUGUGGUGGCUCAAACUCUCAAGCAGCGUCAAGGUUGUAUCAUUUUUUAGUUUUUAAUGAAUGGGAGGACCACUUUUCAAGUGCCUUCCAAUGCGCUCUUCCUAAGAUCGUCUCUGAUCACUAUCCUAUUACACUAGAGGGUGGAGGGGUUAAAAGAGGUAAGACUGUGGACCCACAUUUUUCACGUGCGUCCCCACUCGAUCGGCGAGACUCGCUUUUUAUUACUAGUGAAAAAAUAAUUUUGGAAAAAGUCGGAAUCGCCACUUAUUUUAUUUUUAUUUUAAAGGGAAAAUAAAACAAAAAAGAAAAACCUUAAAAUGUGACUCCAUAAUUUUUGGAAAAAACAUGUCUUUGAAAAACCUGAGUUUAGGUCCAGGGAUCAAGUUACUUAUUGGGAAGGUACCUCUAGGAGGUAGCACCCCUCUAAGCCUAAAAGAGGUCUCUACUUACUAAGUUGGGGGAAGUGUGGCAAUUAAUUAAUUAAUUGAGGAUACCUAGAUAGGCUAAGGUGAUUUCAAAAAUAACAUGCCAAACAUGAUCAAAUUACAAUAAAUGAGAGUUAGGGUGCAUACCUGGACUGCUUCUUAAGCGCCAUCUAAAGACAUCAAUGAUUAGUUUGGAAAAUAAAACGCACAACAUAUAUUUUAUCCUAGUCUCUUAAUCAAACAUGGCAAGCUAAACAAACAAUAAAAAAGAUAUGUUGAAAAAUUUGAGAAUCGCAUACGAAGCAAUACAUAACGAUCAUAUAUAAAGCAAUACAUAAUUUAUGGAAUUAAGAUACGAAGGUAAGAAGCAUACCUGAAUAGCAUGGGUAACUCAUAAUGCUCUUCCACAAGACAUGAGGGGUUAGAUAAUAAAUAAUGAGAUAAAUUCUAGCAUGCUUGUUAUCUAAUUAGCAUAGCAAAAAUUAUCAGAGUAUACUAAUUCAUCAAUUAUCACAUAGUCUUGUAUAUAAUUCCUAAAAAAAUUGAUAUGAUUGUAACAACCAACAAAGGUGGUAGCAAAAAUAAGUUUUGAAUAUAUUUUUUUGUGUAGGGGUUUCACCAAUUCCCCAAUUGAUAUACACAAAUCUAACCUAGAAUUAUCCCAUUUAUGUGGGACCACAAGCUUGGAUUCGUGUUUGAUUUAAAACCAAAAUUUUCAUUAAAAAAACCGAGAAAGAUGCAAACCAAUAAAAAAAAAUGGUUGCAUAUUAUUUUAAGAAAAUGGGGUUUUUGAUUCUAAGGACUCUAAAUGAAUUUUUAAAAUAGGUUUUUAUAAGGAACAUUUUGGGAAAAGUAUUUUAUUUUAAAGGGAAAGACAUUAUUCACAAACAAACGAUUCGCAAAGGUCAAAUAUAGGCAACCCAAAAUAAAACAAAAUCACAAAGUAAAAUUUUCUCAAUAAUCAACAAAACUAAUAAAGGUGAGGGUAGAGGCCAAUCUUCAUGAUUUGCCAAUGGCCUCUAAAAAUUAAUCUUCACAAAAAAAUAUCAAAGCAAUAAACUAAAUGAUUUUAGAUCAGAUAAGAUUAGAAGAUAUUAAUCAGGAGUUAAAAAUGGGGAAUCAAACACAGAAGAAUAAUAAAAAAACUAACAUAAGAUCAAUUAAGCUAAUUAACUAAAAUUUUAGAGAAACAUAUGAACUAAAUUAUGAUUAAUCCAAGAAUGAAAAUUUAUACAUUUAAGAUGAAAAUAAUACAACUUAAGAUCAAUUAAAACAGUUAUCUAAAGCUUUGAAAAAACAUACAAACUAAAAGUGGACCAACCAAGAAAUAAAAUUAACAAGUUCAGAAUAUGAAAAUGACAUGGAACCAAUCAACUUAAACAACCCCAAGUCUUAAAAACUCACGUACUAAAAGAUGAAAUAAAAAAAUAAGAUUAAUAUUGGAAAACAUAAAUUCAAUUGCAUAGGAUCAAUUAAACUAAUAAACUAGAAUUCUAAAACCACUUAAACUAGAUAACAUGAAUCAAAACAAGGAUAAACAAUUUUAAAAGACAUGAGAUUAAUUACAUGGAUCAGCCAAAUUGAUAAACUAAAAUUAAAAAAAAAAAAAAAGAACCUAAACUAAAUAGAUAAAUCAAAACAAAACUAAAGCAAGGCUAAAAACAUGAACUUUAUCAAUAGAAUUGGUUAAAUUAAUGAACUAAGAUUAUAUAAAAAAAAAAAUGCAAACCAAACAAAUAAAUUGCAAUUAAACUAAAACAAGAUCAGAAGCAUAAAUUUUAUCAAUAAAAUUAAUUAAUCUAAUAAACUAAACCAAGAUUAUAAAAAUACAUCAACUAAAAAGAUGGGACAAAACAAAAUCAAAACUCGUUUUAAAAAACAUAAACCUUAUCUAAUAAAAUUAUUUAACUAAUGAAUUAAAAUUACUAUUACAUUCAAACUAAAACUAAACUAAUGUGGAAUUAAAAAAAUAAACUUUACUUUACAAAUUACUUAAACUAAGGAAUUAAAGUCACUAACACACUCGAAUUAAAUCAUAAGCUAAAAUUAAGUUAAUCCGGAAUUUUAAAAAAUAAACUUUACUUCACAAAUUACUUAAACUAAGGAAUAAAAAUCACUAACUCAUUUAAAUUAAAUCAUAAGCUAAAAUUAAGUUAAUCCGAAAUUUAAAAAAAUAAACUUUACUUCACAAAUUAUUUAAACUAAGGAAUUAAAGUCACUAACACAUUCAAAUUAAAUCAUAAACUAAAAUUAAGUUAAUCCAGAAUUUUUAAAAACAAAUUUUAUCUCUCAAAUUAUUUAAACUAAGGAAUUAAAGUCACUAACACAUUCAAAUUAAAUCAUAAACUAAAAUUAAGUUAAUCCGGAAUUUAAAAAAAUAAACUUUACCUCUCAAAUUAUUUAAACUAAGGAAUUAAAGUCACUAACACAUUCAAAUUAAAUCAUAAACCAAAAUUAAGUUGAUCCGGAAUUUAAAAAAAUAAACUUUACUUCACAAAUUACUUAAACUGAGGAAUAAAAAUCACUAACUCAUUUAAAUUAAAUCAUAAACUAAAAUUAAGUUUAAAAAAUAAACUUUACCUCUCGAAUUAUUUAAACUAAGGAAUAAAAAUCAUUAACACAUUCAAAUUAAAUCGUAAACUAAAACUAAAAGGUGGAUUAGAACUAAACUAAUUGAGAAUUUAAAAAACAAAAUAAACUUUAACACAAAGAAUUAAUCAAAAACUGAAAUUUGUUUUAAAAGAAAUCUAGACUAAAUAAGAAUAUUAUAUGGAAAACUAACCUGUGAAGUGAAAGAGAAAAUCCCUUCUUGGUGACUAAGGUGAUAGCCCGGUCUCUGCCUGAAGUCCCUUGCUCUCCUCUAAAGUUCCGCGUGAAAAUUCUUUCUGUCUCUUCCCCUCUGAAAAAAAGUUCCUUAUGCUUGGAUUCUCUCCUUUAUUUAUAAGGCAACCCACUCCUUAUGGAAUAUCUUAUUUCCAUUUUUUCUACAUGCCCGUGGAUAUGGGAAGUCCAUUAUGUGUGGCUCACUUGGACAUUUCCCCAAGGAUGCAGCCGUAUCUUGUUUGGUAAGUGAUCAGAUCCCUUUUAAUCUUCUUUCCAUAUGCUCCCGGAUUCCUUCUUAAAGCAAAUCAUAUGCAGCCCGGAUUGUUCUUAAAGCCGUGAUCUGCCCACUUUCUAUAUGCAGCCCGGAUUCCUUCCAAGUUUCCCUAUUUGGCCGUGAUCUCCUCUCCUUGAUGUCUUCAAUUGUUUCCUUAUCUCCUAGAGCCACCUUUCCUUAAACUCUCCCAAAACGUAUCUUCCAAUCUCAAUAUGGUAUCCAUUCCAUCUCCAAUGAUCAAGCAUCCAAGGAAAUCCCACAUUCCAAAUAUCAAUACCGUGCACAUCUUCCAUACAUUUCCUAUAAAAUUUCAAAUAAAUAAGGACAAGUAAUAAAAUAAUAAUAAUAAUAAUAAUAACAAUAACAAUAAUAAUAAUACUAAAAAAAAUAAAAAUAAAAAUAAAUAAAAAUAUUUACACAAAAUUAUUAAAUUAAAAUAGAUAAGUAAGGACAAGCAUUAUGGAAAAAGUGACAAAAUAAUAAGGAAAUAAAAUAGAUUAAGAAAUAGACAAGAUAAUAAAUAAAAUAAAUAAGAAUUAAAUAAUAAAAAGUCAAGUCAUGCAACUUUAAAAUAAACAAGUCAUGCAAGUCAUGCAAGCCAUACAAAAAAUGCAAUCAUGCAAACAUGCAAAAAAUUGCCUGAAAGGUGACCUAAGUGGGCCUAAAUGAGCCUAAGUAGGCCAAGUGUAUCUAAAUGGGCUUAGGGUGUCUAAAUGGGCCUAGGGUGCCUAAAUGGGCCUAGGGUGCCUAAGUGGGCCUAGGGUGCCUAAGUGGGCCUAGGGUGCCUAAGUGGGCCUAGGGUGCCUAAAUGGGCCUAGGGUGCCUAAAUGGGCUUAAAGUGCCUAGGUGGGUCUAGGGUGCCUAAAUGGGCCUAGGGUGCCUAAAUGGGCCUAAGGUGUCUAAAUGGGCCAAGAGUGCCUAAACGGGCCUAGAGUGUCUAAGUGGGCCUAGAGUGCCUAAGUGGGCCUAGAGUGCCUAAGUGGGCUUAAGGUGCCUAAGUGGGCCUAGGGUGUCUAAGUGGGCCUAGGGUGCCUAAAUGGGCGUAGGGUGUCUAAAUAGGCCUAGGGUGCCUAAAUGAGCCUCGGGUACCUAAAUGGGCCUCAGGUGCUUAAAUGGGCCUUAUGUGCCUAAAUGGGCCUAGGGUGUCUAAAUGAGCCUAAGGUGCCUAAAUGGGCCAAGAGUGCCUAAACGGGCCUAGAGUGCCUAAGUGGGCCUAGAGUGCCUAAGUGGACUUAGGGUGCCUAAAUGGGCCAAGGGUGUCUAAGUGUGCCUAGGGUGUACUAAGUGGGCCUAGGGUGGUGCCUAAUGGGCCAAGUGUAUCUAAAAACUAUCCUAAAAAUGAAUGAAAAGCCUAAGUCUAAAUUAGGGCUGCCAAGGGUCACAAUAAGGGGUCAGAUAAUCCCUAAACCAAAGUCUCCGAGGUGGCUAAAAAAAGGUAAGUAGUGUGAGUAGCUAUGGGCCACCAAGGAACUACUGUAAAGUAUCGAAUAAGUAUCUAAUAGGACAUGUGCUAGGAGGACAAAAUUGAGGGUCUACAAAGACCCAUUUCCGUUUUGAGAAUAUGUGGCUAUUAUCGAAUGGUUUCAAAGUGUUAGUGAGGAAGUGGUGGACCGAGUACUUGAUUACAAGGAGUAGUAGUCAUUGUCUUGAUGAGACAUUGAAGGGCUCUUAAAAAGGAUCUCAUAGUGUGGAAUAAAUAAAUUUUUGGCAACCUCUUCUUUAAAAAAUCAGAAGCCUUUUCUCGAGCUCAUUUUUAGGAUUCCAAGAGAGAGUUAAUCCCCUCUCUAUUAAGGAGGCAAAGGCUAGAAAAGAGGUUGUCAAGGAGUAUAAGAAAUGGUUUUUAUUGGAAGAAGCUUCUUGGAGACAGAAAUCUAGGGAAAUCUGGUUAAAGAAGGGCAACAAAAACACCAGGUUUUUUCACAAGGUGGCCAAUGCUCGGGCAAGAAGGAAUCUAUUAUCCAAGGUGAAAAUUAAUGGGGUUAUUUUAACUAACAAUGAGGAUAUCAAGGCUAAGGUGUGCAGGGCUUACCAAACUCUACUGACUGAAAAUGGGGACUGGAGACCAAGCCUUGGGAAUCUUCAAUUUAGAGUGUUGGAAAAAGAUAGGUCCAGAAGUUUAGAGGAGCCUUUUUGGAAGAAAAGGUGUUUAAAGCCCUUUCCAACCUUUGUGGUGAUAAAAAGUCAAGUCCAGACAACUUCACCAUGGCGUUCUGGCACUUCUGUUAGGAUUUCACAAAAGUUGAGAUUAUAACCCUCUUUGAAUAUUUCUUCUACCUUGGCACAUUCCAAAGGAGUUUAAACUCCACUUUCCUAGUUCAGAAAAAUGGGUGCAGAAGAGUUGAAAGACUUCAGACCGAUUAACCUGGUUGGUGGACUAUACAAGUUGUUUGCCAAAGUCCUGACAAACAAGUUAAAGUCAACCAUGGGGAAGUUGGUUUUAGACAGUCAACAGGCCAUUAUGUGGACCCGCAUUUUUCACGUGCGCCCCCACUCGAUCUGCGAGACUCGCUUUUUAUUUGUGAAAAAUUAAUUUUUGGAAAAAAAGUUGGAGUCGCCACUUUUUUUAUUUUUAUUUUAAAGGGAAAAUAAAACAAGAAAGAAAAACCCUAAAUGUGACUCCAUAAUUUUUGGAAAAAGCAUGUCUUCGAAAAACCCGAGUCUAAGUCCGGGGAUCAGGUUACCUAUUGGGAAGGUACCUUUAAAAGGUAGCACCCCUCUAAGCCCUAAAAAGGUCUCUAUUGACAAAGUUAAGGGGAGUGUGGCAAUUAAUCAGUUAAUUAUAGAUACCUAAGUAGGCUAGGUGAUUCCAAAAAUAGCAUGCCAAACAAGAUCAAAUCACAAUAAAGGAAGGUUAGGGUACGUACCCGGACCGCUUCUCAAGCGCUAUCAUAAAACAUAAGAGAUUAGUUUGGAAAUAUAACACAUAAUAUGUAUUUUAUCAAAGAUGAUCAAACAUCAAGACAAUCAAUUAUGGCAUUAGACAUGGUCAUGAUUCAUGAUAACAUAUAGAAUUUUAGAGUUGAAGGGUAGAAGGAGCGUACCCGUUUAGCGAGCAUCCACACGUCUAUGGGAACAAGGGUAUCUCAACAAUAGAUAUAAAGUGAAUUCAAGUAUUGCAUCAAGAAGAAAAAAAAUCAACAUAUCAAGCAAACAGUAUUGAAGUGAGUGUUAUGAAUGUUGGGCCCCCACCAAAGCCCUAAUUAAUUUCGCAUGAGUUGAUCCCAUAAAUUCCAUGACUUGAAAUUAUGGAGUUUGUUCGUGCUUAAGAAAAUCGAGAAAAAUCAAGAAGAUCGGUUGAAAAUCAAAUAAAAUAGUGAAAGCGCAUGCCAGAAGAAAAAUGGCAGCAAGAGUAUGUUAGAAUAUGGAUUUUAUACCUAGAAAGGAUCUAAGAUGAAUUUUUCAAAGCCAGGAAUGUUUAGUUGAACAAUGAUUAAAAAAUUCAAUUUAAAAAAAUAAGUUCCCAAUCAAGGAAGCAAAUAGAGGAGAAGAUGUGUAUAGCAAGGUUGCCAUGAAGUGAAGCCAGGGAAAUUUUGGAUAGAAGGGACCAAUUCACUGCAAGAGCGUUCAACUGUCAAAUGCUUCAACGAGCCAAGCUAUCCAGGUGGAGUGUUAAUCGUUGGCCACAAAUGCUAUCCGAAUAAGCGUUAUCGAAGGAUCCGGACAUGUCUGUCCAGGGGAAGUUGAAUCGUCCUCAUCUCCCAUCUGGUGGCAGGCGCCGGAUGUGAAAUAUCUGGAGAAGGUGGAACGUCGGUCGGAUAGAAUUGCGGCGGUGAGAUAUCCGGAGAAAGCGGGGUGUCGGCCGGAUAGAAUGGCGGCUAUGAGACAUCCGGGUGGAAUUGGGAUGUUGGCCGGAUAGAAUGGCGGCUGUGAGACAUCCGAAGAAAGUGGGAUGUCAGCCGAAUAUAAUGGCGGCUGUGAGAUAUCCGGAGAAAGUGGGAUGUCUGCCGGAUAGAAUUGCGGCUGUGAAACAUCCGGACAAGGUAGAACGUUGGCUGGGCAGAAUUCCGGAUGUGAGACAUCCGGGUGGAAUUGGGAUGUCGGUCGGAUAGAAUUGUGGUUGUGAGAUAUCCGGAGAAAGUGGGAUGUCGGCCAGAUAGAAUUGUGGCUGUGAGAUAUCCGGAGAAAGUGGGAUGUCGGCCGGAUAGAAUUGUGGCUGUGAAACAUCCGGACAAGGUAGAACGUUGGCCGGGCAGAAUUCCGGAUGUGAGACAUCUGGGUGGAAUUGGGAUGUCUGUCGGAUAGAAUUGCGGCUGUGAGAUAUCCGGAGAAAGUGGGAUGUCGGCCGGAUAGAAUUGCGGCUGUGAAACAUCCGGACAAGGUAGAACGUUGGCCAGGCAGAAUUCCGGAUGUGAGACAUCCGGGUGGAACUAGUGAGAAUUUCCGUCCGGGUGGAAUGAGCGAUGCCACAAACCAAGAACCCUCAAGAACUAUGGUAACCUCUGCAUCUGUUUAACCCCAAGAAAAACCCGUUUUACACAGCCUUUAUCAAGUUCCCAUCUUUCUUGGAAUGCUCAUGGUCUCCAUAUCCAAGAAUACCAAGGUAAAGAGAGGAAAGAAACGUAGAUACAGAAGCACACAAAAAGACCAAGAAAGAAAAGAAAAGAAAAAACAGGGGAAAAGAAGACCACCAGUGGGUAUUUUGAAGCCAGAUUGGGACAUAAAUGGGGGCAAGACCCAUAACAUCAAAUUCAAAGGUAAACCUAUAUUCAGAUUACUUUCAGAGGAAACCAAAGACAUUAAAAGGAAUAUUAAAAUAGCAUAAACAUGCAAGUAAACCAGUCUCAACUAAUCAAAUUGUGGCCCUUGCGUCCACACCAAACGACGAGAAUGAAUCUUCAGAAAACUAAGAAGUCAGGAAAGAUUGAAACCAAAUGGUGAUAUAGCAAAAAUCUGGAAACAUACCUGCACGUUCUCCUCUCCAAUUGCUUGGUUCCAGGCUGCUGCACCUUUUCCCGACUGAAAAAUCUGCUCCCCAAACCUUUUUCCAUCCACCAAUCUUCUCCCUCUCUAUACAUGUUCCAAGUCCCUCUCUUCUAUGCUUCCUCUUCCAAACCCCUCUCCUGCCCCCCAAACCUUUUUUCGUCCGCCAAUCUUCUCCCUCUCUACACGCGUUCCAAGUCCCUCUCUUCUAUGCUUCCUCUUCCAGACCCCUCUCCUGCUUUCUUUUCUCGCUAAUGCCCCACUUGUUCUUUUUCUUUUCUCCUUAUAUUCGUAUCAGCCUCUCAAACUCAAUCUGCUCAAGAGAAUCCACUUUCCUUUCUUCUAUUUCCCUUCAUUUUUUCAAAAAUCAAAAUGCUUCUCUCUUCUCAUGCAGGAUCUUCUCUUUCCAUAUGUAUGCAGCCACAUUAAUUCCUUUUUCCUCACAAAAUAUUUCUCUUACCUUUUUGAGUGCACAUACCUUAGUGAGAGUUGAAUAGCAACCCCUAUUCUCUUAUCAAGUCAUACAAAAAAGUGGGUCUAAAAGUGCCUACUGGGCCAAGUGUGUCUAAGUGGGCCUAGAGCGAUGCCUAAUGGGCCAAGUGUACCUAAAAGCUAUCCUAAAAAUAAACGAGAAAGCUUAAGUCUAAAUUAGGGCUGCCAAGAGUCACAAUAAGGGGUUAGAUAAUCCCUCAACCAAAAUCUCCGAGGUGACUCAGAAAAAGGUAAGUUGUACGAGUAGUAAUAGGCCACCAAGGAACUACCGUGGAGCACUGGAAGUGAAUUUAAAGACAUGUGCUAAAGGGACAAAAUUGAGGGUCUACACAUUAUUCAAGGUAGGCAUAUUUUCGAUGUUGCCCUUAUAGCAAAUGAGGUUGUGGAUUCUAAGUUAAAGGUCAACAUUCCUGGCCUUCUCCUAAAAUUGGACAUUGAAAAGGUGUUUGACCAUGUCAAUUGGGACUAUCUUCUUUUUAUUAUGGCUAAAAUGGGGUUUGGGGAAAGAUGGAUUAGCUAGAUUAGUUAGUGUAUUUCCAUUGCUAGCUUCAGUUUUAAUCAACAGAACUCCAUUCGGCUUUUUCCAUAACACUAGAGGCUUGAGACAAGGGGACCCGUUAUCUCCCUAUUUUUUCAUUUUGGUCAUGGAGACUCUCAAUCAAUUGCUAUCUAGAGCCAGUUGUGGGGACUUCAUUAAGGGGUUUAAGGUGGGAAGAAGUAGUGGGAAGGGAGAGACUUGCUUCAUUUCCCAUUUGCUAAUGACACUCUAAUUUUUUGUAAUGUCAAUAGCAACCAUCUGAGAUACUUGAGUUGGGUGUUUUUGUAGUUUUAGGCAAUCUCGGAUUUAAAAGUGAAUAGAGAUAAAAGUGAGGUUAUUACCAUAAGAAGGUUAGAGUCUUGGGAGGAUGUUGCUUCGGUGAUGGGGUGUAGAGUUGGGAAGCUUCCCACUUCUUAUUUGGGACUCUUUUUGGGUGCCUUUUUCAAGUCUUCAAGGGUAUAGGAUGCAAUGGAUGAGAGAUUUAGAAAAAAAUUGUCUCUAUGGAAGAGGCACUAUCUCUCUAAGGGGGGAAGGCUCACCUUGAUAAAAAGCACUCUAUGAGGUCUUCAAAUUUAUUUCCUUUCUCUCUUUGUUAUUCUGCGGAAGGCGUGUGUAAGACUUGAAAAGAUUCAAAGGGACUUUUUGUGGGGCGGUGGUGUCUUAGAGAAAAAACCCCACUUGGUGAAUUGGAGCUUGGUUUGUACUUAUAAAAGGAGGGGGGCUUGGGAAUUUGUAGACUUGUGGUUCUAAACAAAGCCUUACUUGGGAAGCGGAGUUAGAGAUUUGCAGUAAAGAGUGAUACCUUUUGGAAACAAGUCAUAAUCAACAAAUUUGGGUUAGAGGAAAGAGAGUGGUGUUCGAGAGUAGCAGGGAGAGGCUACGGUGUGGGGGUGUGGAAAGCCAUUAGAAAAGAAUGGAAGAGUAUUUGUUGCAGAUAUCGCUUUAUUGUUGAGAAUGGGAAGAAGGUCAAAUUUUGGAAGGACUUGUGAUGUGAGGACUAAACAUUGAAAGAAGUUUUCCUUAACUUAUACUGGUUGGCUGUUAAUAAAGAUGAGUGGGUGUCAAAUGUUUGGGAAGGGAGUGAGGAGUUGGGUUGUUGGAAUCCUCACUUCCCCAGGCAUUUUAAUGAUUGGGAAUUGGAGAAAGUGGAGGGUUUGUUCCUGAAACGGCAUCCUUUGGUAGUGAGAAGAGAAGUGGGGGAUGUAUUGAGUUGGAAAGAAAGUAGGGAUGACAUUUUCUCUGUUAGAUCCCUCUACCAUUCCUUCACAAGGGCCUCUAGUGAUCCUUUUCCUUAGGAUAUUAUUUGGAGGUCUUGGACUCCAAUGAGAGUACACUUUUUUUCUUAGGAAGCAUCUUGGAACAAAAUUUUAACCCCUUGAUCAGUUCAAAAGAAGGGGAUAGAAUAUGCCGAAUAGGUGCUACUUGUGUAACGAGAAAGAGGACACUAACAAUAAUUUAAUCUUAUUUUGUGAAAAAAUUACAAUGCUUUGGAGUUUGAUUUUCUCCAUUUUUGGUGUGUAGUGGGUUUUGCAUUCUUCAAUUAAAAGGAAUUUGCUUAAUUUGCAUGAUGUCUUUGUGGGUAAGAAGAGGGAGAAGGCUUGGAAGGCUGCCCCUUUAUGUUUAAUGUGCACCUUAUGAAAGGAAAGAAAUGAAAGAGCGUUCAAUGAUAUCGAACAAUCAAACCAAGCUAUAAAACAUUCAUUUUUGUAUACUCUUGUAAAUUAGGUUAGGGUAUUUAUAGAGGAUCAUACUUUGUCUAUGAUUGAUUUUAUAAAUUGACUAUGUCUAGUUAGGAGAAGGUUUUUUGGCUUCUUUGCCUAAUUUCUUGGGCGUUCUGAUUGUAUACUUCAUUUGUACUUUUUUUUUGCCACUUCUAGGCGUUUCUAAUACAAGCUUUAUUUACCUAUAUAUAUAAAAAAAAAUGCUUCCACUCCUUUGCCUUGCUUUUGAAGUAAACUAGUUUUAUUUUGACCAAUUAAUGUCACACGGCUUUUAUCUUACCUUCUAUCCUUCAAGCUUUUGAAGCAAAUAGUUUGACCAAUGUCACACGACUUUGACCAUCUCUUCCAGCCUUCAUUGUGCUCUCGUCCACCUAAAAAUGGGAGCAUUUUCUUUACCUGUUGUAGAAGCAACUUAUUCCCCUCGUUUACUGCAAGUUUUGUAGUAAAAAAGCAUCAUCACCAAACACUUGUCACUGUUUUUAGUUAUUACUAUUGGUCAUGAUUCUCUUGUGUUUAGAUUUCUUAGUCGUAUUCUUCAGUUAUUAUUAUUAUUAUCUGUUUGUUCAUGAAAUAUUCAUCUGUAAUAUCUAAUAUUAUUUUAAUAGAUUGAUCAAAGCACCUUUUUUCUGCAAGUUAAUUAUUUGAAGUUACAGUUGAAGUCUUUAUAACUUACAUCUCUUCGUCUCUCUGCUUCUCGAUAAUGACUUCUUCUGUUUUUUUUCCUUCUCCUUCUUCCUCAUCUCUCUACUUAUUGACAAUGGCUAUAUAGCUCACAUCUCUUCAUCCCUCCACUUUUCCACGAUGGUUUUUUCUUAACUCAACUCCCUUCAUCUCUCUUUCUCAACAAUGGCUUCUUCUUCUUCUCGACAAUAACUUUAUAACUCGUAUCUCUCUACUUCUCAAUAAUGGCUUCUUCUUCUUUACUCAAAUCUCUUCAUCUCUCUCCUUCUUGACGAUGGCUUUUUCUUCUCAAUAAUGGCUUUAUAAUUCAAAUCUCUUCAUUUCUCUACUAAAUUCCUGAUAAUGGUUUUUUCUUAACUUAAAGCUUUUCAUUUCUCUCCUUAUCGACAAUGUCUUCUUCUUCUUAACUCAAAUCUCUUCAUCUCUCUACUUCUCGUAAUGACGUUUUCUUAACUCAAAUUAUCUUCAUCUCUCUCUUUCUCCUAACUCAAAUCUCUUCAUCUCUUUCCAUCUCGACAAUGGCUUCUUCUUCUUCUUCUUCUUCUUCUUCUUCUUCUUCUUCUUCUUCUUCCCACUAUGAUGUCUUUCUCAGUUUUAGAGGUGAAGACACUCGUAAUUCCUUCACUGCUCAUCUCUAUAGGCAGUUGUGCCAGAAGGGAAUCAACGUUUUUAUAGAUGAUGAGAAGCUUAAGGGAGGGCAAGCCAUAACCCCUGCACUUGUUACAGCUAUCGAGAACUCCACUGCUUAUGUCGUUCUUUUAUCAGAAAAUUAUGCGUCAUCUAGCUGGUGUCUAGAGGAGCUUGUGAAUGAGUGCAGGAGAACAAAGGGACAGAGGGUUCUUCCAAUUUUCUAUAAGAUCGAUCCAUCAGAUGUGGGGAAUCAAAGGGGGAAAUUUGGAGAAGCCUUGGCUAAACAUGAAAAGAAUUUGGAGGGUAGGGAGAUAGUGCGGAUUUGGAGGGAUGCUCUUACUAAAGUUGCCAAUUUAUUUGGUUGGGAUUCAAGGAAUUGGUAAGUUUUUAAACCCUGCAUGUAUUUUUAAUAUGUUUCUAUUAUUAUUAUUAUUAUUAUCAUCAUUAUUAUUAAAAUGAAAAUUGGUUAAGGAAAUAUUAUGAAUGUAUUAUGAUUGUCCACUUAGACUUAAAUAUAGACUUUCAUAAUUAUAGAAUUACAUCUAUUAUGUGAAACCUUUUAUCUUUAAGUCCAAUCUAAAAUUUAAAAUAGAAUAUGAAGAUUUAGAUACUUAGGUGGUGUUUGUUUUUUUACUCUAACUCUAAAUAGAACUUUAAUGCUUAGAGUGCAUUUUGUAGUGAUUUUAGGAAGUGUUUUUACUUUUUUCAACACUCAAAAUUUUUUAUCUUUCAAAUAUCAAAAAUACUAAAAACAUUUCUUAAAAUCACGGUCAAAUGCACUCUUAAUAAUGUUAAGUAUUAGACUAUUUAUUUUUGUAAUAUUUUAUAUCUAUUAAAUAUUAAAAAGUAAAGAAAAAUCAAUAUGAUACUUUUUCUAUUUUUAAAAAAUUAAAUAUAUUGGUUUUUGUACCUAACAAAAUGUUUAUAAUAAGUUAUAAAAAGUAAAAAAAAAAAAAACAAUUUAAAAUUAGAAAGAAAAUUAUUUUUAGCAAAAAAUUAAAAAACCAAACACUCUCUUAGAGUUGGCAUAAGUCAAACUCCUUUUUGAAUGUUUUAUUUAAACAGUGAUUAGUAAAUUUCUAAACUUGUUUCCUUCCCGAAAAAUAAGGAAAAGAAAAAAUUACUAAAGAAAAUUGCAAUACUAGCGGUCACCAUUUAAACCAACGGAUCAUGCCUAUUAUUCUUUGUUCUGCAAUCAUGGCAGGAAUGAGGCUAAGCUUAUUGAGAAAAUUGUCCAGAGCAUUUUGGAAGGCAUGGACGAGCCUUUGAGAAAAUCAAUUGAUGAUGGUAGGGACCCAGUGGUACGAUUUUUUUAAGAAAAUGAGCGAAUUUAUUCUGAGAACUUUGAUACAAUCGACUAGUAGAAUAACGGCUCGUACUCAAUUAACUAGUCGCCAUGGUAGUGAUAUCGUGAGAAAUUUGAUACAGUAGCUAAUUCAAUAAGGGCUUCUAUACAAUCAGCUAAUCCCAAUGAUAUCAUGAAAGAUUUGAUAAAAUUAACUGCUGAAAUAAGGGCUCUUAUAGAAUUAAUUGGUCCUGAUGAUGAUGCUAUCGUGAGAGAUUUGACACAAUUAGCUAGUGAAGUAAGUGCUCUUAUGAAAUUAAUUGGUCCCCUCGAUGAUGCUGUCGUGAGAGAUUUGAUGCGAUUAGCUAGUGAAGCGGAGGCUCGUAUACUAUCAAUUAUUCCCAAUGAUAAUGGUAUCAUGAGACGUUUUGUAGGUGAAACUCAUCAGGUACCUUCGCGAGCAGACAAAAGGCUUCAAAGGCGCAUGGAGCAAGUGCGUUCCAUCUCUUCUGACCAUGUUGGAGAAGAUUUGAAGAGACAAGGAAAACUUCUUUCAAAAGUAUCAGGGUGUAAAAAUCUAGGUUUGAAAUUCCUAUAAGGGCAAGUUUUCUGGGUUUAACACGGAGCACUACGAUAAAGGCAAGACUUCGUGCCAAACAAGUCCUUAUUGUUCUUCACUACGUGAAUGAUUCAGUAGUCAGCAACUAUGCCAAUGCCUCCAUAUUGAUUUUAAUACUAGAUUCUUGGAAUCUCCUGUAUGUGCUGCUUUUGCAGUCCUGUGAUGAUGUGUUUCAUGGCAGCCCUGCUACAAUAUUUUGUGAAUCGAAGUUGAGUGAUCUUCGUUCCUGUGAGGUGGCCGCAUUGGCAAUCCACUGAACUGGGGUGAUGGAGGUCGUUCUAGCGGAAGUGGUAGGAGAAGAAGCAGGAAAGGGAAAAACCCUAAGAAUGGAAGAUUUUGAAGAUAGGAGGUGAUAGAUAAGGACUGACUCCCACUGCUUGCCAAGGAGCUGAAGCUUUUGAAUUAAAAGGCAUUUUCUUGUAAUAUAAUAGUAUGUUCUUGGACUGAUUUACAUGCUCUAUUUUGACUUCAUCUGCACGGUUCUAAUCAAUAUUAAAAACUUGAAUAUUGUUUUAUUCUAUAAUUAGCUUCUUUUAUUUAUGAUCAUAUUCACUUAAGUACUACUUUAUUCUCUUAUUCAUGUUCACAUAUUAGUAUUCAUAAGAUUGAAAGGAUCCACUUGAUAGUUUUAUUAGUAUAAGGAAAGUCGCAUUGUUCUCCCAUGUCUUGAAAAAUCAUUUGUAUUACUUCCUAAAAAAGCACUUGAUAGACGAUUCUCUGAAAAAUACUUUCAUUAAAAGCACUUUAGAUAAAAAUACUAUUAAUUAAUCGCACUUUACAUGAAUUUGUGGUUCUAUGGAAAAAUAUAUCCAUGUAUAUUAGAACAAGCAUAAUUAUGAUGCAUAUUAAAAGAAAGGCAUGUUUCCACAGUAGUGGAGAAGAAAGGAAAAGUAGUUUGUAUUUUCUUAAAGGAUUCGUGUGAGCAAGUUGUCCACCAAACCUUAUAAAAAAAUGGUUAAAAUAAAAGUCAUUUAAGAAAAAUAGUUUAUUUCUAAAUAUGCUUUCAUGAGUAAAAGUAGUUUGUAUUUUCCUAAAAGAUGCAUAUGUGAGCAAGUUGUCCACUCAACCUUAUAAAAAACGGUUAACAUAAAAGUACCUUAUAUCAAAAGAUGCCUUCACGAGGAAAAGUAGUUUGUUUUUACCUAAAAGAUCCUCUCCUAUUGUUAGAAGAUUCUUAAAAUAAAAAAAUCCUCCACGAAGUUGCUUCUCACUACCGGGCAACCUCCUCUCAUCUUGUUUUAGUUGUUUCAAGCUCUUGUUAGAAGAUUAUUAAAAUUAUCUUUCUUUAAUAUUGCUGCUCAUGAAUGGAACCUACCAAAAGACUUGUGUGUGGACAAUAUAUUUGUUGUUUUAGGAUUUCUUUUUAAUGAUGAAGCAUUUUCUCAAACCUUGGAAUCAAUCGAGCUAGCCUAGUAUGAAGUCUAAAAAAAUUUGAACAAGCAUAAAUUCUACUUUAACCUAAGGUUGGUUAGGGAAUGCUUGGGUCCUUGUUUUAACCAUCUACAACCUUCAAAAAACAAAUUUGAUAUCAUUCAUUUCAAUUCCUAAUGUCCUCAUGUUUACUCACUUUUUUUUACCAAUCCUACUAUAUAUAUACCCAAGUUGAAAAAGUCCAAACUAACUUGCUAUUGACCUAGGUACCUUUUCAAAAUAUUGGUCCUUAUUUCUCAUUCUAUAAUUAUUAAGGAAAAUAAUUAAAAAUAUGUACAAAAUCAAAAUCAAUCAUGACAUAAUAGAAAUUAUAAAGAACAUGUACACAAUCAAAUGCAUAAUGAAAAAAAAAACUCACUCCAAUUUGCAUUUUAAAAAAUAAGUUAAUUUCAUUCACCUCAUCCAAAGUUUUCACUAAAUACACCUAACCUCUAUCGAUUUGAAAUUUCAUCAAGUUUUCAUAAAUCAACACCCUCUCCAUGUUCCUCAAGUUUUCUUCAUGUUUAGUCAAUGCUUCUCCAAAAUUUCCAUUUGUGAUAUCUUACAUGUGAGGGAUCCACAUUGUAGAAAAUAGGGAGAACCCUCUGUCCCUUGGUUCUCAUGCACUCUAGAAUCUUCACCAGCUCCUCCAAACACCACCUGGAAGAAGCAUAAUUUUCUGACAAAAUGAUGACAGAAAACUUGGAGUUUUCAACAUGGUUUUGAAAACCGAAUCGGACUGGCCGGUCAUGGUUUCGGUCCAAUCAGGUCAUGAAUUAGACCGGAAAUAGGUUGAACUAGGAUCGAACCUAUUGAACUGGUGGUCCGACCAGUUCACCGGACAAACCGGUCUGUUCGAUUAAAAUUUUUUUUUUUUUCAGCAUCAAAACGAUGUCGUUUUGAUGUUUCUGGAGUCAAAACGAUGUCAUUUUGGAGGACCUUCUUCCAAACCCUCCAUCUCCGACAAUUGCCGCCCACCCCCAACGCGCUGCAACAGGCUCCCACCAUCAGCCAUUUCACCUCAAUGGCAACCAAAGCUCUACUUCCUCCUCCAACAAUGGCAGCAAGAGCAUCAAGUUCCUCAAGAAGACUCUCUCCUGCACAGACACUAGUUCAAUGCUUUCUACUGAGGUCGUCCCAAAAGGGUUUCUGGCCGUGUGUGUUGGGAAGGAGCUGAAGAGGUUCAUCAUCCUGACAGAGUAUCUGGGUCACCAAGCAUUUGGGGUUCUGCUGAGGGAAGCCGAAGGAGAAUUCGGGUUUCAGCAGGAGGGUGUGCUCAAGAUCCCAUGUGAAGUGGCUGUGUUUGAGAGGAUCUUGAAGGUGGUGGAAGAGAAGAGAGAUGUGUCCUUCUUGUAUGAGUUUGGAUUGAAUGCGGAGAAGGAGAUGAUUGGUUGUUGUUCAUCCUCAGAUUGUGAGCUCACACCUUCUCACCAUCCUCAAAUGAGUAGGUGAUCAGAAGAUGAGAAGAUCAGAUCAUAUCAGAUUUCCUCAAAUUGUUGCUUGUCCCACCCAAUUAGUGAUUUAAAUUUCAAUUUGUAAUAAUAAAUUGGCCGAGAAGAAAAGAAAUAGGCACCGGUUGUAGAUCGCACAACCCCCCUCCCCGACUAGUGGUAGUAGCUGCUCCAACGAUUUAUUUUUAUAUAAUUUUUUUUUUAUGUUUUAUUACUUUUAUAUUUAUUAUUUAAUGUGUUAUUUUUAUUUAUUGAUCAUAAUUUUGAUAGAUAUCAUAAAAAUUUAGAUAGAAUUUAUUUUUUUAUUUUUUUUAUUUUAAUAAUAUAUAAAAUGAUAAAAUAUAAAUUUAUGACGUCACCGAUUCGACCGUCGGUCCAAUCAGUGAACUGUGAACCGGGAACUUUUCCGGUUCAAUGACCGGUCCGAUUAUAAAAACAUUGAUUUUCAAUAGCCACAACAAGCGCAGAAGCUAUGACAUCACCCCUCUCAAGCUUGUCAUUGUCGAUGAAAGUGUCGACUCCUUUGGUGCAUAGCUCCUUAUAGAGAUGGGCAGUGAAGCUAUUGCAGGUGUCUUAUCCUCUAAAGCUCCGGAAACAUAUCAUAACUAUUAGAAUUUUUGGGUUGUGUAUUAAUGGUGUUACUGACAAGUUUUUGAAGAGUGAUGGAUGUUGGGUUAUUGUUGCUGGUUUAUGCUUCUAAUUUGCUAUGAAUAUCUAUACCUACAUACUUACAUUCAGUUCAUAAAUGCAGUUUCUUCUUUUAUUCUACAGAAAGGUUGCAGUCUUAUAUGUAGUUCUAAGUGUGGUUGUGAGUUUAAACCAGCCAUGAUUCAAAUUAUUUGAUACUUUCUUUUCAGGGAACACACUAUCCAAACUAUUUUCGUAACUUCAAAAAUAUGAGUAAAAUUGGGCUACAGCCAAUAAAACUGAAUGAAUUUCUCAAAUUAAAUCAGAAGUAAACAAGCUUAUAAAGUCAUCUUCAUAGAGAGUAGAUGACAAUUGGAGACUCUUCAUUCUCAAAGUUUUUGAACAUCAUGAAAAAUUAUUCUUGGAAAAUCACUAGUGGAAUGCGAUGACCAGGUCAAAUGCUCACUACCAAUCAAAUAAAAAAUUCAGGAACCAAAAAUACAAAUUCUACUUUGCCUUAUUCUAAAACCUAAUUCAUUAGGUACGUUAUAAUUAUCAAAGGCAUUAAAAUCAAUACCAGCAGGGUUCGAAUCAUAUACUCAGAAAAAUGGUGACAAAUAGUUUAAUGAUAUAUGCAUUGUAUAAAAGUUUUAAUAAGUUUCUACCCAAUUUAUCACAUAAAAGAAACCAACUAGGUUCAUAAAUAACAUCAGACAAGUAUAUAAAAUAAUUCAUAAGAAAGCAAGAUUCCAAGCUCCUGGAAUCGCUGCAUUUGCAAAGGAGUUGCUCUGCAGAAAGCAAGAAAAUUAACUCCCUCCAUGGAAAUUCUGAUUCUGGCCUCUGCAAAAGAGGAACAGCUUGUCACAUGGUGUAACUCAAGAUUCUUAUCAUUUCCACCCAAAGAAAGUUUUGAAUGUUACAAUUUGCCAUGAUUGUCAAACUCGUGUUAAACAAAAUGUAGAAGAACCGGAUUUUAUGACUCAAACAUCAUAAAUGUUAGCAAAUGUUCCUGCAGUUUUUAUCCUAGUACUCAACAUCAUAAGUUUCUAAUGCUUAUAACACAAGCAAAACUACUACUAUUAAAAUUGAAUCAUUCACAGUCAGAAAAGAAGUAUGCUGGGUGAUUCAUCAGGCAACUUGCAUUCAUCACCCAACACCAACUUUGCUUCAUUUUCUUAAUCAAACUCCCCAUAUUCGCCACCAAGUGCUAAAUAAAACUCAACACUGUCAACAACUAAUUUUGAAGGCUUAAUAACAAAUUUCAGCAUAAUCAAAGGUCAGAUUCAAACAAAAAUAUCUGCCUAAAAUAUCAAAGAAUACAAGAAAAAAUGACAAAGAGAAUUUCAGUUGCUUCAAUCAAUAUAUCUCAAUAAGAGAAAAGUUGAUGACUCACCGAAAAGUCAGACAGAGAUAUAAUAUAUAGACAUGAUUGGAGGAGUUCGCUGAGAAUUAUUGACGAAAAAUAUCAUCACUGAUUUUGAGAAUGCAUGACCAAAUCAACAGAAAAGAGAAUUUUAUUGGAAAAAAGACCUGGAUGAUGGUAGUCAUUCUUGAGGACGUUUGCGCUUGAGCUUGAGCGUGGGAUCAUUGGUGGGUCCAUCACUGCAGCCACUAGAACUAGAGUCCAUUCCACUUCGAUUGAGUCCUGCUCUGUCACUGCUUCUCUCAACUACAUUACACCCCCUACUCUUAAGCUGUUUUCUAUUUUGUGGAUGGAUUCCUUCAAGAUCUUCUGCAUAUAUAAGACAUACGCCACACUUCUUCACCACAUUGGAUGCACUUGAGUUGAAUCUGUGGGCUGCUUCAAAAGAAAUCUCAAUGUGAUUCCACUCAUUGGGGUCAUUGAAUUGAAACAACCUCAACUGGGAACACGGUUGAUAACCCAGCCAGACAUGUUCUGACCCAACAAUGUUGCCUGUCCAAUGGAAAUCAUGGCCGAAGUCUUUCAAGUCCCCAUAAUUAAAAACAUCAGAAUUCAAAUGGCAUAUAAUUCUCUCAGGAAGAUGUUCAAGAACAGAGCAGAGAGCAAAUCCCAAGAAGUCAUCACUAUACCAAUUUGUAGGUAGCUGAAUUUUUAUAGAAGAUCCCACAUUCUGAUGCCAGAUCCACUCAGGAAUCCCAGUGCCAGGAAAAACAAUACUAAAUGCAAUAUUUUCAAGCAAUUUCUGCAUCAUAACAGGUGAAGUAGUCACAGAGGAAUCAGAAGCAGUGGAAGACACAUAAAUAUGUGGAAAUAUUUGUAAUUCUGUCCUCUUAUCAUCACUGGAUUGGUCCUCAACUGGUUUGGAGCAAUUAUAGAAUAGGAACUGUAGCCCUUGCAAUGUGCUUACACUUGAUGAGCCUGGCAAAAGAGACGUGCAAUUGUGUGCAUCUAUGUCUCGGACACUUGGUGGAAGCUCCGGAAUUCCUGUGAGACUCUGGCACUGCGCCAAUCGAAGGUCUUUUAGGUUUGUAAGUUCACUGAUGCCAGCAGGUAUGCUUAGAAAAUUGUUCCGGCUUAGAUCUAAUUUCUUCAAUGAGAUUAAGGAGCAAAUACCGUUGGGGAUUGCUCCUUCUAUUAGUUUGCAGUCACUUAUGUCUAAAUUUGAUAAGGACCUGAAACUAGAAAAACUAGAAGGCAAGCGCAAACCAAUCCCAUUUGAACUGUUUCCAUGCAAUAACCAGAAUGAAAAGAGCGAACCCAAUGAGGUAGGUGCUAAUAUUUUACAUCCAGGAUAGAUCAAUACUUGCAGGUUUCUCAAAAGAACAAUUGAGUCAGGAGGUUGUGCUAUAGCAGUUCCAUCUGCAUGGAGCUGUGCUAGACGUUGCAGGCUCCCGAGGUUCCUCGGCAAAUUGUUUAAUUAUGAACAACCAGAGACAAUGAGUGUUUCAAGAGAUGUCAAAUUACACAUGCCGUUUGAAAGACUCAGAAGGUUUUUGCAUUUCCUCAGAUUCAAUAGAACGAGGCCUUUGAGACGUUCAAUUGAUGAGGGUAGCACUUCGAUAGGUGUCCCAUCUAAAAGAAGCUCUUUCAAAUUGUCCAUAUUCUCCGUCACUUCUGGAAAACUUUCAAGUUGUGAACAUCCAGAAAGAGAGAGAUUUUCAAGGGAUUUCAACUUACAAAUACUUGUCGGAAGACUCUUAAGAUUUUUGCACCAUUUCAGAUCCAAUAAAACAAGUCCAGUGAGAUGCCCAAUUGAGGAGGGAAGUUCCUCAAUAGCAGUUGAAGCUAAAUAAAGCUCCAAUAAAUUUUCCAUGUUACCUUGAAUAUUUGGAAACUUCUUGAGCCCUGAGCAGCCAGAGAAAUUGAGAAUUUCAAGCGCUUUCAUGUCGAUGAUGCUUGGAAAACAAAUAAGCUUUUUGCAAUUUUUCAAAUUCAAUAAAAUAAGCUUGUUCAGCUUUCCAAUAGAUGGGUGAACCUCAAGCAAACUUGAACAACCAUCAAGAAUUAGUUUCUCCAGAUUGGGCGCACUCACUGUGAUGUCUGGAAUUUCAAUGAGGUGUUGAGAGCAACUAACUCUUAUAGUAUUUAACUUUUCAAGAAGCUGUAACAGGAAAAAAAAAAAAAAUUACUUUGAUAUAUUUGCUUUCAUGGACUUUAGAGUUUAACCAAAGAAGAAAUAUGAAUAAAUAAUCAAUCAUCAUACCAAGUCACCUUCCCAAAGUCGUUUUAAGCUGCUAUAACACAUGUCAAGUUCAACAAGGUCCUCUGCAUAAAAUCCUAAUGGCAAAGAUUCCAAAGGAUAACCAUGCCAAUGGAGAUAUCUUAGCUCAUGAGAAGGGAAUUCAAAGUCUUUAGAUAGCUUUACUUUAUUAUCCUCCCUCGUAGAAGCAGAUUCUAGAUCCCAAUGGAUUUUGAGUAGUCUAAGAUUCUUCAUCAUUGCAAAAGCUUCAGUAGUAAUAUGUAUCCGCGUCAAUCUAGACAAGUUCAGAAGUAUGCCUUCAAUUGCCUUUGUUCCCUGGUAAACAAGAGUAGAUGAUGAGUAGAGCAAAAUACAUAGAAGUUAAAUAAGACAUGUAACUUAAACAAAAAUGAUAUUGUUGAAGCUUAGGUAUUUUGAAUAACCUUAAACAUGAAAGUAUAUUCAUUUGCAUUUUCUCUUACCAUUUUUCUUGUCAAUACACGAUUUACAACCUCAGGAUAGCACAAUCUGCUCCAUUUUCCAGGGUCUCUAGGACAUUCUUGUCGAACAAUUUCUCGUCCCAUUUGUUGUAACAAAUCAUGCAUCCAUAUCUUGUUGUCUAAAAUAGUUACAAAGCACUUAUCACCAAGGACUCCUAUUCCACUCUCCGCAUAGAAGUUGCAAGCAUCUAGGAUUCUAGUAACAAAAUCUUUCUCCUCUCCAUUAAAGAAGCAAGCAAUAUCUAAGAAUAUCUGUUGUUGUGUGUCAUCUAAUUCAUCAUAACUUCUCUUAAGCACACGUUGGAUUUCUUGGUUAGGUUCCCUCUGCAGUUUUUGCAAUUCACUUUCCCAUUGACGUACUGUCUUGCCAUAUAGGAAACAACCCAAAAUCUUAAGACCUAGCGGAAGACCAUUAACAUAAUGUACAACAGAGUUUGAAAGUGUUUCAUAGUCUUCUUUGGGAUGGUUCUGUUUAAAUGCAUUCCAACAAAAGAGUUCAAUAGCUUCCUUGUGAUCUAAUUUCUUAGCCUCAUAUAAUGCAUCCAUUCCAUGCAGCUCCAACAAAUGCUUAUCUCUAGUUGUUACAAUAAUUCUACUUCCUGGACCAAACCAACUAUGGUCACCAGCUAAGGCUUCCAAUUGGUUCAAAUCGUCAACGUCAUCAAGAACAAGAAGAACCUUUUUAAAGCAUAGUCUGUCUUUUAUCAUAUGGACCCCUUCAUCAACAUUCCUUAUAAAGUUCUUCCUUCUUGGCAAGAUAUCAUGAAGAAGUUGUUUUUGUAAAUAAAGUAGACCUCGACUUUUAGAAUCCUCUCUAACAUUAGCAAUAAAGCUAGCAAUCAUGAACUGGGCACCAAUUCGGUUGUAUAAAACUUUGGCCAUGGUUGUCUUACCAAUUCCUCCAAAUCCAUAGAUCCCAACCAUGCGAACAUCAUUUGAUAAUGGAUCUAUUAUUUGUGGAAAAAUUUCUUCCAUUUCUUCCAAACGAUAAUCCAUCCCGAUGAGGUUCUUGUCAACCUGUAAGAGUUUCUGACUAAAUUUCAUCAAAAUAACGCAAGUGAUAUCCUCAAUAAAAUCUGCCUCAGACUUGCUGCCAGAAAGCACAUACAUAGGUGAGCUAACAGAGCAACAAAUGGUAGAAAACAUGAAGUAAACUUGAUUAUGCUUGGUUUAGUACAAAACAUGAAUUAUGGGCAAUUAGAAUUUGUUAAGGGGAUAAGGAUGAAUUAAUUAGAUGUUUCAAGCACCAUUAGAACACUAUAAGAAGAAGAAAGAAAAAAACCUUCUAAAUGUUGCCCUUUAUUUCAUCUUUGCUAACCUCUACCUAUACUGGAAGAUUACUCAACUCCCUUCUUAGAUGAUGUUGGCCUUUAUUUUAAACUUUACACUCUUCCUUUCAUAAGCUUUUUUUUCAUUAGGUCUAUCCUAAGUUAGCAUUUGUAUGUAUCAGAAAACACUAAAAAAUCAAGAAUAGUUGUUUGCCCAUACUAACAUAUUAACCUUAUAAAAGAAUGGAAAGAAAUAGGAAAUCAAUUAAAUUUUAGAUGGGCUUUGAUAGAUCAAUUUAAUGACUUGAUAACUUAAUUUAAGUCAUUAAUAGAUUAAGUAUGUUUAGCAAAAUAACUUAAUAUUAUAAUUUAAAGUAAAAAAUAAUUUUAAAUAUUAAGUCAAAUUAGGUUCUUUAUAAUCUGCAAUCCCUUUUACCUCAUGUCCUCAUGUUUAGUGAGAGUACUACACAAUCAUAACUCCACAUUCACAACCCAUCUUUUAUAGUAAAUAUUUUUUAACCAUUCUAGAUAUCUACAAUAUAUGUUUAACAAAUAAAUUUAUUAUUUAAGAUUAGUCAAAGUAAAUAGGAGUUAAAAUUAGUGAGAGUAAAUAUGAGUUAAUUUGAUGAUUUAGAAUAAAUUUUAAAUUAACUUUAUCAAACAACCUUAAUACUUAAAGUGAAAAUUAAGUAAUAUAUUUUAAGUUAACAACUUAAGAAUAAUUUAAUACUAAUUCCGUCUAAUCUACUCUAUCUAUCGGAAUUCUCCAUAUUAUAAAUUCACUUUAUUUUUUAGGAUAAGAUGCAUGUGCUGAUUAUAAAUUCUAGUAGAUUUCUGAUUUAUCAUUAUGUAUAGAAAGAUAAAAGGAUACUUGCAAAAGAUUAUGCGGAUCGAACAAGCUAUAUUUACCCAUUCUGUAUAUGCCAUCCAGAAAGAUUGCCCACUUCCCUCAAAGCUGCUCUCAACUUCUGUGUAUACUCCAGAGGAAUUUUUCUUUCAUGAUUGGCCAACGCUUCUCCAUAACUCUCCCCCUGAUUUCGCACAUCGGAAGGAUUCACAUGAUAGAAAACUGGAAAAACUAUUUUUCCCAUUUGUCGCCUCGACUCCAUGAUCUCCUUCAACUCGUCCAAACACCACUUGGAAUGAGCAUAGUUUUUCGAGAGAAUUACGAGAAAGCACCUUGACAUCUCAAUAGCUCUCAAAGUAGUUGGCAAAAUCAUUUCUCCCCUGAUAUAAUCCACUCUAAAGGUUCGAAACCCUUUCUGAUACAAAGCUGCAUAGAGAUGAUCUGUGAAAUUUUGUCUGGUAUCUUGACCCCGAAAACUCAAGAAAACUUCAUAUUCCCAUGGACCAAUACAAGUAGAAGUAGAAGAAGAAGACGCCCUUCGAAGAUCCAUCCCAACAAGCUUCUUCUCAACCUGUAAGAGUUCCCGGUUUAAACUCUUCCAAAUAGUGGAAGUAAUCAUCUCAAUAACAUGUGACUCGGGUCUGCAAGUGGCAAAGCAUGACACAUGGGGUGAGUCAAUGGUUGCAAACACCAGCAAAACAUGAAUUAAGUGCCCUGGAUCAUAUAUGCUUUUAGCUUUACUUAGAAAACACGAUUUAUCAUGCAAAGAAAAGAAGUUAUAGUUACCCAUUCCUUAAACACCAUCCGCUAAUCUUCGCCACAUUCCACAACGCUUCCCUCCACCUCUUUAUCUUCGACAUUCCUUCCUCGUCUGCCGUUCUUUCAUGAUCGGCUAAUGCUUCUCCAUAACUCCCCAUCUGUUUUCGCACAUUGGAGGGGUCCACCUGGUAGAAAAUCGGAAACACUAAUUGUCCCAUACACUGCUUCCACUCCAUGAUCUUUACCAGUUCAUCCAAACACCACCUAGAACGGGCAUAGUUUUUGGACAGAAUUACGACACAAAUCCUUGACUCUUCAAUAGCUUUUAAAAGUUCUGCUGCAAUCUCUUCUCCUCUUCGUAGCUCCUCAUCAUCUCUAAAGGUACGAAUCCCUUUCUGAUCCAAAGCUCUGUAGAGAUGAUCUGUAAAAUUAUGGCGAGUAUCUUCACCCAUAAAGCUCAAGAAAACAUCGUAAUUCCAUACACGAGUAGAAAUAGAAGAAGAAGAAGAAGAAGCUCUUUGACUUUGAGGGUCUGCAAAAGCCAUCCACUCUUUACUGUGAGAACUCACUCAACUUAACUUAAAUGGCAGGCAAUUUCUUCAUAAAAGGCGGAAAGAAAUGGCAGGAAAACACUGGUAGGUAGAAAGACAGCGAUGAACUCUGCCUUGGAAGGUCGGGAUGCUGUGUGCUAAAAUUGUUGUGAAGGUCUCCACUGUAUCCCGAAUCUUUUCUAUUGUUUACAAAUUAUUGUCCAUGUAUAUAUCAAAUAUAAAAAUGGAUUACAAUAUUUUUAAUUAUUAUUUUAUUUUAAAUGCAAGAAAGAAGUUUGAUUCCAGCUACCAUCCAUCCACAUACGAUGCCUAAAAAAAAAAUUGAUUGGGUUUAGCUUGACACAUGGGUCUGAACAAACCGGCUUUAGCAUUCAGGUUCUCAUGCCAUAUAUCCAUCAUCGUCUCCGAGGAAGAAAGAAAGCCAUGAAAUCUAGUUUAAAUGAAAUUAACCUUAAAGUAAGUGUUUAGUUUAGAUGUUUGCUAAAAAAUUAAUUUAAAACUUCAUCCGGUGAUAUGAAAUUUAAAUUUUAGAGUUUAUUUACAAAUUAUAAUUUAAAACCAAUUUAUUUUUAAAUAAUUCAGUUCUCUUGGGUUUUGUUUUAUAAAUUCAAUUUAUAUGACAUUAAUUUAAUUUAUAUUAUUAUUGAUUCAAUCAUGGCAGGUGGGGAUGGAGGACGAAAUUUCCUUCCAUUGACCUAAGAAAGAUUCAAGUCUUUUCCUCCCAAUAUUUAAAGACUCAUUGGGAUAUGUAGAUGACAAUGAGAAGGGAAUUAAUUGACUCAUUUUCUAAAAGGAGACACCACAAAAGCCCAAAGUUUAAAAUAAAGUAGCCUUUAUGCUGCCCAAACAAUUCACUACGUAUGACUAGCUCUUUCAACUACUACCACUAUAUGUUUUUAUCAUAAAUUAAUUUGUGGUUGAAAAAGUAUUUUAUGGUGAAAUAAUUUUUUUAUUAAAAAUUAUUAUGGUUAAAAAAAUAUUUUGGGGUAAAAAAGUCUUUUUCAUUAAAAAUUAUUUGUGGGGAUGCUUGAUAUAAGUUGGUGAGUAAUUAUUCUUAGGGUUUUGCUUUGAAAAAACUUGUGUAUAAAAUGAUUAUCUAGGAAUUAUAUUAAGUGAUUAUCUAUAUUUGUCACUUUUAAACUUUAAUAAAAAUUUAGUAAAAGAAUAGUUAUAAUUUAUUUAAUGUUACUAAAGUUAUAACUCUAAGACUGUAAAAAAAUAUUUUUGAAAUACAUUUGUGAAAGUGUUCAUUGGUAAAUUAGAAUAUAGAAUCUACUCUUAAUUUAAAAUAGUAUUAUUAAUUUCUUUGAUUGUAAUUAUAUUGUUAGUUUUUAAUUUAUAGUUGAACUUGUAUAUGCAAAGGAUUGGGUUAAACAUUGAUAGUAUUUUUUUAAUUCAUAAAUUAUUACAAUGUUAAAAUAAAUUUAAAAAUAAAUAAAUAAUGUAAAUUUUGAGGAGGGUACGAAAAAUGUGAUGAAAGUACAAAGAAUAUAAAAAUAGUAUAGGAAAUGUGAAGAAAGUACGAAGAAUUUAAGGAACGUACAAUGAAUGUAACGAGUGUAAGAAGAAUAUGAAGAAUAUACAAAAAAAAUGUGAGAAAAGAACGAAAAAUGUGAGGAAUGGAUAAAAAAUGUGAGGAAUUGAUAAAAUAAUGUGAAGAUAGUAUGAAGAAUGUGAGGAAUGUAUAAAAAAAAUGUAAGAAUGGUAUAAAAAAAUGUGAAAAUGGUAGGAAAGAAUAUGAAGUGAGUACGAAAAAUGGGAGAAAUAUACAAAAAAUGUGAGGAGUGUAAAGAUAAUAUGAGAAGGUAUAGAGAAUGUGAAAAUGACACAAAAAUGUGAGAAGAGUACUAAAAAUAUAUGGUAUGAAAAAACAAAGAGAUAUAUGUUCUUUUCUUAAAUGCGAUGUUGGAGUUAUAUUUUUUUUUAAUUAAAAUGUUUAAAAAUCUUAUAUUUGUUCUUAUCUUUUUAAAAAAUAUUUUAAUAAGAAAAAUGAUAUGGUUCAAAGCAAGCUUGAAAAUGACAUGUACAAAUUUCAAGUCUCCGAAUCAACUAAUUCUCAUUCAAAUUGUCAUUCUCAUGAGCCUUUUAAUCAUCCUAAUGUAGCAACUAAUAAUGCUAUUAUAGUACCUAUGCUACCAACUCUCCUAAAAGCAAUUGUUGUUAGGAAAGGUGUACCCUAACCUUAUAGUGCAUUCACCCAAGCGCCACACAAGGGGAAUUGAUGGAUGCAGCCAACCCUCCGAACUACUAACAAUCCCCCUCCCACCCCCAGCGACACCCCUGGGGUUCAAACCCAUGACCUCGGCUCUGAUACCACUUAUAGGACCUCAGACGCUACCAACUCUCCUAAAAGCAAUUGCUGUUAGGAAAGACGCAUACCCUAGCCUUAUAGUGCAUUCACCCAAGCGCCCACGGCGAACACAAGAGGAGUUGAUGGACGCGACCAACCCUUCACUCUGCCAACAACUAUCUCUAAGAUUUUUUAUAUUUGACAUUCUUGUUUAGGUCACCCUUCUAUUGAGAUUGUAAAGAAGGUGUUCUCACUCUCUAUUUUCUUAGUUGUAUCGUUUGCGUACAAAGGGUCAAGCUUUGUGAUUACUACUCAAAAAGUGCUAUUUCAUAGCUUGUAAUUAACUCUUUUAAACACUUUUGAGUAGUAGUUAUCACCUUUUAACCCAAUUAACAUAUUAAGGACCCUUGCAAUCAAUUCUAAUCAAAUUGUGUUAAGUUUUGGUGUUUUGAUAGCUUUUUGAUCACCAAAGCAAUCCGAGAUUGAGAAGAGUUCUUUGGAAUCCAUGGCAAAAGAUGUCCGGACAGGGCGUCCGGACACACCAUCGGAGGGCGGCGGAACGUGGGUUGUGGCAGGCUAUUGGAAUGACGUAGCAAGGCUUGUGCGCUUUAGCAAUGAUCCUGACAACAUAUCCGGAAUUCUGCUCCGUCGAUAUUACACCCGGAUGUCUCACAUCCGGAAUUCUGCUCCACCGACAUUCCACCCGGAUGUAUCACAUCCGGAAUUCUUCUCCGCCGACAUUCCAUCCGGAUGUCUCACAUCCGGAAUUCUGACGCCGGAUGGGAAAGGAGGGCGUUUCAACUUCCCCGGUCAGACAUAUCCGGAUCUUUUGAUAGCGCUUACCUGGAGAGUUUCGCAGCCAUUUUGCAUAGUGCCGCGGUGUUCUCCUGAAGCUUCCAAAUAUUUGCAACCGACAUUUUGAGAUAUUUUGCUUUAGAUAUUUGAUGUCUAAAUCCCCAAACUCUUCUUAUAACCCACCAAUUAUAGGAUUCCUUAGUUCUUAAGUUUGGAAAAAGGGUGAAUAACCCCUUAUAUAUAGUUUGUAAUCUUCUUUAGAAAAUAUCCAUCUCUCGGGAGCUUGUUCUCAGAGACGGAUCCUUUGUACAGUUUUGCAAGGAAGUAAAAUACAGAGCCUUUGCUCUGCCUUACCUUCUCGUUUUAAUUGUUUUGUAUAUUAUUUACUUUUUAUUUCUAGCCAAUCAAACUCUGAGGAUUUUUCCUCAGAGGAUGAGAGGCUAGGCUCUUCGUCUCUUGGAGUGAAGAAAGCCGGGUAAGUUUCCAUAUGCAUAAAUUGGAAGUUUUGUUGUUUUAGUUUUUAAUGAAGAAAAAGUGUGACCCGUUAAUGGUUUUUAUCUUUUUAGUUAACUUAAAACGCCUUUAAAUCACCUGGGCCAACACUUGAUAAGGCAAGUGAUCUCCAUCCAUUGAGAUGCACUAGUUUAUCUCUUGCGAGCCUUUGGGAAGUGGUUUAAAGGUAGGAUUUUCUAGAAUAGCCAACACUUGGUAAGCUUUUGGACUCCAAGGAGACAUCCAUUAGUUAUCUCUUGCGAGCUUUUGACGGGUAAUCCAAGGUUAAAGAUCACCUUGAAUGGUAAAUGCUAGGUGAGAGGCAUGAGCCAUUGCAAGGUGCAUCAGUGAGAGGGAUUUAAUGUUUGAACCCAUUAAAAGGAAGCAUCUGUACCACACCGGUUAGAGAAUUAACUAUAUGUUAAUUCUCUAAAGCGAGGAAAAGAAACAAGUGACCGGAACUCCCUUUUUGUACAAGGAAUCUAAGCCCAGUGAUCUAAACUCCAAGAAACACUUUUCUUUGUAAUUAAAAUCAGUUACUAUUAUUUUUGGUUAGCUUAAAACCAAUCCUUUUUCAAACAUCUUUAUGUUUUCUUUUAAAGCUAACCUUGAAAUGAAAAGGCACCAAUUCAUCUUUGAAUUAAUAUCAAUUGUGAAAUGAAAACCCAUCCUAGUGAACGAUCCUAGAGCCACUAUGCUAUAGUAGCUUUGUCUUUGCUACCCUAGUUCAUGGUGUAAUAGGUUAUAAAUUUUGUUGAUUACUCCCUGAGAACUACAAUCAAGGGAUACCAGCUGGACACGAAUCAGCUAAGACACCAAUUGGGAACGAAUCACUUUGUCAAUCAAUAUUUGUUCACUUCAAAAAUCUUGUAGAAAACCACUUUAACAUUAAGAUAAAAUUAUACCCAAUUGAUGGUAGGGAUGAGUUUAAACCUUCUCAUUCUUAGUUAAUCAUGACAUUAAACAUUGAUUGUCUUGUCCCAAAACUCCAUAGUAGAAGGCUCAGGUAGUAUGUAAGAAUCAUUAUGUUGUAGGUUAGCCUUGUUUGCUCAAGCAUUUAUGCCUUUCAAAUUUUGGGUGUAUGCAUUUCAUGUUGCUAUUUUUCUCAUAAGAAAAAUGGCUUCUUAUAUGUUAAACUUUCAAUCUCCCUAUCAGGUUCUUUUUAGAUCAAUUCUUGAUUAUUCUUCCUUUAAAUCCUUUGGGUGUCUUUGUAAUCGCUUUAUUCAUCUUUUUAAUAAAUAGAAACUACAAUAUUGGUCUACUAAAUGUCUUUUUGUCAGUUAUCACACUCCUCACAAAAUGUAUCUUUGUCUUUAUUAAACCUUUGAUAAAGUUUACAUCACUCAUCAUGUUGUUUUUGAUGAAUCUUGUUUUCUUGUGGUUGUAGGCACUCUCCCUAGUGUUUCUACUAACUCAUCUCCUUUCCUUAUUUUUCCACUUGCUUUUAUUCAUGUCUUUUUCUUCUCCUUCUCAUGGUUCCUUCAAUACUUUACAUUCUACUCAUCAUUCUUCUUUUGUUUCCCCUAUGUCAUCCCCUAUUCAACUUGUGGUUUUGGACUCUAAGAUGCAUCCAUUACCUCCAACUAUUAAUACUCAUCCUACGCUCACUCAUGUCAAAGCUGGUGUUUUUAAACCUAAGACCUAACAAGCUAAUGCUUCCAUUGAGUUAUCUAAUUUUUAGCAAUUUAUCAAGGAUCUUCAUUGGUAAAAAGCUAUGGAAACUAAUUAUGAUGCCUUAAUGGAGAAUGAUACCCAUACACUAGUUUUUCUACAUUCAAAAGCUAAUAUUGUUGGUUGCAAGUAGGUUUAUAAGUUCAAGUACAAUCCUAAUGGCAACAUUGAACAUUUUAAGUCAUGCUUGAUUGCCAAGGGAUUUCAUCAAACACCUGCCAUUGACUGGUUUUAGUCCAGUGGUCAAAGUGGCUACUAUUUGAAUUUUUCUCAUGAUUACUCUCUCAUUUGGUUGGAUGAUUUGCCAAUUAGAUGUGCAUAAUGCCUUUUUAUAUGGUGAUUUACAUGAGCAAGUAUUUAUAUCCUAGCCAUAAGGAUUUUUUCAUCCCAGUAUCUUGACUAUGUUUGCAAGCUUAACAAAGCUCUCUAUGACCUCAAAUAGGCUCCUCAUGCCUGGUUCACCAAAUUAAGAUUGGCCUUAAGCAGCUUGGGUUUUAGAUGUGUAAGGGAUGAUAAUUUAAUGUUUGUUUAUUAUUUAGCCUCAUAUCUUAUCAUUAUCUUGGUCUAUGUUAAUGGUAUAUUAGUUAUUGGUAGUAGCUCUACUCAAGACCCUCAAUUGAUUGUUUUCUUUAUUGCUUCCUUUCUUUAUAUGAUCUUGGUGUUAUCAAUUAUUUUUUUGGUGUUGAGGUCACUCAUACAUUUGGAGCCCUUCUUCUUACUCAACAUAAGUACAUUAAGGACUUGCUUAAUUGCACAAAGAUUCUCACUUGUAAACCAACUGCUACUCCUAGUUGUGUUAGUCCAACCUUGCCUCAAUUUGAUACUUGAUAAGUCCAUUUAGAGCAACUUAUUAUCUAUGAUUUAACUUGAUAUUUCAUUAGUUUAAGAGUAAUUUUAUCUCAACAAUCAUUAUUUUUAUUGUUUUAGGUCUCAAAUAGCCAAGAGUAUGAAAAGUGAGCAAUAUGAGGCAAAAUUGGAAGAAAAAAUGAAGUUUGACGGCCUCUUACGUGACAAUUUGCGUAACUCACCCGAGAAGAAAGCGCCAUUGCGGGAAGGACUUAAGCGCCACGGCGUACGCAUGUGGAAAAUCAUAGUUGGGGACUCGAGACAAAACCGUCGCAAUUGGAGAAGCUUGUCCGUAGCGGCGCCCAAAGGAAUUUCAGAAAUCCUAAGAACCCGAGACUAAAGCGCCACGGCGGGAGACACUGAGCGCCACGACCUGAUAUUUAAAAUUUGAAAAUUAUUCGUCCUUAUCUCAUUCUGUUCAGAUCAGAAUUAGGUGGGACAUCAGUUUACGAUAUUGGGGCUAUAAAUAGACGAAAGUAGGGUUUAUUUGGGGAUUUUGGAGACUUGGAAGAAUGAGGAUCUUGAAGACCUAGGAGAAGAGAGAGCUUGGAGAACAAGAAGGAAAUUUGUAGAUUUUCUUCUAUUUGUCUGGUUUAUUCUUCCAUUUUCUUUAUGAUUGUAAUUCAAGAUGUUUGUUCUUCAUCUUAAGAUGAACUAAUUUCCUUUGUCUAGGGCUGAGAUGUAGCUCAAUCACGAUUUUUGUUUUUGAUUGGUUUAAAUUAAUUCUCUGUUUUGCAUCAAUUUAUUUGUGUAUCUAUUCUGCGCUUAAUGCUCUCAAUUCUUAAGGGCCCAAGUUUUGAUUGAUUUUAUGAUUUAGGUUGAUAACGAGAGUUAGAAUCUAAAUUAAAUCCAUAGAAUAGAUUACGUUAGAAUGAAUGAAUAGUAGAGAUACAUUACCAUGUUUUAAGAGAUUAAUAGUUAAAUCUAUAAUAAUUCCAUAGAUCGUAAUUACUCCUUUAGACUUAAAUUCACAUAAAGAUAUGUUAGGUUAGUAAUUUAAGGAGCAAUCUGAUACAUUUUGAGAGAAAAUAUUGGUUGGCUUAGGGAAAUAAAUCUCCAAAUAAAGCAUAACAGGAAUUAGGUCAAGCAAUCAAUUGCAUGAAAAGUGUUUGUAGUGAAAUCAAAAGCCCUAGAUCGUUUAAAUCAUAAGAGUUUGAAUUUAUUUUCUUUAAUUGUUUAAGUUGUUUUCUUUUACAACUUUAAAUAUUUGGUUGAUCAAAUAGUAAUAGAAAUAAUAAAUUUUAGUAAUUAGUAGCAUAGUCCUUGUGGGUUCGAUAUCCGUACUUAGGUACAAUUAUAUCACUUGAACAAUUCGUUUACUUACGAACCAACACAUCAAGUUUUUGGCGCCGUUGUCGGGGACUAUUUGUUACUAAUAUUAAUUCCAGUUAUUUAUGUGCUAAUUUGAUUUAUUUUCUUUUUAUUCUCACUCAAUUGUUUUUCUUUUUUUAGGUUUUCUUAAUGUGUGAGACGUACAAGGAGUCUGAACUUAGUACCAAUCGACCUUGAUAUCAACAAAACACUACGAAAACUAAAUCGAAAACGCAAGCAACAAGUAAUUCAAGAGGUUCCUGCAAUGGGGGAUGAGAAUCAUGUUGAUAAUGGAGUCCCAAACAGGGUACUCAAGGAUUAUUAUGUUCCUAAUGUGGGUGUCUCAAGCAUUCGAAGGCCACCCAUCCAAGCUAACAAUUUUGAGAUCAAACCGGUAAUUAUUCAAAUGAUUCAAUCUUCGAUUCAAUUUGGAGGAUUGGCCAAUGAUGAUCCUAAUCUACAUAUUGCAAAUUUCUUAGAAAUUUGUGAUACCUUCAAGCAUAAUGGUGUGACCGAUGAUGCAAUAAGACUUCGAUUGUUUCCAUUCUCUCUAAAUAACAAGGCUAAGGCAUGGUUAAUUUCAUUACCUCCGGGGACAAUCACUACAUGGGAUGGACUAGUUAACGCUUUUCUUACUAAAUCCUUCCCACCAGAAAAAUCUGCAAAAAUGAGGAAUGAUAUAACUAACUUUUUACAGCAAAAUCAAGAGUCUCUUUAUGAAGCUUGGGAAAGGUUCAAAGAUCUUUUAAGAAAGUGCCCACACCAUGGCUUACCAAUGUGGAUGCAAGUGCAAACGUUCUACAAUAGUUUGCACCCUAAUACUCAAACCAUGGUGGAUGCAGCAAGCGGAGGAGCUUUUAUUAAUAAGACAUCGGAUGAGGGAUAUCAACUUAUAGAAGUGAUGGCUAGCAACAAUUUCUUGAAGUCUACGGAUAGAAAUGCACAAAAGAGGACAGUCGGGGUUCAUGAUAUCGAUGCUUUUAAUAAUUUGGCUGCUCAAGUUGCAAUUUUAAAUAAUAAUUUUAAGAAACUGAAUGUUGCUACUGUUUCUAAUCUAGUUUGUGAAAAUUGUGCAGGUAAUCAUCAUAACUUAGAGUGUCAAGUUGGAGGCCCAUAUGAAGCAAAUCCAUCCAAACAAGUGAACUAUGUGACCAAUAAUCAACGUCAAUACAAUCCCAACUCCAAUUAUUUCAACCAAGGGUGGAGGAAUCAUCCGAACUUCUCAUGGAGUAACAACACUCAUGUGCAAAAACCACCUUCCGGUUUCCAAUCUCAAGAUAAUAAGCCAAACUUGGAAGAAGUUUUCACCCAAUUUAUACAAAAGACUAACGAUUUUAUUGAUGAUACUAAAGCAAAUUUCAGGAACCAAGGUGCAAGUAUUCGCAACCUUGAGCAUCAAGUGAGGGAGAUUUCUAAGUUAUUGACGGAGAUAACACAAAGAGCACUUCCUAGUAUCACAAAGACGAAUCCUAAGGAGCAUGUAAAGGUCAUAACUCUUAGAAGUGGGAAGUAGUUAGAACAAUCAAAGGAAGCCGAGUAGCAAGCAAAUAAGGAGAAUACUUCAGUUCCCAAGGAACAAGAUGCUUCCACUUCUAUAUAGCCAUCUAUUCCAAAACCAUCAUCUAAUGCCAUUCUUUUUCCUCAAAGGCUGAAAAAACAAAAUUUAGAUAAGCAAUUUUCUAAAUUUAUUGCUAUUUUUAAGAUCUUACAUAUCAAUCUUCCUUUUGUAGAUAUGCUGGAGCAAAUGCCGAAAUAUGCUAAAUUCUUAAAGGAGGUGUUAUCAAAUAAGAGGAAAUUGAUGGACAAUGAGAAUGUGAUGCUCACUGAAGAGUGCAACACCAUUCUUCAAAGGAAGCUUCCUCCUAAGCUAAAAGAUCCAGGGAGUUUCACUAUACCUUGCACUAUUGGUGAUUUUUAUUUUGAUAAAGUUUUAUGUGAUCUAGGUGCAAGUGUUAAUUCGAUGCCUCUUUCUAUUUUCAAGAAACUUGGACUAAGGGAAGUAAACCCUACUACGGUAUGUUUGCAGCUUGCGGAUAGAUCUAUCAAACAUCCAAGAGGCAUUAUUGAGGAUGUUUUGUUAAAAGUGGAUAAGUUUAUAUUUUUGGCUGAUUUUAUUGUAUUAGAUAUGGAAGAAGACCGGGAUGUUCCACUUAUAUUAGGAAGACCUUUUCUUGCUACAGAUAGAACUCUUAUAGAUUUUCAUCAAGGUAAGUUGAUUUUAAGGGUUCAAGAUGAAAAAGUUACGUUUAAUGUUUUUGAGGCUAUGAAAUUUCCAUCUGAUAUUGAUGCAUGCUUUGCAAUCAGUGUUUUUGAUAGGGUGGUAGCUAAAACAUUUCAUGAAACUUUUCCCACUUCACCUUUAGAAAAUUGUAUAAUGAAUGGUAGAAAUUUAGGAACUCUUUGUGAUGAUGAUGAUGAUAUAAUUGAAUGUGUUAAUAAUCUUGAUGCAUUGCUAACUUAUGAGUUUCCAAGAAAGUUAAAAUUUGAGGAAUUAGAGGCCAUUCAUGUUAACAAUCAUACAUUAAAGAAGAAGCUUCCUAAACUUGAACUUAAAUUGUUGCCAUCUCACCUCAGGUAUGCUUUCUUAAAAGAUUCUAGUUAAUAUCCUUUUAUUAUUAACUCUUCUUUGAAUGAUUUGGAGGAAUAAAAACUAUUAAGAGUUUUGAGGGAGCAUAAGAAAGCUAUUGGAUGGACUAUUGAUGACAUUAAUGGAAUAAGCCCAUCGAUUUGUAUGCAUAAGAUCCUAUUUGAAGAAAGCUACAAGCCAACAGUUCAACCACAACGAAAAUUAAAUCCAUCUAUGCAAGAAAUGGUUAAGAAAGAGGUUGUGAAGCUUUUGGAUGCAGGUAUAAUUUACCCAAUCUCGGAUAGUACAUGGGUAAGUCCAAUUCAAGUAGUUCCUAAGAAGGGAGGUAUAACUGUAGUGAAGAAUGAUAAUAACGAACUUAUCCCCACAAGAAUGAUAACCGGAAGCUUAAUGAUGCCACAAGAAAUGAUCACUUUCCUUUACCCUUCAUUAACCAAAUGGUGGAGAGACUUUCCGGUCAUGAUUAUUAUUGUUUUCUAGAUGGAUAUUCAGGAUACAAUCAAAUCCCCAUAGCACCGGAAGAUCAAGAGAAGACCACUUUUACAUGCUCAUAUGGCACUUUUGCUUACUGACGAAUGCCAUUCGAUUUAUGCAACACUCCGGCCACUUUUCAACGUUGCAUGAUGUCCAUUUUCUCUGAUAUGAUUGAAAAAUGCAUUGAAGUGUUUAUGGAUGAUUUUUAUGUUUUUGGUUCUUUUUUUUAUGAUUGCCUUUCUAAUCUUUCUUUGGUUUUGUAGCGAUGUGUUGACACAAACUUGGUUUUAAAUUGGGAAAAAUGCCAUUUUAUGGUAAGAGAAGGUAUUGUGUUAGGACAUCGAAUUUCUGUAAAAGGAAUUGAGGUGGAUCGUGCUAAGAUAGAUUUGAUUGAGAAGUUGACACCACCUACAAAUGUAAAGGGAGUUAGAAGUUUUCUUGGUCAUGCAGGAUUUUAUAGAAGAUUCAUUAAGGACUUUUCAAAAAAUUUCUAAACCUCUUUGUGAUUUAUUGGCUAAGGAUGCAGUUUUUGAUUUUUCUAAAGAAUGUUUAAAUGCUUUUGAAACUCUUAAGUCUAAACUGAUAUCUUCUCCUAUUAUUGUUGCACCUGAUUGGGAAUUGUCUUUACAUUGAUGUGUGAUGCUAGUGACUUUGCUAUAGGUGCUAUUUUAGGGCAACGGAAAAGUAAAAUUUUUCACGUGAUUUAUUUUGCUAGCAAGGUUUUAACAGAGGGUCAAGUAAAUUAUGCAACCACUGAUAAAGAACUUUUAGCAAUUGUUUAUGCUUUUGACAAAUUUCGAUCUUAUUUGAUAGGGUCUAAGGUGAUUGUCUAUACUGACCAUUCAACUUUGAGGUAUUUAUUUGCUAAGAAAAAGGCAAAGCCAAGGCUACUUUGUUGGAUCUUGCUAAUACAAGAAUUUGACUUGGAAAUCAAAGACAAGAAAGGAACUGAGAAUUUAGUUGCAGAUCAUCUUUCUCGGAUGAAUCAUGUGGAGCCUAAUGAAGAAGUUGAUGAUGAUAUUAAUGAAAGAUUUCCUGAUGAGCAACUUUUUGCAGUUGAAAAAGCGUCAUGGUAUGCAGACAUUGUUAACUAUUUGGCUAAGAAGAUUUUGCCUCCCAAGCUUACUUAUCAAAGGAGGAAGAAGUUUUUCUCAGAUCUCAAGUACCAUUUAUGGGAUGAUCAUUUCCCAUAUAAGCAAUGCGACGAUCAAAUAAUUAUGAAAUGUGUGCCGGAAGAGGAGAUGGAGAGUAUUCUGCAUCAUUUUCAUUCUCGUGAAGUUGGAGGACAUUUUGGAGCUACUAAAAUUGCAGCCAAAGUUUUACAAUCAGGAUUUUAUUGGCCUUCUCUUUUUAAAGAUUCAUUUAAUUUUGUUGCCAAUUGUGAUAGAUGUCAAAGGGUUGGAAUAUAUCUAGGGAAAAUGAGAUGCCUCUAAUAAAUAUUUUAGAAAUAAAAUUGUUUGAUGUAUGGGGUAUUGAUUUUAUGGGUCUUUUUCCAUCCUCUUAUGCUAAUGGUUUUAUUUUGGUUGUUGUAGAUUACGUUUCCAAAUGGGUUAAAGCUGAGGCACUGCAGACCAAUGAUGCUAGAGUGAUGGUUAAAUUUCUUAAGAAGAAUAUUUUUGCAAGAUUUGAUACACCAAGAGCUAUCAUAAGUGAUGGGGGAUCUCAUUUUUGUAAUAGUCAAUUUGAGUCACUAUUGGGUAAAUUGGAGUAACACAUCGUAUAGCUACUCCUUAUCACCCGCAAACAAGUGGUCAAGUUGAGGUAUCUAAUCGUGAGCUCAAGCGAAUUCUGGAGAAAACAGUUAAUUCUUCUAAGAGGGAUUGGUCAAGUAAGUUGGAUUACGCUUUAUGGGCUUAUAGAACGGCAUUCAAGACACCUAUUGGGAUGUCUCCAUAUCAAUUGGUUUAUGGCAAAUCGUGUCAUCUUCCGGUUGAGUUGGAGCACAAAUCAUUUUGGGUUGUUAAACUUUUGAAUUUUGACUUACAAACUGCAGGGGAAAAGAGAUUGUUACAAUUAAAUGAGAUGAAAGAGUUUCGUAAUAAUGCUUAUGAGAAUGCUAAGAUUUAUAAGGAUAAGGCAAAAAGAUGGCAUGAUAAGCAUAUUCAGAAGCGCAAUUUUGAAGUUGGUCAAUAAGUUCUUCUUUUCAACUCACAUCUCAAGCUUUUUCUGGGUAAAUUAAGAUCGCGAUGGUCUGGUCCAUUCAUAGUUAACAAGGUUUUACCAUCAGGAGCAAUAGAAGUUCAUCAUCCAUCAAAGGAGACUUUUACAGUGAACGGGCAACAAUUGAAGCACUAUUUGGGAGGAAAUUUUAGCACCGAACGGGUGUCUGUUGUGCUUUCAAUUCCAAAGUACAAGAGUGGAGAAAGUCUAGCUAACAACUUAAAUUUUAGCGCUUUUCGAAAGACAACUCGAUUUAUUUUGAGCAAUUUUUAUUUUCGAAUCUUGAAUUAUUUUUAGUUGUUAGGAUUUUUAUUAAUUUUGUUUUUAUUUUGUUUCAAAGUUAAUUUAGUUAGUGAAUUUUUAGAGUUAAUUGUUUGGUAGUUUAGGAUUAAUUUUUAUUUUUUUUAUUUUUAACUAUUUUUCCUUUAUUUUCAGGAGAAAAAGGGCUUUUUACAUACCCAGUGAAAGGAGCCGCAGCGGGAGGCAUUGAGUGUCGCGGUUGACUCUUCAAAUGCUACUUAUAAAGGACCCGAGGCUAAACCACUGCAGCUAGUAAGGCUUUGCGCCGAAGCAGUCACCCCCAAUUGAAUUUCUCUUAUAAAAAUUAGGGCUUUGCGCCGCGGCGAAAAGACUUGAGCACCGCUACGCGAUGAGUAAAUGGGAGUUUUAAAAGGGCCAUUUUCCUUCAUUUUUCACAAACAACUUUUCUCAUUUUCUCAUCUUCUCUCCAUUUUCUCUCUAUCCUUCGAUCCUAAUCAUAUUUAAACUCCGAAUUCUUUGUUUUCUUUUGGGAUUACUCAUGGGUUUUGGAGAUUUGGCAAGAUUAAAGCUUGAUUUGGUGUAAUUUUGGAAGGAAAAUUGCAUAUCCAAUCCGUCUUCUUGUUGGGUCACGAUUUGGGGUGAUUGUUUCUACCUUUUUGCUGCAAUUUGGACACUACUAAAUGAUAAAUGAGCGAUUUUUUUAUGUGCCCCAAAAAUUCAUCAAAAAUGGAGUUUUUUCUUUUCCUUACUUUAUUUUCUUUUGUUCAUUGAGGGCAAUGAAAGUAAUUAAGUUUGGGGGGAACGAUUAAUUUCUUCUGGGUUUAGCUAAGUUCAGUUAAAAAUGUUUUUUUCGAAACUUCUUGAUUUUUUAGCAUUAUUUUUCGAGUUGAUUCAUAUAGUCAAUGAUAAUAUCUUGAUUGCUAUGAUGCGUGGUUGUUAAGAUGAAAUUUGAUAUUGCUUAGAUUUUGAGGAUAAUUUGGAUGUUUGUUUUGUUUGGAUUUGAGAUUCAAUGUUGGUCUAGUAUGGUGAUUUUGAUAACAAUCCCAUUUUGCAUGCUUAGAGACAUUUUAUUUAGACAAUUGUGGAUGAUAGAACUUGGCUGAUUGUUACUCAAGGUGAAAUCCUAGAUUUUCAUGUUACUUAGGAGAUGAUUUAGGCCAUUUUUAGAUCGUUUGAGCUUUUCUUACCUUACCCAAAAUAUUUUAUCCGCUAGUUACCUAUUUGAGCCUUUUUAUAUAAUGUUAGCCUUAUUUUUCUUUCUUUAAGCCUAUCUUCCUACCUAUUUUAAGCCUAAACACUUAUCCUUACCCUUGAUGAGAAUAUUUACAUGUUUGUUAUUUAUUUUGUUUGAGAGCAAAAAUAUCUUAUUGAGGAAAAUAUGGAAAUGUGUAUUGUUAACCUAGUUAUAAUAGAGAAAUAAGUUUGGGGGUUUUGAAGAAUAAAAGGAAGAGUGUGCAUAAAAAAAAAAAAAAAUUGGCAUUAGGGUGAAAUAUGUGAAAAGUGCUUAUGAGCACGAAAGAAAGAAAAAGUAUGAAAAGUUUCAAGAAGGUAGGAAGUGAUGUUAAUAUUAAAAGCUCCUUGAGUCUGUUACAUUUUGUUCAAUUGUGAAUGUUCUCAUUCUUUGAAUUUAUCCUUUCCAUUCUUUGUGAGCCAACACCUUAGCCUAACAUUACAAGCUUAUUAAAGACCUUUUGAUCCGAGGUAACAUGAUGAAUAUACAUUAGUGUAGGAUAGCAAGAAAGCCAAGCCUAUGAGAUUCGAUAUCAUACAUUACUUGUUAGAGGUCGACUUUGUCUAUAAUUGUUUUUAUAAAAUCAUUUAGGUAGUAGAAUUGAUUGUUUGAAAGGUUGCUUACUUGGAUUUUUCAUAAGAUUGAAGGUUUGAAUGGAAUGAAUGUCUGAGUAAUCCUUCUUGAUUCGUGCCCCGUUAGUGUACCUUGAUUUUUGGUCCCCUGAUGGGAGUAAUCAACAAAAUUUAUAACCUAUAUCACCAUGCACUAGGAUAGCAUAAGCUAGUAUAGCAUAGUGGCUCUAGGAUCGUUCACUGGGAAGGGUUUUCAACUUACAAUUGAUACCAAUCCAAAGUUGAAUUGGUCCCUUUUCAUUUCAAGGUUAGCUUCAAAAGAAAACAUAAACUUUGGUUGAAAAAGGUUUGGUUUCAAGCUAACUAAAAAGAAAGUAAUGGGAAUUACUUAUAAAGAAAAAGCGUCUCUUGGAGUUUUAGGAUCACUGGGGUCAGGCUCCUCAUGCAAAAACAGAGUUCCGGUCACUUUGGUUCUUUUCCUCGCAUUGGAGAAUUAACAUAUAGUUCAUUCUCCAACCGGUGUUGUACAGAUGCUUCCCUUUUAUGGAUUUUAGUACUAAUUCCCUCUCACUGAUGCAUCUUGCAAUGGCUCGUGCCUUUCACCUAGCAUUUACCAUUCAAGGUGAUCAUUAACCUUGGAUUUCUCUUCUCAAGCUCGCAAGAGAUAACUAAUGGAUGCCUCCUUAGAGUCCAAAAGCUUACCAAGUGUUGGCAAUUCUAGAAAAUCCUACCUUCAAGUCACCUCCCAAAAGCUUGCAAGAGGUAAACUAGUGCAUCUCCAUGGACGGAGAUCAGUUGCCUUACCAAGUGUUGGCUCAGGUGAAUUGAAGGCGUUUUAAGUUAACUAAAAACAUAGAAAUCAUAAACGGGUUACACUUUCUCUUCAUUAACAACUGAAACAACAAAACUCUCAAUUAUUGCAUUCGGGACCUUACCCGGCUACCUUAGCUCCAAGAGACAAAAAGGCCUAGCCACCCAUUCUCUGAGGAAACAUCCUCAGAGCUUGUUUGGCUAGUAAUGAAAAAUAUAAUCAAAUUGAGUAGGUAAGGCAGAGCAAAGCUCUGUAUUUUACUUCCUUUCAAACUAUACAAAAAGUUGUCUCUGAGAACAAGCUCCCGAGCUCCCCUUUUGUAAAGAAAAUUACAACUAUAUAUAAGGGGUUAUUCACCCUUUUUCCAAACUUAAUAACUAAGGAAUCCUAUAAUUGGUGGGUUACAAGGAGAGUUUGGGGAUUUAGACAUCAAAUAUCUAAAGCAAAAUAUCUAAAAAUGUCGGUCUCAAAUAUCUGGAAGCUUCAGGAGAACACCGCGGCACUGUGCAAAAAUGGCUGCGAAACUCUCCGGGUAAGCGCUAUCAAAAGAUCCAGAUAUGUCUGACCGGGGAAGUUGAAACGCUCUCCUCUCCCAUCCGGCGUCAAGUGCUGGAUGUGAAAUAUCCGGAUGGAAUGUCGGCGGAGCAGAAUUCCGGAUGUAAGACAUCCGAGUGGAAUGGCGGCGCACUUUCCUAUCCGGACUCCCUCAGGGAGAAGCACACGGCACUCGUGAUCAUCACACCCCGGACGAUAGCAUAUCCUAUUCGGAUAUGUUGUCCGGAUUAUUGACGCCCAUGUUCCUCCGCCCUCCGAUGGUGUGUCCGGACGCCCUGUCCGGACAUCUUUUGCCAUGGAUUCCAAAGAACUCUCCUCAAUCUCGAAUUGCUUUGGUGAUCAAAAAGCUAUCAAAACACCAAAACUUAACACAAUUUGAUUAGAUUUGAUUGCAAGGGUCCUUAAUAUGUUAAUUGGGUUAAAAGGUAAUAACUACUACUCAAAAGUGUUUAAAAGAGUUAAUUACAAGCUAUGAAAUAACACUUUUUGAGUAGUAAUCACUUCUCAUUUUUGUAAUGUUCGAUAGAUUCUUGACGGCUUUGUGUUAUUAGUAAUUUUUGAGAUAAUAUUAUGAAUCAAACUUGACAAAUGAAUUUGAUUCUAGAAGUUUGAGAAGUUUUGAGUCUUGAUUUAGUUUGUGAUUUAAUUAUUUUUAGAAUAGUUUUAGGUUAGAUUUUAUUUUGUUUUUGCUCGAGGACUAGCAAAAUGUUAAGUUUGGGAGAAUUUGAUAAGUCAAUUUAGAGCGACUUAUUAUCUAUGAUUUAACUUGAUAUUUCAUUAGUUUAAGAGUAAUUUUAUCUUAACAAUCAUUAUUUUUAUUGUUUUAGGUCUCAAAUAGCCAAGAGUAUGAAAAUGGAGCAAUAUGAGGCAAAAUUGGAAGAAAAAUAUGAAGUUUGGCGGCCUCUUACGUGACAAUUCGCGUAACUCACCCGAGAGGAAAGCUCUGCCGCGGGAAGGACUUAAGCGUCGCAGCGUACGCAUGUGGAAAAUCAUAGUUGGGGACUCGAGACAAAACCGCCACGUCUGGAGGUGCUUGUCCGCCGCGGCGCCCGAAGGAAUUUUAGAAAUCCUAGGAACCUGAGACUAAAGCGCCACGACGAGAGACAAUGAGCGCCACAACCCGAUAUUUAAAAUUUGAAAAUUAUUCAUCCUUAUCUCAUAUGUUCAGAUUCGAAUUAGGUGGGACGUCAAUUUACGAUAUUGGGGCUAUAAAUAGACGAAAGUAGGGUUUAUUCGGGGAUCUUGGAGACCUGGAAGAAGGAGGAUCUUGAAGACCUAGGAGAAGAAAGAGCUUGGAGAACAAGAAGGGGAUUUGCAGAUUUCCUUCUAUUUUUCUGGUUUAUUCUUCCCUUUUCUUUAUGAUUGUAAUUCAGGAUGUUUGUUCUUCAUCUCAAGAUGAACUAAUUUCCUUUGUCUAGGGCUGAGAUGUAGCUCAAUCACGACUUCUAUUUUUGAUUGGUUUAAAUUAAUUCUCUGUUUUGCAUUAAUUUAUUUGUGUAUCUAUUCUGCGCUUAAUGUUCUCAAUUCUUAAGGGCCCAAGUUUUGAUUGAUUUUAUGAUUUAGGUUGAUAACGAGAGUUAGAAUCUAAAUUAAAUCCAUAGAAUAGAUUACGUUAGAAUGAAUGAAUAGUAGAGAUACAUUACCAUGUUCUAAGAGAUUAAUAGUUAAAUCUAUAAUAAUUCCAUAGAUCUUAAUUACUCCUUUAGACUUAAAUUCACAUAGAGAUAUGUUAGGUUAGUAAUUUAAGGAGCAAUCUGAUAUAUUUCGAGAGAAAAUAUUGGUUGGCUUAAGGAAUUAAAUCUCCAAAUAAAGCAUAACAGGAAUUAGGUCAAGCAAUCAAUUGCAUGAAAAGUGUUUGUAGUGAAAUCAAAAGCCCUAGAUCGUUUAAAGCAUAAGAGUUUGAAUUUAUUUUCUAUAAUUGUUUAAGUUGCUUUCUUCUACAACUUUAAAUAUUCGGUUGAUCAAAUAGUAGUAGAAAUAAUAAAUUUUAGUAAUUAGUAGCAUAGUCCUUGUGGGUUCAAUAUCCGUACUUAGGUACAAUUAUAUUACUUGAAUGAUUCGUAUACUUGCAAACCAACACAUCAAUAGGGAACCAUUUCUUCAUGUCUUUCUUCAUCGCAAUAUUGUUAGUGUUCAACAAUAUGUCUUCAUUACCCAAACAAACCUAUCUUUUAUUGUUAAUAAGUUUGUCAGUUCAUGUCUCAACUUACUUCUACAUAUUGUUUAUCUAUGAAACACACUUUGCAUUAUUUGAUAGGAUCUUUAUAUUAGUAUCCUUUUACAAGAAAUUGAUCGUCUUCAUUUUCAAGCUUAUUCAAAUUCUGAUACAGUCUAGGCUCUUGUCCUAAUGACAAGAAAAACAAUAAUGAUUAUUGUGUCUUCCUUAGGUUGAAUUUGGCUUCUUAGUCCUCUAAUAAGCAAUGGGUUAUUUCAAGGAGUAGUGUUGAAUUAGAAUAUUGUGGUCUAACUACUACAAUUACUAAACUCACUUAGAUCUACUCUAUGCUUUAGGAACUGUGUAUAGCAUAGGUUACCCCUCCAAUUCUGUGGUGUGAUAAUCAAAAUACUGCUUAUCUUGCUACAAAUCCUAUCUUUCAUGCUCGCCUGAAACAUAUUGAACUCGAUAUCUGACAAAAUGUUACAUAAUGAACUUGUUAUUCAAUAAAUUCCCUCUACUGAUCAACUUACUGAUGUGCUUGUUAACCGAUUGUAGUAAACUUUGUGUUGUUCCCAAAUUGAUUAACUUGCGACGGGAUGAUAAAGAGUAGAUUGCCACCUCAACCUAACUUCUAGAAUAAUCUAUUAGCUGCAACAACUAUUUGUUAUGGAUACUACACACCCAUGUUUUGCUCUUGUUAGAUCUAGUGAAUUAGACAUUAAAGCUUAAAUAAAUAUUUAACAUCACAAGCUCAUGAGUUAGGUGAUUUUUUAGUUCAUUCUCUAGAAUUUUCAAUUUACUUCCAAAGCCUAUAAAUGACCAAUUGUUGAAACAUUGUACUAACAUAUUUUUUUUUUUCCUCAAAGCAUAAAAAUCACAAAUUGUUCGAAUAUUGGAUUGACCUUUUUUUUUCCCUUAUACUUUCGUAGUUGAAUUCAUAAUUUUAGCAAUAAAAAGGGACUAAUUACUUCCAUUAUUGAUAUUGAUGAAACAAUUCCAAUGUAUAUAUAUUGACUAGAUUUAAUUCAGUUGAUUUGAGAUUGAGGAUGAUUUUAUAUGAAUUUAAUGCAUUUUCAAGAUGUUUCAAUGAAGAAUUAAUAGAUAGCAUUUAGUAUGAUUACCAAAUUUGGCUAAAGAAAAAAGGAACUAAUGCCAUUGAAUGAUGACUUAUUCUCUUCCAUUUAAUAAAGGUUAUGUUUUUUAUAUUAUAUAUUUCUUGAUGUAAUUUUCUUUUUUUCAUUCUUCUAGGAUAACUCAUGAGUUUAUUAUUAUUUUUUGGAAUAUAAGAUUUUGCUCAGAGAAUUAGAAAAUGCAAUGAAAUUGAAAAUAUAUAAUUAAAACUUGAAUUUUAAUUUAAAUUUGGGGCUAGAAUAAUUGGCUCUAAUAUUCUAGGCUCCACUACUAAUAACUUUCUCUUAUAGAUUCCAACCAUUCCAAUAUCAUUUGACCAAUUACAUCACUAUGUUUAUCAUUCAAUCUCUUGAAGAUGUUUUCCACAAUUUCAUUGAUGUAUUUGGACUCAUACCAACCAAUUAUAAAUCAUAAUAAAACAUAUGGUGAGUCAAAUGAGCUACAAAAUAAUGAUAAAAGCAACAUGAGGAAAAUUUUAUAAUAUUUUUUUAUAAGCAAAUGGUAGUAAAUUUUAUGCUUAAAUCACAUCAUGACUACAUGAUUAGUAUCCAUGUAAAUGAAGCAAUAUCUUAGUGAGGGCUCCCAAGCUCCUAAUUAAGUAUUAUUAUCAUGGAAAAGAUGAUGUAAGGGUGGUAAUUCUUGAUUAAAUCAAACUAUAAAUAGGAUUUGAAAAUGACAUGAAACUAGUGAGUUCCAUUAAUUGAUGUUGAUCGAUCAUAUUCUAAGUUGAAGUUUUCAACCUGAAUGUAUACUUCAUUUUUUUCCUCUUAGUAUUGUUAUCCUAUGAUUGUCUUCCCUCAUCCAUGUUCCUUCAUUGCAUACAUACUUAGGAUCCUUUUCUAAGUCAUUUAUUGUGUCCUUAUUAGUUGUUCAUUGUUACUCAUCUUAUCACUGUUUUUGGACCUCUUUUAGGGAUAUAUAUUAGAAGGAUUUUGUUUUUCUAAUAUGAUUUUAGUAUCCUUUAGUUUUAGCUUAAGAGUUUGUUUUCAUUCGUAAGUUUUCUUUUGAUUUUGGUUUUUCAACUUGUUUUUAGUUUAGCCCCUUUAUCUUUGUUCUUAGGUAAAUUCAUUUAGUUGCAUUUUAGGAAAAUUCACUCAGUAGUUGAUUACUACUCAAAAAGUGCUCUUUUAUAGCUUGUUAUAAACUCUUUUAAACACUUUUGAGUAGUAUUUAUUACCUUUUAACUCAAUUGGCACAUUAAAGACCCUUGCAAAUGUUUCUAAUCAGGUUUUGGCAAGUUUUGGUGUUUUUGAUAGCUUUUUUAUCAUUAAAACGAGCCAAGAAUGAAGGAGAAUUUUGUAUAGUCCAUGGCAAAGCAAGUUGAAGCUCAAACACAUGAAGAAUUCAAGGUUUGGAGAGCUUCGUAGCCUUUUCCAAAUCAAUCAAGUAUGCAAGGAAGAGAAUCAAAGAAGAAAUCUAACAUCCAACAAUUUCACCUGGCUAUGAGAAAUUUUCGCAUAGCAUGUGAAAUGUCCAAAAGGAGUACAAGCUGCAGGACAGAGAGCAAGACUGUGAAAAAUGAAUUUCGCACCCUAUGCGAAAUUUCGCAAGCCUUGCAAAAAUCCUCCUGUGUAAUUUUCAGAUAUUUUUGCACCUACUCCGUCAGAUUUUUAUCUCGAGAUAUUUUGUGUAAUUACCUAUUUUAUCCUUGUAAUCAAUUAAAGAUAUUUUUAGAUAUUUAGGAUAUCUAAAUAAGGGGUUAAAAUAUCUCUUUAUAUAUGUCUUAAAAUAUCUCUUUUGUAAGCUCUCGGAAGAUUUUCCAGAGAACACUUGUAGAUUCUUGUAGUAAGAAAUACACAGAGCUUUGCUCUGCCUUACCUACUCAUUUUGUUUUUAUUUUCUUUCUAGCCAAACAACCUCUAAUGAUGUUUUCUCAGAGGAUGAGUGGCUAGGUUUUUCAUUUCUUGGACUGAAGGAAGCUAGGUAAGGGAUCCAGAUACAAAGGUGGGAGUUUUCCUUGUUUUAAAUGAGGAGAGUUGUUACCCUUUAAUGGUUUUUAUUUUUAAGGUUUAACUUAAAAUCCCUUCAAAUCAUCUGGGCCAAUACUUGGUAAGCUUUUCAGACUUCCUGGAGAUCCAUUAGUUAUCUCUUAUGAGCCUCUAGGAAGUGGUUUAAAGGUAGGAUUACCUAAAAUGACCAAUACUUGGUAAGCUUUUCGGACUCCCUAGAGAUCCAUUAGUUAUCUCUUACGAGCCUCUGGAAGGUGGUUUAAAGGUAGGAUUACCUAGAAUGGCCAAUACUUGGUAAGCUUUUCGGACUCCCUGGAGAUCCAUUAGUUAUCUCUUACGAGCCUCUGGGAGGUGGUUUAAAGGUAGGAUUACCUAGAAUGACCAAUACUUGGUAAGCUUUUCGGACUCCCUGGAGAUCCAUUAGUUAUCUCUUACGAGCCUUUGAAGGGUAAUCCAAGGUUAGGAUCACCUUGAAUGGCCAAUACUUGGUAAGCUUUUCGGGUUCCAUGGAAUCCAUGGAUGUCUAUUAGUUAUCUCUUACGAGCCAUUGAAAGAUGAUUCACAGUGAGAGGUCUUUAGUGUUUGAAACCAUUAAUGGGAAGCAACUACAGUUUUUCAUGGACCAAUGGGAUCAAAUCUUGAUUGCUAAAUACACACCGGUUCGGGAGAUAACCAUUCUUUAUGUUAUUAUCCCCAACGCGAGGAAAAGAUCCGGAAUCUCCUCCUUUUGUCUAAGGAACCUGAACCUAGUGACCUAAAACUCUAAGAAAUCCUUUUCUUUGUAAUUAAUCUCAGUUACUAUUUUUGGUUAACUUAAAACCAACCUUUUUCAACCAAAAUUAUGUUUUCUUUUAAAGCUAACUCAUAAAAGAAAAAGCAUCAUUUCAGUACUUUAACUAAUAUCACUUGUAAUAUGAAAACCCAUCCUUGUGGACGAUCCUAGAACCACUAUACUAUGCUAGCUAUGCUACCCUAGUGUAUGGUGAAUUAGGUUUAUAAAUUUUGUUGAUAACUCCCGUCUGAGGACUGAAUCAAAUAGAUCACCAAUUGGGGACAAAUCAAAUGGCGUCGUUGUCGGGGAUGGUGCCACUUCACAGUGAUAUAACCUUUACAAAACACUUGUGAUCUUCAUCACAAGUUUGGUGAUUUUUCUUUUCUUUUACUAACUCUUUUUAUUUGUUUUCAUUUUAGUUUAUCUUUUAUCUAGUUUUUAGUUAACCUUAAUUUUUUUUUUCUAGAAUUGUAUUUCUUUUGUUUUCUGUGUUUUUGUUUCAAUUAUUGCUAGUUGUGCAUGCCCUAUUGGAUAUGAGACAAUGAGGGAAGACUUAUGAAAAUCGAAACUCCUCACGAAACAGAGUUGGAAUUGUGCUUGAACGUCAUGGAAGCUACACCUGAAGAUCAGCAUAGUCAACAUGCUCAGGAGGAGAAUUUCAACGCAUACCGAUCCAUGAGGGACCGCAUGCAUGCACCUCGUAUGAGUGCACCGUCAUGCAUAGUGCCACCUACAGAGCAACUGGUGAUCCGACCACAUAUUGUGCCACUUCUACCUACUUUCCACGUGAUGGAAAGUGAGAAUCCCUACGCGCAUAUCAAGGAAUUUGAGGAGGUUUGUAAUACUUUCCAAGAAGGAGGAGCUUCAAUCGACUUGAUGAGGCUCAAGUCAUUUCCUUUCACCUUGAAGGAUAAGGCCAAGGUCUAGCUUAAUUCUUUAAGGCCAAGGAGUAUUCGAACUUGGACUGAUUUGCAAGCUGAAUUUCUUAAGAAAUUUUUCCCGACCUAUAGGACCAAUGGCUUGAAAAGGCAAAUUUCAAACUUCUCAGCUAAAGAGAAUGAGAAAUUCUAUGAGUGUUGGGAGAGAUACAUGGAAGCUAUCAAUGCUUGUCCUCACCAUGGCUUUGAUACAUGGCUAUUGGUGAGCUAUUUUUACGACGUUAUGUCUUUCACUAAUGAAGCAACUCCUAGAAACUAUGUGCGAAGGAGACUUCAUGAGUAAGAAUCCGGAGGAAGCCAUGGAUUUCUUGAGUUAUGUAGCUGAAGUUUCAAGAGGAUGGGAUGAGUCGAAUGCUAGAGAAGUGGGAAGAAUGAAGUCUCAACUUAAUGCUCCUAAUGCUAAGGCUGGAAUGUAUACUUUGAACGAAGAAAUCGAUAUGAAAGCAAAAGUUGCAGCUAUGGCAAGAAGAUUGGAGGAGCUAGAAAUGAAGAAGAUAUGAGAAGUGCAGGUCAUUUCUGAAACACCAAUGCAAGCUAUGUCGUGUUCCAUUUGUCAAUCUUUUGAGCACUUAGUGGAGGAGUGUCCUACGAUUCCAAUUGUGAGAGAAAUGUUUGGGGAUCAAGCAAAUGUUAUUGGACAAUUUAAGCCCAAUAACAAUGCUUCAUAUGGCAACACCUACAAUUCAAAUUGGAGGAACCAUCCGAAUUUCUCAUGGAAACCAAGGGCACCUCAGCACACACAACCUGGCCAAGCACCUCCGUAAGCCUCAAAUCUUGAACAAGCCAUUAUGAAUCUUAGAAAGGUCGUGGGAGACUUUGUUGGAGACCAGAAAUCCAUCAAUGCUCAGCUCAGUCAAAGAAUUGACAGUGUAGAGAGUACAUUGAACAAAAUAAUGGACGGAAUACAAAAUGAUCUAUCUCAGAAGAUAGAUAAUCUCCAGUACUCAAUCUCAAGGCUCACCAACCUCAACACAGUAACAAAGAAAGGAAAGUUUUCUUCUCAACCUCAUCAGAAUCCCAAGGGUAUCCAUGAAGUAGAGGCUUAGGAGGGAGAAUCUUCACAUGUGAAACAAGUCAAAGCAGUUAUCACUCUAAGGAGUGGUAAAGAGAUUGAUCUGCCUACCUCCAAGCAAGAGCAUGAACCAGAGAGUGAAACAUAGAAAGAAAAGAGGAAGGAAAUCAAAGGAAAGAAAAAAGGGAACAGUGCAAAGAAUGAGGACCUUGAAUCUACUGUGAAUGAAGAACCAGAGAGGACCAUCAACCAAGAAGAUAUGAUGAAGAAACACAUGCCUCCACCUUUCCCCCAAGCUUUGCAUGGCAAAAAAGGAAUCAAUAAUGCAUCAGAAAUUCUUGAAGUGUUGAGGCAAGUGAAAGUUAACAUCCCUUUGCUAGACAUGAUUAAACAAGUUCCGACUUAUGCAAAAUUCCUGAAGAACUUAUGCAUUAUAAAAAGAGGGUUGAAUGUGAAUAAGAAAGCCUUCUUGACUGAGCAAGUAAGUGCCAUUAUACAGUGCAAGUCUCUAGUGAAAUACAAAGAUCCAGGUUGUUCUACCAUCUCAGUGAUUAUUGGAGGGACGUGUGUGGAGAAAGCUUUGUUGGACUUGGAGGCAAAUGUGAAUUUGCUACCCUAAUCUGUCUACAAGCAAUUGGGACUUGGAGAGUUGAAGACAACAUCAAUCACUCUAUCUCUAGCAGAUAGAUCUGUGAAGAUUCCAAGAGGCAUGAUUGAAGAUGUCCUAGUUCAAGUUGACAAAUUCUACUACCCAGUGGAUUUUGUUGUUCUUGAUACAAACCCAGUUGCCAAAUGAACUAACUAUGUUCCUAUCAUACUUGGAAAACCAUUCCUAGCUACAUCAAAUGGUAUCAUCAAUUGUAGGAAUGGAGUCAUGCAACUUAUGUUUGGCAACAUGACGUUAGAGCUCAACAUCUUCUAUUUGUGCAAGAAACAAUUCCAUCCAGAAGAAGAAGAAGAACCAAAAGAGGUGUGCAUGAUUGACAACUUAGUGGAGGAGCAUUGUGAUCAGAAAAUGCUCAAAGAUUUGAAUGAAAGUCUUGGGGAUCUUGAUGAAGGGUUACCUGAACCCUCAGAUUUGCUUGCACUUUGCCCCCUUGGAAGAGGAGGGAAGAAAUUCUACCUUUAUUCAAUGGGGAGGAGACACAAGAAGUUGUUAAGGAGGAGCCCCCAAAGCUUAUUCUGAAGCCACUACCCACGGAGUUGAAGUAUGCAUACCUGGAAGAAAACAAACAGAGCCUUGUUGUUAUUUCUUCAUCUCUUACCACUCCUCAGGAGGAUUGUCUACUUGAAGUCCUCAGGAGAUGUAAGAAGGCGAUAGGGUGGCAAAUAUCUGAUCUGAAAGGGAUCAACCCUUUAGUUUGUACCCAUCAUAUAUACAUGGAAGAAGAAGUUAAGCCAGUUCGAAAACCUCAGAGAAGGUUGAACCCUCACAUGCAAGAGGUGGUGUGAGCUGAAGUGCUUAAGCUACUUCAGGCUGGUAUUAUCUACCCCAUAUCAGAUAGCCCAGGGGUGAGUCCUACGCAAGUCGUGCCAAAGAAAUUAGAGAUCACGGUGGUGCAAAAUGAUAAGGGAGAAGAAGUUUCUACACACCUCACUUCAGGUUGGAGGGUGUGUAUUGAUUAUAGAAAGUUGAAUGUUGUAACAAGGAAUGACCGCUUCCCGUUGUCGUUUAUUGAUCAAGUGCUUGAGAGGGUCUCUGGCCAUCCAUUUUACUAUUUCUUGGAUGGCUACUCCGGGUAUUUUCAAAUGGAAAUUGAUGUUGAAGACCACUUUCACAUGUCCAUUCGGAACCUACACAUACGGAAGAAUGUCUUUCGGCUUAUGCAAUGCACCCGCAACAUUCCAAAUAUGCAUGUUAAGCAUUUUCAGUGAUAUGGUGGAGCGUAUUAUGGAAGUCUUUAUGGACGAUAGCACCAUAUAUGGAAGUACGUUUGACGAAUACUUAAUCAACUUGGAAGUUGUUCUGAACCGAUGCAUUGAGAAACACUUGGUGCUUAACUAGGAGAAAUGUCAUUUCAUGGUACACCAAGGGAUUGUCCUUGGGCAUAUUAUCUCAAAGCAAGGCAUUGAAGUGGACAAAGCAAAGGUUGAACUUAUUGUCAAGUUGUCAUCGCCAACAACUAUCAAAUGAGUAAGGCAAUUCCUUGGUUAUGCAGGGUUCUAUAGGAGGUUUAUCAAAGAUUUCUCUAAACUUGCAAGACCUCUUUGUGAACUAUUGGUAAAGGAUGCUAAAUUUGUAUGGGAUGAUCGAUGUCAACGGAGUUUUGAAGAACUGAAGCUAUUUUUGACAACCGCUCAAAUACUGAGAGCUCCCAACUGGCAAUUGCCCUUUGAAGUGAUGUGCGAUGUCAGUGACUUUGCUAUAGGAGCUAUUCUUGGGUAAAGAGAAUAUGGAAAGCCCUAUGUGAUCUACUAUGCGAGCAAAACGUUGAAUGAAGCGCAAAGAAACUACACAACCAUAGAGAAAGAAUUGUUGGCUGUAGUUUUUGCCUUAGACAAAUUCCACACUUAUUUGGUGGGGUCUUUCAUUGUGAUUUUCACUGAUCAUUCGACCUUGAAAUAUCUGCUAACUAAGCAGGAUGCAAAAGCGAGGCUGAUUAGAUGGAUUCUCUUGCUUCAAGAGUUCAAUCUUCAUAUCAAAGACAAGAAAUGAGUGGAGAAUGUGGUAGUCGACCAUCUGUCAAGGCUAGCCAUCGCAACAAAAUUCCCAUAGUUUGCCCAUUAAUGAUGAUUUUCCAGAGGAGUCACUCAUGUUGAUGAAAGUCGCUCCUUGGUAUGCUCAUAUUGCUAACUAUUUAGCUAUCGAAGAAGUUCCAAGUGAGUGGAAAGCACAAGAUAAGAAGCACUUCUUUGCAAAAAUUCAUGCCUAUUAUUAGGAAGAGUCAUUUCUAUUCAAAUAUUGUGCAGAUCAAAUAAUACGGAAGUGCGUCCCUGAACAAGAGCAACAGGGGAUCCUCAGUCAUUGCCACGAAAGCGCAUGUGGAGGCCACUUUGCUUUUCAAAAGACAGCUAUGAAGGUAUUGCAAUCGGGUUUCUGCUAGCCAUCACUUUUCAAAGAUGCCCACACCAUGUGCAGGAGCUGUGAUAGAUGUCAGAGGCUUGGGAAGUUAACACAUAGGAACAUGAUGCCUUUGAACCCCACUUUAAUAGUUGAUCUUUUUUAUGUCUGGGGCAUUGACUUCAUGAGACCUUUUCCUAUGUCCUUUGGCUACUCCUACAUCUUGGUAAGGGUAGAUUAUGUUUCUAAAUGGGUUGAAAUGAUCCCAUGCAAAUGCACUGAUCACAGAGUUGUUCUCAAAUUUCUCAAAGAGGACAUCUUCUCUAGAUUUGGAGUACCCAAGGCUUUAAUCAGUGAUGGGGGUACUCAUUUUUGUAACAAGUCGUUCGAAACUCUCUUAGCCAAGUACGGGGUAAAGCAUAAGGUAGCUACACCUUACCACCCUCAGACUUCUAGGCAAGUUGAGUUAGCAAAUUAGGAGAUCAAAAACAUACUGAUGAAGGUGGUGAAUAUGAGCAGAAGAGAUUGGUCUGUUAAGCUUCAUGAUUCACUAUGGGCGUACAGAACAGCUUACAAGACCAUUCUUGGAAUGUCUCCUUAUCGCCUAGUCUACGGCAAAAUGUUCCAUCUCCCCGUGGAAGUGGAAUACAAAGUUUGGUGGGCAAUCAAGAAGCUCAACAUGGAUUUGAGCAGAGCCGACAUGAAGAGGUUCUUAGACCUUAAUGAGAUGGAGGAACUGAGAAAUGACGCCUACAAUAAUUCAAACAUUGCAAAACAAAGAUUGAAGAGGUGGCAUGAUCACUUAGUCUCCCGCAAAGAAUUCCAGAAGGGACAAAGAGUCUUGCUAUAUGACUCUAAGCUCCAUGAUUACUACUCAAAAAGUGCUAUUUCAUAGCUUGUAAUUAACUCUUUUAAACACUUUUGAGUAGUAGUUAUCACCUUUUAACCCAAUUAACAUAUUAAGGACCCUUACAAUCAAUUCUAAUCAAAUUGUAUUAAGUUUUGGUGUUUUGAUAGCUUUUUUAUCACCAAAGCAAUCCGAGAUUGAGGAGAGUUCUUUGGAAUCCAUGGCAAAAGAUGUCCGGACAAGGCGUCCGGACACACCAUCGGAGGGCGGCGGAACGUGGGCUGUGGCAGGCUGUCGGAAUGACGUAGCAAGGCUUGUGCACUUUAGCCAAUGAUCCGGACAACAUAUCCGGAUAGGAUAUGCUAUCGUCCGGGGUGUGAUGAUCGCGAGUGUUGUGUGCUUCUCCCUGAGGGAGUCCGGAUAGGGGAGCGCGCCACAUAUCCUCUUAGAGAAUCCGAAUGGAGUUGCUCCGGAUAGCGAUGCGCACUCCGUGUCAUCAGGAGAAGGGGUCCCUACACCUUGCACACGCAGACAGCCCCCUUGCGAUGUGUGGCAUCGCACAUUCCACCCGGAUGUAUCACAUCCGGAAUUCUUCUCCGCCGACAUUCCAUCCGGAUAUUUCGCAUCCGACGUUUGAUGCCGGAUGGGAGAGGAGGGCGUUUCAACUUCCCCGGUCAGACAUAUCCGGAUCCUCUGAUAGCGCUUACCCAGAGAGUUUCGCAGCCAUUUUGCACUGUGACGCAGUGUUCUCCUGAAGCUUCCCGAUAUUUGCGACCGAUAUUUUGAGAUAUUUUGCUUUAGAUAUUUGAUGUCUAAAUCCCCAAACUCUCCUUGUAACCCACCAAUUAUAGGAUUCCUUAGUUAUUAAGUUUGGAAAAAUGAUGAAUAACCUUAUAUAUAUUAUUAUUGUAAUUUUCAUAUAAAUAUCUCUCGGGAGCCUAUUCUCAGGGAGACGACGCAUCCUUUGUACAGUUUUGCAAGGAAGUAAAAUACAGAGCCUUUGCUCUGCCUUACCUUCUCGUUUUGAUUGUAUUGUAUAUUAUUUAAUUUUUCUUUCUAGCCAAUCAAACUCUGAGGAUUUUUCCUCAGAGGAUGAGAGGCUAGGCUCUUCGUCUCUUGGAGUGAAGAAAGCCGGGUAAGUUUCCUCAUGCAUAAAUUGGAAGUUUUGUUGUUUUAGUUUUUAAUGAAGAGAAAGUGUGACCCGUUAAUGGUUUCUAUGUUUUUAGUUAACUUAAAACGCCUUUAAAUCACCUGGGCCAACACUUGAUAAGGCAAGUGGUCUCCAUCCAUUGAGAUGCACUAGUUUAUCUUUUGCGAGCCUUUGGGAGGUGGUUUGAAGGUAGGAUUUUCUAGAAUAGCCAACACUUGGUAAGCUUUUGGACUCCAAGGAGACAUCCAUUAGUUAUCUCUUGCGAGCUUUUGACGGGUAAUCCAAGGUUAAAAAUCACCUUGAAUGGCAAAUGCUAGGUGAGAGGCACGAGCCAUUGCAAGAUGCAUCAGUGAGAGGGAUUUAGUGUUUGAACCCAUUAAAGGGAAGCAUCUGUACCACACCGGUUAGAGAAUUAACUAUAUGUUAAUUCUCUAAAGCGAGGAAAAGAAACAAGUGACCGGAACUCCCUUUUUGUACAAGGAACCUGAGCCUAGUGAUCUAAACUCCAAGAAACACUUUUCUUUGUAAGUAAAAUCAGUUACUAUUUUUGGUUAGUUUAAAACCAAACCUUUUCCAUUCAAACAUCUUUAUGUUUUCUUUUAAAGCUAACCUUGGAAUGAAAAGGCACCAAUUCAGCUUUGAAUUAAUAUCAAUUGUGGAGUGAAAACUCAUCCCAGUUAACGAUCCUAGAGCCACUAUGCUAUAGUAGCUUUGUCUUUGCUACCCUAGUUCAUGGUGUAAUAAGUUAUAAAUUUUGUUGAUUACUUCCUGAGGACCAAAAUCAAGGGACACCAGCUGGACACGAAUCAAAUGGCACCACUGUCAGGGACCAUUGAGAUGACAGCUGAGACACCAAUUGGGAACGAAUCAUUCCACAUCUUCCCGGGAAAACUGAAGUCAAGGUGGAUAGGUCCGUUUACUAUCCAACAAGUGCAUUCAAAUGGAGUGGUGGAACUACUCAAUUCCAACAACAUCGAGAGUUUCAAAGUCAAUGGCCAUCGUCUCAAGCCAUUUGUGGAGCCUUUUUCUCUAGACAAUGAGGAAAUCAUCAUCUUUGAGCCACAUCAAGCUUAACAAGACAAGUGGUUAGAUGGACUUAGUCUGUCGAAAGACAUUAAGUCUAUAAUUUUUUGUUUUAAUGUUGAUUUAAAGUUUUAUUGAUUUAGUACUUGUUUUAAUUGUAAUUUCUUGCUUUAAUUUUAUUUUUUUGUGAUUUAAUUUAAUUUUUUAUGAUCAAUUGCAAGUGGAUUUCAUAAUAGAUGGGAAAAACCUUUAAAAAAUUUAUGGUGGAGGAAAAACAGAGCAUUUCGCACAUGCUGCGAAAAUUUUGCAAGGCUUGCGAAAAUCCCAAAUAUCAUUUCGCAAGGGGUACGAAAAUUUCGCACACCCUGCAAAAGCCAAUUCGCACACCCUGUGAAAAUUUCGCAAGGCAUGCGAAAAAUUCGCAUACCCACCUUUGCAUUGCGAAAAUGCCAUGCGAAAUUGCUUUGCUUUGCGAAAAUGUUUUGCGAAAACCUGUGCCAAAUUAGAGAGGGUAUGCAAACCCAUUUCACAAUCCUGUGCGAAGUCCAACAGCCGGUGCGAAAACCAACAGUCACUUAAAACUCUAUUUAAAGCCCUCUAAGCCCUAUUUUCAUUUCGUACACCCCAUCUACCCAUUGCGAAAGCCUCUAUCACCUUGCGACGCCCAAACUUCCAUCGUUUUUCUCCAUUGGACGCCCCGCGACCACCCAUUUGAAGAGGCGACCCCCACCGAACUUGAAGAACACAGACCCGAGCCUUUCACUCCAUUUUUUACAUGGCGCGAAUUAGAGGAGGCCAUACCGACUCUUCACUCUCUCGCGAGCCGAGGCCAAGAGCCUGCUCUCCUCAAGAUUCGACAUCUCAGGCCCUUGAGGCCCCAACCAUUCCAUCUUUUGAGGGAGGAGUGCCCUCUAAUCCUCCUCAACAUAGAUACGAGACGUGGAGACCACCGACUACACCUGGGACUACUUCUUCGCGCCCUGAGACCUCAAUACGUUGCACUCCAACUAAGAGGGCCAGGACUUUAGGCCCUGGAAAGUCGUCUAGAUCUUCACAGCCUGAUCAUAGGGCCCCUGUCGAUUCUCAGCGUCCUUCUAACAUGUCACCGGAAGCCAUCAUCAAACGACCUAUGGUCACCGCGCCGCCCAUUAAGGGCAAUUCAGAUUGUAGAGCCAGACCAUUUCAUUCCGAGCUAUAUUUUGACCUCGAGGUUAUGCGACAGUAGUCGGAGCUUCGGGAUUCAUUUGGACUACUCCAGAGGUACCAUCUCGAGCACCUUAUGACUCCCAGGGAGUUCUUUUACCCCAAAGUGGCAAUGGACUUCUAUCAUUCUAUGACUACUCAAGGCGCCUGGAGUCCUACCGCCAUUCACUUCAGCAUUGAUGGGCGCCAGGGUAUCCUUGAGGCUAGACACAUUGCAGAGGCUCUACAUAUUCCAUACGAGCUAGUGAAUCCAGCAGAUUGCCAGGAGUGGUCCCCUGUAUCUCAGUGGGACAUGGUCCGCAUCUUAUCCAUGGAAACCUUUGGAGAUUCAGUCCUUCUACGUAAGGAGCUUCCACCUAGGAUGCUCCUAGUAGAUGUGUUGCUACAGUCCAAUCUUUUUCCCCUUCAGCAUUUAGUGCAGAUGAGAGGAGCCAUUCUGAACGCUUUAUUCCGGAUAUCCAAGGGUUUCUAUUUCGGGCCACAUCACUUGAUUAUGGCCUCUCUCCUCCACUUUGAGGAGAAGGUUCACAGGAAGAAGCUCCAGAGAGCCGACACUAUUCCACUACUGUUUCCGAGGUUGCUAUGUCACAUAUUGGAGCAUAUGGGUUAUCCUACUGAGCCCUACCUUGAGCGCCGCCAUCAUUGUCGAGAGCGAUUCACUCUCAACAAAUGGACACAGUUGGCGGGCUAUUCGGCACCUCUAGAAGUCCCACCCAGGCCAGCACCUCCAGUGCCACCAUAGGCUGAGUAGGCACAACAGGAUGAGCUUCCCACGGAGUCUGUACCACCUACCCCUACAACACCUAUGCCUGAGGCCACUUAUACUGCUCCUCCUACCACUCCUGCCGUUCCACCAGUUGCACCUUCUAUAUCUGAGGCCUUCAUCACCAUUUCUGCCACAGAGUUUCGCGCCAUGGUACAUACAUUCCAGACACUGACCACUACACACAAUGCUUUAUUCCAACAGAUGGCCACCAUGCGUGCUCGGUAAGACCAUCAUACUGCUAUCCUUCAUCAUAUUCAGCAGCAUUGGGGACUUCUGCCACCACCUCAGCCUGACAUUCAUGGACCAUCACAGCCCAUAGCUCUAGUUAAGGAGACUAUUCCAGCUGAGGAGACCACUAAAGCCAAUGUCCCGAUCUAGCCUACUCAGGAGGCCACCACAGAGGCAUCACCUCCACCAGAGGCCCCCGCUACUUGAUCAUCUCUUUAUCAUAUUGUAUUUACUUAUUAUAUUAGUAGACAUAAUUACAUGUUUUGAUGUUUUAUAUUAUGGGAUUGGAUGUAUUACAUGAUCAUAUCUCACAUUGUACUUUCUCAGAGUAAUAUAUACACAUCAUUUUUUAUUAUAUUUGUCAUUCUUCUAUUUCCUCUACUCAUUACUCUUUUGUUUUUUGAAUCAUGUGGUUUAUCCUAUACGACUCAAACUCCAUGUCACUCAGGAGGUACCACUUCCUUCUUUUAUUUUCAAUCGCUCUUGCCACAUUGAGGACAAUGUUGAUCUUGGUUGAGGGGAGAGUUAAGGAAGAAAGUUUUGUUAAUAAUGCUAGGUUAUUUUGUUAAUUUAGGUCUUUUUUCUUAAUUUUAAACUUUUUGCUUAAUUUUAAAAGUUUUUAUUCUACCAUCCAUGAUUAUUAAGAAAAUUUUCUCAAAAGGAAAUGGGAGAUAUUGAAUUCUUAUCUUUUUACUUGAAUCUUAGAGUUUAUAUUAUGUGUAUUGAGGUUGAUGAAUUAUUGAAAAUCCUAUUGAAUUCAACCUUAUUUCUUCCACUUUAAUCUUACCACACACUAUGCACAUUAGGUUCCAUUUAUAAGAUGAAAAACUAUCUCACCCCCUAAACUUAGGAAAACUUUGACUUAGUACCUUUGACCUCAUUUUAAUAGUAUUGGGACACCUUAUAAAAGGCCAAUGAGCCUUUGAAAAAAAAAAUAAGAAAGAACAAAGUGUUUCGCUUGCCUUGAAACCCGAGCAAGAUCCGAGGGGUUUAUGGCGAAAGUCUUUAAAACCCGAUGCCCUAAACCUUUAUUGGUUGGGAGUCACCAACCUCAAUGCUCGUUGCAAGGGUGAAUAGGUGGAGUUUAACAUAUUGUAGGUGCUUGGGUAUUAAAUGUCAAUCUCAAAAGUCCGGGGUAAAAUCUGAAGAGUUAGUGGUCGAAAGAUCCUUAAAGCUUGAUGCCCUAAACCUUGAUUGGUUGGGAGCCAUCGAUGGAUCCCUAUUACAUGGACACUUUAGAAAACAAUACCUUAAGCAUUGCACACUUACAAUGAAAAAAAAAAUUUGUGAAAUAAAAGAGGUGCGUUUUUAGCCUAUUGGAGGUUGGUCAGUUUGCUAAAGUUUGAGAAAGAACUAGGUUGGGGGGAGAGAUUAGUUCAGCAUACUAUAUUCGGAAACUAAUAAGCUUAACACAUAGAUUUUUGUGCAAUAGUAAGGAUUGAGGCUAUGAGAGUGGAAAUCCUUUUAAUACUUAAAUUUGCAUAAUGCCUACUUUUUAUGAAUUGUGAUCAGGCAAGAUAUUUGAUAAAUUCUUGUUGAAGGUUGAGUUUUGCUUCUUUAAUGUCCCAUGAGAGAGUAUGCUCUACAUCAUGCCACUUGAAAAAAUUUUGGAGUGAUCAGCAUGAUUUUGUAAAUUAUUUUACUGUCUAUUUUUCAUUUUUCUCUCCUUCAUUGCUAAGGGACUAGCAAUAUGUCGGUUGGGGGGAGUGAUUACUACUCAAAAAGUGCUCUUUUAUAGCUAGUUAUAAACACUUUUGAGUAGUAUUUAUUACUUUUUAACUCAAUUGGCACAUUAAAGACCCUUGCAAAUGUUUCUAAUUAGUUUUUGGCAAGUUUUGGUGUUUUUGAUAGCUUUUUUAUCAUUAAAACAAGCCAAGAAUGAGGGAGAAUUUUGUAUAGUUCAUGGCAAAGCAAGUUGAAGCUCAAACACAUGAAGAAUCCAAGGUUUGGAGAGCUUCGUAGCCUUUGCCAAAUCAAUCAAGUAUGCAAGGAAGAGAAUUAGAGAAGAAAUCUAACAUCCAGCAAUUUCGCAUGACUAUGCAAAAUUUUCGCAUAGCAUGCGAAAUGCCCAAAAAGAGUACAAGCUACAGAACAGAGAGUAAGACUGUGAAAAAUGAAUUUCGCACCCUAUGCGAAAUUUUGCAAUCCUUGCGAAAAUCCUCUUGUGUAAUUUUCAGAUAUUUUUGCACCGACUCCGUUAGAUUUUUAUCUCGAGAUAUUUUGUGUAAUUACUUAUUUUCUCCUUGUAAUCAAUUAAAGAUAUUUUUAGAUAUUUAGGAUAUCUAAAUAAGGAGUUAAAAUAUCUCUCUAUAUAUGUCUUAAAAUAUCUCUUUUGUAAGCUUUCGGAAGAUUUUCCAGAGAACUCUUGUAGAUUUUUGUAAUAAGAAAUACACAGAGCUUUGCUCUGCCUUACCUACUCAUUUUGUUUUUAUUUUCUUUCUAGCCAAACAACCUCUGAUGAUGUUUUCUCAGAGGAUGAGUGGCUAGGUUUUUCAUUUCUUGGACUGAAGGAAGCUAGGUAAGGGAUCCGGAUACAAAGGUGGGAGUUUUCCUUGUUUUAAAUGAGGAGAGUUGUUACCCGUUAAUGGUUUUUAUUUUUAAGGUUUAACUUAAAAUCCCUUAAAAUCACCUGGGCCAAUACUUGGUAAGCUUUUCAGACUCCCUGGAGAUCCAUUCGUUAUCUCUUAUGAGCCUCUGGGAGGUGGUUUAAAGAUAGGAUUACCUAAAAUAGCCAAUAAUUGGUAAGCUUUUCGGACUCCCUAGAGAUCCAUUAGUUAUCUCUUACAAGCCUCUAGGAGGUGGUUUAAAGGUAGGAUUACCUAGAAUGGACAAUAUUUGGUAAGCUUUUCGGACUCCCUGGAGAUCCAUUAGUUAUCUCUUACGAGCCUUUGAAGGGUAAUCCAAGGUUAGGAUCACCUUGAAUGGCCAAUACUUGGUAAGCUUUUCGGGGUCCAUGGAAUCCAUGGAUGUCUAUUAGUUAUUGACCGAAAUUUCUCUAUUGUACCAAAAUACUUAGCCUUUUUACGUAGUAACUCUGGUCAAGAAAAACUAGAGAAAGAGUCACUACGGCUUUUGUAGUAUUCCGGGUAUCGUUCUCAAGGACUGGCUUAUGAAAAUUGUCAAUACUAGAAUAAAUGAAUUGUUUUUUGUUUAAAUCCUUAAGUGAAAAACAAUAUGUGAAUAAUGUGAAACUAAGUAAAAGAAAUUGGAUUAAUAAGAGAAAAUGAAUAUUGAUUUUAAAUUCAAUUGAUUCAAGUUUGGGGUUUUCCACAAUCCAACCUAGGGUAUAGAAAUUAUAGAAAACAAGGGUAUUUUAAGUAAUAUGAUCUUAGGGUUUUGGGAUCCUUGGCCACUCGCGAUCAAGUUGGGUUCUAUAACUCAAAAUUGCAUCCGAAACCUAAUUUUUCCUUUUUCAAACAGAUUCCUAAAACCAUCAAAUGAAUGAGAUUGAUUAUCAAUUUAAGAUUUGGCUUUUUAACCCUUCCUACUCCUUAUAGCUUUGUUUAGGGGCAAAUAACGGUAGGGAAAACGAGGAUAACUAAUGAUCAAGAAUUACCAAGAAUCACUAGUAUCAAGUAAUAACCUAUCGUAUCAUUCCCUAAACGAACUCACAAGGAUAGGAUAAAAAAAUAUAAUAAAUUGUCACCCAACCAAUAAUUAAUCUCAUUGUUAUAGUAAUUUACCCAUUGUCCCUAUAGGUUUCCUAGCCCUUAGGUUUUCAUGCUUCAAGCCCCAAGUUGGCUCUUAGCCUCUCAUGGGGGUGAUGUCACAUUCACAAUCCAUAGUAGGGUAAAAAUCCAUAAUUUGAAUCAAAAGAAACUAAAAACAAUAUAUUCAAGAAAGAAGGAGAAGAAAACAAACCAAAGUUCUCGUCUUCUUCCACCUUCAAUGUCAAACUCUCUAGAAAAAAAUCCAAGAUCCAAGAUCCCUAAAACCUAGAAUUGAGAGGGUUUAUAUAAUAUCCUCAAUUACCUAACAUGUGGCACACUCUCAUUGGCCACUUAUUACAAAAUAAUUUCCUAAAAAUGAUUAAAAAAUAAUAAAAUGGUGAUUUCUAGUCGUGUGGGGUCCACCUAGGCCGGAUGGAGUGCUUUAGAUGCAAUUCCCGAGGUAGAGGAGGCGGAACAUCAAAGUGGCAGUGGGUGAAUUCGAAAUUGGUGUCAUUUCGAAGUGAAUUUCGAAUUCAUAAGUUGAAUAUAUGCAAUUCCCGGGGUAGAGGAGGCGGAACAUCAAAGUGGCAGUGGGUGAAUUCGAAAUUGAUGUCAUUUCGAAGUGGAUUUCGAAUUCAUAAGUUGAAUUUCGAAAUCAUAAGUUGAAUUUCGAAAUCAUUUCGAAAUGACCCUCCAGCUUGGUGCAGUUGUCUUCAAAUGGCCAUAACUUCUUCAUUUCAGCUCCAAUUUGCAAACCGUUUGAAGCGUUGGACUCCUGACUUCCCGAGCUUCGAAACGAUAUAUAGUAUGUAUAUAAUGGACUCCAGAAAGUGCUCAAAAUUUGUCCUCAAAGUCAGAGUAUAUAAUGCCAUCAGAUUUUUGAGUUCUAAAUUUCCAUGUAGCUAAAUCUUGCUUCAUGCCUCAUUUCCCAUGCUUCCUUGCCUUCUUUCUUACUCCAUAAUGGUCAUUUAUCAUCCUCCAACCUCAUGAUAUCCUUGUUUUGCCUUUCCUUACAUUCAAUGAAUCUUGACUCACUUAUGUCCUCAUUUAGCCCUUUCUUGAUCUUUCAAAAUCUAAAGUCAUUCAAUUUGCACAAUUUUCUUCCCUUGAACCUGAGAUAAAUCUCCAAAGUAUAGAUUAAACUCAUGGCUAGGGCCUUAGCAUUGAUUUAGGUCAAGUUGGGUGAUUUGAAUGUCCUUUGGUGCACAAAUCAUAUCGAAUAUGUGCCAUUAGAGCACAUAUUUUGGCUCCAAUCAGUUAUCUCUUACAAGCCAUUGAAAUAUGAUUCACAGUGAGAGGUCUUUAGUGUUUGAAACCAUUAAUGGGAAGCAACUACAGUUUUUCAUGGACCAGUGGGAUCAAAUCUUGAUUGCUAAAUACACACCGAUUCGGAAGAUAACCAUUCUUUAUGUUAUUAUCCCCAACGCGAGGAAAAGAUCUGAAAUCUCCCCCUUUUGUCUAAGGAACCUGAACCUAGUGACUUAAAACUCCAAGAAACCCUUUUCUUUGUAAUUAAUCUCAAUUACUACUUUUGGUUAACUUAAAACCAACUUUUUUCAACCAAAAUUAUGUUUUCUUUUAAAGCUAACUCAUAAAAGAAAAAGCACAAUUUCACUACUUUAACUAAUAUCACUUGUAAUAUGAAAACCCAUCCCUGUGGACGAUCCUAGAACCACUAUACUAUGCUAGCUAUGCUACCCUAGUGUAUGGUGAAUUAGGUUUAUAAAUUUUGUUGAUAACUCCCGUCUGAGGACUGAAUCAAAUAGAUCACCAAUUGGGGACGAAUCAGUAGCACUUUAGGUAAAUUCAUUUUAGUUGCAUUUUAAGAAAAUUCAUUUAGUUGCAUUUUUAGAAAAUCAUUUAGUUGCAUUCUAAGUAAAUUCAUUUAGUUGCAUUUUAGGUAAAUUCACUUAGUUGCAUUUCAGGAAAAUUUACUUAGUUGUAGUUUAGGUAAAUUCACUUAGUUGCAUUUUAGUAAAUUCACUUAAUUGCAUUUUAGGUAAAUUUACUCAAUUGCAUUUUAAGAAACUUCACUUAGUUGCAUUUGAGGAUAAUCCACUUUAUGUAUUUUUAGGUGAGUCUCAUUUUUGCAUUUUAGUGAAUUUCAUUGGUGCAUUAUUGUAAUUAAAUUAUUGCAUUUUUAGAGAUUUUUCAUAACAUACUUUGAAAGGUUUUCCAUCUUCUAUAAGAGGACAGUAUGCAACAUCAGUUGGCACAACAAACUCUGAGUGCCAGGAAAGUUCUCUUCUUUCUCGGAUUGACCACCGCACUUUAGGUAUCUCAUACUCAACUGGUACUUGUUCAUUGUGCUCUGGAACUACUUUAAAAGAUUUUGGUUAUUCUUGUUUUGAUUGUUUGUUUCCAAUUAAACUUAUAAUGUUCAUCUUUUUCAUCAAUGUGUAUCUUCUUCUUCACUCUGUAGCAUGUCUUCUACAAAGAUGAUAUUUCUACUGAUGAUAAAAUUGCAAGCAAUGGGAUCUCACAAGCGAUACCCCUUUACUCCAUUAGUAUACCCCAAGAAUAUGCAUUUUCUGAAUUUGGAUCCAACUUUAUUCUUUCUUGGUCAUUAUACAUCACAUAAGCAGGACACCCAAAUAUAUGUAAGGAGGAAAAGUUCGCUGGCUUACUAGUCUACAUAUCCAUAGGUGUUUUCAUCUCAAUUGUUGUUGAUGUAGACCAAUUAAUUAUAUAGCAAGCAGUUUUGGUUGUUUCGGCCCAAUAUGUUUUGGGUAGUCUUGCAGUCUUCAAUAUAGCUCUCAUUCCUUUUGCAACAAUUCUAUUUAUCCAUUUUGCUACACCAUUUUUUUAUAGAGUAUAAGCAAUAGUUUUCUGUCGUUGUAUGUUUUCCUGACUAUAAAAUGCAUCAAACUCCUGGCUACAGAAAUCUCAUAUAUUGUUUAACCUCAAACAUUUUAUCUUUUUUCUCAUUUCAAGCUCCCUCUAGGCUUUAAACGCUUUGAAUACUGGAAAAACAUUUGGCUUUCUCUUAAUAGGGUACACCCAACAUCUUCUAAAAUAAUCAUUUACAAACAACACCAAAAUGCUCCCAAGAUAUGUGACUGGUGAUUCCCAAACAUCAUAAUGAACCAAGUCUAGAAUGCUCUUACUUCUUUUCGUAGAUCUACUGAAUCUUAAUCUAUGUUGCUUACUGAUAACACAAUGCUCACAGAAUAAUAAACUUGUAGUUUUGAGUUCAGGAAGCAACUUUUGAUCAGAAAGAAUUUUCAAUCCUUUUUCUUUCAUGUGACCAAGUUUGUGAUGCCACCAUCUCAUUGUUAAUUCUUCUCCAAAGUUUGCAACAAAAGUCUCUACUUGUUGAUAUGUCCUCUCAUGCAACAUGUAUAGAUUUGCAGUAAUAUUUUCUGCCUUCAUCACCACAAGUGCACAUCUAAUAACCUUAAUGAUUUCCUUUUUAGCAUGGAAUUCAUAUCCAAUGUCAUCUAGUUGUCUUAUUGAUAGCAGAUUUUUCUUUAAGCCUUUUACAUGUCAUAUCUCUAGAAUAAUGUGACUCACACCAUCAUUCAUCUUUACUUUGAUGAAGCCCAUGCCAACAAUCUCCAAAGCAUGAUCAUUACCCAUAUACACUAAUCCUCAUGGGAUAGGUUCAUAUUGGUGAAACCCUUUUCUAUGAGAAGUCAUAUGUCAUGUUGUUGUUGAGUCAAUUAACUAAACUUCAAAAAAUCAUUUUCUAACUUCUACAAUUGUUGUUGCCUCAUUGUAUAAGAUUUUGUCUUCAUUUGAAGUACUUGCUACACAACUCUGAGUAUUUGAUAGCUCAAGCUCUUUCUCUUUCAUGUUUUUAUCUACUUCUCCUUUGAAAUGCCAACACUCUUUUUUUACGUGUCAUUGCUUUCCAUAGUGAUAACAUUUAGCUUUCUUCUUACCUUAGGACUUUGAUCUAUUUUGUUUACUCCCACUAGAACCACGUUUUGUUGAUCUCCCUUUAGAGAUAAUUAGAGCCUCGAUUUGCUGAGAAGAUAUUAUGUCUUCCUUGUUUUUACGCCUACUUUCUUCCUCAAGUACAAUAGUCGCAACAUCAUUAAAGACUAGCAUUAUCUACAAUGCACCAUUGGCCACAUUUAUGAUGAGAUGAUCAUAUGAAUCAAGUAGACUUUGGAGUAGAAGUUCAACACGUUCCUUCUCUUAUAUACUAUGUUUUAUAGCUGAUAGUUAAGAAAAUAGAGUUUUUAGGGUGUUGAUGUGUUCAAUCACCAAAGUUGAUUCUAACAUCCAAAGAGUGUAGAGUUUUCUUUUCAAGAAUAUUUUGUUGUGCAAUGACUUGGCUUCAUAUAAGUUUGUAAAAGUAUCCCAAAUUUCUUUUGCUAAUUAAUUGUAAUUUUAACAUGCUUGACAGUAUAUUAUCUGCUACUGCUAAAUGCAAGCUUGCAAUGAUAUCCCCAUCCAUUUGCUUUCACUUUUUAUCUUCAACAUUUUUUGGUCUUUCACCAAUUGUUUCUAGUUAAUUUUCUUUCCUCAAGAUGGCUUUCAUUUUUAUUUUCCACAGCCCAAAAUUGUUCCCAUUGAAUUUUUCUAUUUCAAAUUUUGUCGUCAUUUGUUUCACUUUUAUAGUGAUUAGUAACCCAGAAUAGGAGUAAGUGGUUGUGUUAAAUACACCAAAAAAGUCUCGAGGAAAGUAGAUAAGUCAUAGUGGUCCCACUCUCCUUAGGCUCUAAUUGCCCUUUUUGAUAGAACAUUCCUAGACAUGUACUAACCACACAAGUAACCAUCUAUUGUCCUAAACCAAAGCUCUAAUACCAUUGUAAUGAAAUGAUACCUAGAGCGAUAAUUUGAAAAUAGAAUAAUAAAAAAUAAAAAUGGAAUAAUAAAUAAAACAAUAGAUAAAACAAUAAAUAAAAUAAUGGACAAAAAUACUUACAUGAUAAAACCUUCUUAAUUAAAAUGGAAACUUCCACGGGACAAGAUAAAAAAAAUAUCCAUUAUAUGAAGACAAAAUUUCAACCUCCCUCUCAAUUAAAAUGAAAGAACAUAAAAGCUUACAAAAGAAUGAAAUCCUUUUUUAGGAUGAAUAGUAUAAGGGGUGGAAGCCUUCUUUCAUAGGACAAGGAAGUUCUCCCUUUUUUGUUUUCUUCUGAUGUGGAAUGACUUCAACCUUAACAAAAUACUGGAAAAACUAUUUGUCCUCUUUCUUUCAUGCACUCCAUGAUCUUGGUCAAUUCAUCUAAACACCAUUUCAAUUGAGCAUAAUAUUUUUUUUAAAUGAUCACACCCUUGAUUCUUCAAUUGUUUUCAAGAGUGAUCCAAUCAUUUCUCCUCUCUGAAGUUUGUCAUCUUUAAAGGUGUCAAUGUGUUUUGGACCCAAUGCCUUGAAGAGAUGAUGGGUGAAACCAUCAUGAGUGUCUUCACCUCUAAAACUCAAAAGCACAUCAUAUCUCCAAUAUUCGAUAGUAUGAGAAGAAGGAGAAACUCUUUUCAUACUCAUGGAAGCCAUUGUUAGGUUGUUUAUGGCCAAAUUAUAGGGUAAAUGAUAUUUAAGCUCCUUUCUAAGGGGGGAAAUAAAGUGAUGUAGGAAGCUAGGCUACUUUUUGUGAUUUUCUAAGAAGUUUUAAUCUUGGAAGAUAUCAAGAAGGCAUGAAAUUUAUGUGAAGAAUGAAAGGCUCUUUUGAGGCUCAUGGAAGCCAUGUAAGAAUUUUAAGUGGCCCAGUGUAUAUUAUUAUGUGACAUUUAAAUAUCAAAUUAAACAUUAUGGUCGAAUAAAUAAUAACGUUAAAAUCCUAUUCGUUAGUUUUCAAGAAGUUAGUUUCCUAAAUUAAAGGCACUUUGAUGGAAAAUGUACUCCUUAUUCUAUAAGGAAAUUGAUCUUCUCUUCACCUUAUAAAAUAAAUGUUAUAUUCCAUCAAUAAUAUAUAUGAGAGAAAACCUAAGGGUAAAAGGGUUAAGGGAGAACAACACGAUUUCUACUAUGUUUAUUGUUUGGUCUCUUCAAGAAUUCUCUACAAAUUAAAAGUAUAUCUUUUCUCAAUAAUGGAAAUGUGAAAAAUCAUAGUGUUCUAAAAUCCUUAGCUAUUAUGAUUUAUGCAAAAUUAGGGUUUGAUUUGCAUAAUUAAAUCAUUACUUUAGAGUUUAAUUGGUGAGCAUAUAAUACCAUUGACAUAUGUUGAUGAUUAAGUAACGUGUUGUGGACUCGCAUUUUUCACGUGCGUUCUCACUCAAACGACGAGACUCAUUUUUUAUUUAGUGAAAAUUUUAUUUUUUGAAAAAGACUUAGAGUCGCCACUUAUUUUAGUUUUUUUUAAAUGAAAACAAAAUAAGAAAGAAAACCAUGUGUGACUUCUUAUUUGGGAAAGACAAAUCUAUAAAAAUUGAGUUUAGAUAUGAGGGUCAGGUUACCUAUGGAGAAGGUACACUUAUAAGCCAUAACACUCCUCUAAACCCAUAUACCUACGAUCUCUACUAAAUGAAUCAAGGGAAUUGUGAUAAUUAAUUAAUUAAUUAUAGAUACCGAAAUUAAAGACACAAAUCAAAAUACACAAAAAUAAUUAUAAAAUCAAAUUACAAAAAUGCACAAGAUAAAUGAUAUGAGAAUUAUGAAAAAUGAUUUAUUGAACUAAUUAAUUAAAAAAAUAUUUCAAAAAUUAGUUUUUCAAGAAAUUUCAAAGGAUUUUAUUAAAAACAAUUUUGAAUUAAUAAUUUUAAUUUGUUUAUUUACAAAAAAAAAAAAGUUUCAAUAUAUUUUUAACAAGUGAUUUGAUUCAAUUUCAUUUGUAUUCAAUUUUCAAAAAAGUUAUUUACACUUAUUUUAUCAAAAGAAUUUAAUACAAAAUUUCAAUUUGACAAUAAAAAUUAUUUUUACUUCUUGUUACUAGAAAAAGUUACAACUUUAUUUAAAAAGUCCUUCAAUUUAAUUUCUAUUUACAAAGGAAUUCAUUUCUUUACAAGCUUUAUUUACAAAAAUAUUUUCGAUCCAAUUUAUUAAGAAAAUGGUUUUUGCAACUUGAAUUUGCAAAAAUGACUCCCCUCUGAUUCUCAUUAAAAGGUUAUUUUAAGACCUUCAUUUACAAAAAUUACUUUUAAUCUCAUUCUAAUUAAGGAAAUAGAAUUUAUUUAAAAAAUAUAUUUUUUUGGACAAUUUUAUUAAAAAAAAUAAUCUUUUGAGAAAUAUUAUUUAAAAGCUAGUUUUCUGAACAAUUUUUUUUAAACAUAAAUUUUCAGACAAUUAUUAUUAAAAACAAUUUUUCGAAUUUUCUUAAAAACAAAUUUUUUUGGAUUUUUCUGAAAGCAUUUUUAUGAAUUUUUAUCAAGAAAACUUUAUUUUAUAAAAAAAUAUAUAUUUUCUGAACCUUUAUUUUUAUUAAAACAAAAUUUCUAAGUUAUUGUUCAAUUUUGUUCACACCCAAUAAAUAUAUACAUAAAAAUAUUUACAGGAAUCAAUAACAAUAAAACUAAAUGGAAGUGGAAAAUAAAACGUAUAUCCCAACAAGCCUACAACAAGUUCAAUGCUUCAUUUAUAGUUUUCCUGAGCUUUCUUUCCUUCCAUGAAAUUCGAUUUUCCACUUGUCAUUGAUCUAUAUUCAAUGGAAGGAGCCCAUUCAAAACAAAAUUAAACCAAAUGUAAAUAUCUAGAAAUGUACAAAGUCCAAAAUAAAUAUUUAAACUUAAAUUCAAACUUCAAAUUAGUCAAAUAAAUUUUACUAAUUAAAAAAGGGCCCAAAUUAGUAAAUAAAACUCAACAAAAAUAACCCACAUGUUAUAGGCCUUAGUCCAAGAUCUCCAAAUUAAUAACUAAAAUACAAGCACAAUUAACCAAACCUAAAAUUUGAUAAUUAAAACAAAUUCCAUUAGACCUAAAUUUAAUAUCCCAUAAUCUAAAAGAAAUUAACCCAAUUUAAUAUGUAAACCUAAAUCCAUAACCAAAAUCAACUCAAUUUAAUAUGCAAACUUGAAGUAACACCCAAAAUAUACCACAAUUAUCUCAUAACAAAUCAAAUAAUUUAAAUGAACAAAAUCCAUAUCAAUUAUAAAUCCAUCCAACAAAUUUCAUUAACAACAAAUAAACCCAAAUUUUGUAUUAAUUCAUCAAAGCUCACAUUCCAUAUUAAUUCACCAAUUCAAAUCUCACAAAUAAAAUAAAAUAAUGCAUAAAAUAAACUUACACAUUUUUUUGGAGACCAAGAAUGAAUAGGAGAGAAAAAAAUGGCAGUGGAAUUGAGGAGAGAAAGAAAAGGAAAAAAAGGAAAAAAUAAUAAUAAAAUAGGCAAAUGGGUGAGGUGAGAAAGGGAGGGAAGGGGAAAAUGAGAAAGGGGAAAAGGAGAUGGUUGACCGACAGUGGCUUGCCAAUGACGAUUGGCCGGCCGUGUUGUCCACAGUGAAGGUUGAGUGAGUGUGGUGAGAGAGAAAGAAAGAAGAAAAGAAGUAGGAAAAAAAGAAAGAAAAAAAAAUGGGGAAGGGCAUGUACAAUCUCUAAAAGUGGGUUGUCUCCGUGAUGUGGGGGGGUACGGGAGAAAGUGGGGGUAGGUGGAAAGAGAGAGAAGAGAGAAAAAUAAAAUAAAAUAAAAUAGAGAAAAGAAGAAAAUGAAAAAGAAAAAAUGUAAAAUAUAAUAAUAAUAAUAAUAAAAUGUUCUACAAAAUAAUAAAACUAAGAAUUAAAUAGUGUCUAUGGACAAAAAAAAAAUAGAUGUAAUCAAGUUUAGAAUGUAAAGAUAAAAUGAAGCUCAAAAUCAAUGUAAAAAUAAAUAUGAGACAAAUUUUGAGGUCUAUCCAUGUAUACUUUUGAUGUUAUUGUGAUGAAGUUUAUGAUAAUCAAAGUUUGACUUUAUCAAUUUUUGAUAUAUUAUAUAUAAUGUAUGUUUAUGGUUAAUAUAUAAAGUGAAUGACUUUCUUAAUUCAUGAAAUUUAUUGAAUUGAUUUAUACAUCAACCACUUUUGAUUGAACCAUAAAUAUGAUUUUGUUCAUGUUGUUGCAUCUUUAUCAUCAAUAGAUUCUAUAUGUAAGUGAAAUAGAUUAUGUUAUAUAUAUAUUUAUGUCAAUAGUGAAUUUUGUAUCUUUGAUAGUAAUGUUUUAACGAUAUAUGUACUAUAUAUAAAGAACCAAGAAAAUAUUAGAAGGGUAAACCCAACGAGAGGAAGUACUACCUAAUUCAUAAAUAGUACAAAAUGGUGAUAUGGUGGUCGAGAAAAUACCUUCCACGAAAGAACCUAAUGGAUCUCUUUAAUAAAACAUUAAUAGGCGUCACAUCACUUGUGGCUGGUUUGUGUACCGCUUCCCCGCUUCAUCAAUUGGUGUCAAGUCACUCACAUCAAAGCUUCAUUCAGAAUAACCACCUUGAUGGGCCUUAAUGUAAUUAAGGAAUGUGGAAUUGGUAUAGUGUAUGUUAAUGAAGAGAUGAAUUACUCUAUCUUCACUCCUCCUAAUGAGUCAUCUGUUGUCCUUCAAGAAAUCCACGAGGAGGGACCUAGUGCAAGCGGGUGCUCUAAUAUUGAACUCUGAUUACUAUUCUGCUGAUGAGGGGGAACCCACUGCACCCCUACUGUAAGGAUCACUCUGAAUCAGAGAUGUAGCUAGAGCAACGGUUGCAAUGCAGCCAUUAUCAGAGCAUCCCUUGGCGAGGAGGAACCGGGCAGACAAAUGCUUGAUAUGCACCCAAAUCUUCCGAUAUCAACUAUUGGUGAGCUGUGUGCUUCCUUUGUUUCUUAUCUUGAAACUGACUUUGUUCCUUUGUUUCUAAUAUUUUUGAAACAUCAUAACCAUUGGAGUUUUCGGGUUGUGCAGUAGUGGUGUUGCUGACAAGCUUUUGAAGUUUGAUACAUGCUGGGUGGUUGUUGCUGGUUUUUGCUUUAAAUUUGCCUUGAUACAUGUUGAGUUGUUUAGCAAACUCACUCUUGACAGAUUUUGGUUAUUCUUUCCCACAUGCUAAUGUGAUAUAUCUCUGUUCAAAUUCCUAUUUUCAUUCUUAUUCUCAUAUACUGAACAUACACCCUUAAGGGCAUAUGUUCUCUUCUAAUGUUAGAACAAAAAGGAUCAUGAUAAUUUUUUUUUGGGGAUGGGUUCUUUUGGCUGAAUAUGAUAGAGCUGUUAACAGUUCAUGGUUACUUUGUAAGAAUUGUAAAUUCUUUGGUUGAUUUUUAUACCAUAUUUUGUAGUUUCAUUUUGAUGGAUUCUAAGGUAAUCCAUGACUCAUUUAUCUUCAUUUUGUUAGUAAUGAUGUAUAAGAUACUUGCAGCCAAUGUUUUGAAAACCGGACUAAACCGUUAUCGGCCAUCUCUCAGGUCGAGUUUUCCCUAGGGAACCAUUUUCAUAUUAAACCGGGCUUGAACUGCUCAAGUCGGUCUGGUUUGCACCAGGGAACUAUUUUCAUAUUAAAUCGGUGUUAAACCGCUUGAGCCAUGGUUGGAUCAUUGAACCGGACGGACCGUUCGGCUUCCUAAGAAGCAGUCAAGCCCAAAACUGGGCCAAACUUCCACUUGUUGUAGAAGCCCAAUAGGCUCUACAGCCAAUCAUCCAUUAAAAGCCCAAACCGGUUGAGCCCAAGAGGGUUUAAACGAGCCAAAGCCCAACCCAAUCCGAUGUGGGAUUGAUUCCAGGUGGUAAGGAAAAAAAGUUGUGCAUGCUGCAGGUGGAUUUGAGGUCAGCUUUAAAAUCAAGGGCAAGGCCAUUGAGCUAUAUGCCAUCCAUGUACAAUAAUGCUGUAAAACUAAAUAUAUAGAAAGAUUAAUGGUUUUUUUUUCAAAUAUUUUCAUGUAAAUAUUUACGUUCAUGUCUAUUUGUAUAAUAAUAAUUAUGAAAAUAAUGUAAAUAAUUAAUAUAAUAAUUUUAAAGUAAUAAAAUACAACGAGAUAAAAUUAAAUACUAUGAUUUUAUUUUCAUCUUAAAUACUUUAUAUUUAAAUAUUAUACAUAUUCUAUUUAAUAAGGUUUCAAAUAUUAAUAUAUUUACAUUUAUCUUUAUAAUUUAAUUUGAUAUAUCUAAUAUAAAAUUGAAAUAUUAUUUAAAAUUUUUAUUAUAUAUUCUAAAUUUUUUAUAAUUAUUUUUUUAUUUUAUAUAAUAUAUAAAUUAUAUAAUUAUUACUUCAUUGAUUCUAUUGUGGUUCAACCAUCGAUCCAAUCAAUAAACCACAAAUCGAUAACUUUUUCAAUCCAAUAACGGAUCUGGUUCUAAUUAUUACAAAUGGAAGUAAUUUAUUGCUUUGAGAAGGUUAAGGAAGGAAAGAUAGAAUAAGUCCUCCUCUAUCGAAGUCCCCUUUGGUAACUGGUAACAAAACCUAAGCUCUCCCUUGUAUAUUUCAUGACAUAAUUUUAAGUAAAGAGGUAUAUUUGGCAAAUAAUCAUUCUCUUCCCCUUACUUCCAUCCUGCUCACCGUCCUAGGAAAAAUUUAGCAUCUUCAACCUUGUACCACGCGUGCUCUCGGGUCCUAUGGCUUUGUUUCUAAUCCCCAUUUGCAAAAAGUUCAGUGUGUGAAGCCUAAGGGUCUUAACGAAAAAUCAUGGUAUAAAAUGUGAACCAACCAAAAGGCUUUAUCCAAUUCUUGUGGCCAUGCAAAGCCCUUGUCUUUCUCUAGCCGGAGACUUACUUGCAAGGCGACGGAAGUGUCGGUGGCGGAGGAGCCGUCGGCUGCGGGGGAUGGCGAGAACUGGGUGCCAGUGGUGCCGCUGUCGGCAUUGCCCAAGGGGGAGCGGCGCGUGAUUAUACAGGACGGAGAGACGAUUCUGUUGUUGUGAUUAUACACGAAAUUUAUGUGAAGAAUGAAAGGCUCUUUUGAGGCUCAUGCAAGCCAUGUAAGAAUUUCAUGUGGCCUAGUGUAUAUUAUUAUGUGAUAUUCAUUUAAAUAUCAAAUUAAAAAUUAUGGUCAAAUAAAUAAUAAAACUACCAGAAGUUAAUUUCCUAAAUUAAAGGUACUUUAAUGGAAAGCGUACGCCUUAUCUGAUCUUCUCUUCACCCUGUAAAAUAAAUGUUCUAUUUGAUCAAAUACACAUAAGAAAAAACCUAAGAGUAGAAGGGUUAAGAAAGAACAACACGGUUUCUACUUUGCUUAUUGUUUGAUCUCUUUAAGACUUCUAUAUGGAUUAAAAGUAUGUCUUUUCUCAAUAAUGGAAUUGUGAAAAUCAUAUUAUUCUAAAAUCCUUGACUAUUUUGAUUCAAACAAAAUUAGGAUUUGAUUUGCAUAAUUAAAUAAUUACUUAUGAGUUUCAUUGGUGAGCAUAUAAUACCACUGACAUAUGUUGAUUAAGUGACAUGAAUACUUUUGAUGUUAUUGUGAUGAAAUUUAUGAUAAUAAAAGUUUAUUUUAUCAAUUUUCAAUAUGUUAUAUACAAUGUAUGUUUAUGGCUAAUAUAUAAAGUGAAUGACUUUCUCGAUUUUUGAAUUGAUUUAUGCAUCAACCACUUUUGAUUGAACCAUAAGUAUGAUUUUGUUCAUGGUAUUACAUCUUUAUCAUCAAAAUAGAUAUAUAUCUAUAUGUAUGUGAAAUAGAUUAUGAAAAUACUAGAAGAGUAAACAUAUUGAAAGGAAGUACCACCUAAUUCAUAAAUAGUACAAAAAGGUGAUAUGCCAAUUGAGAAGAUACCUUUUGUAAAGAACCUAAUAGAUUCUUAUACUAAAACACUUAUAGGAAAAGUCUUUGAUUGUAACGGGGACAAUAUAGGUGUCAAAUAUGCACCUAAUUUACUUUUAUAGCAUUAUGUUUUGAGGGCUAAUGGAAGAUUGUUAGGAUAUCAUCCUACAAAGCAUUACAUGAUAUAAUUAGAAAUUUGGAUUUAUCAUUUAUUUAAUUAUAUUCUAAUUGCUCUUUUAUCUAUGCUUGUAAUAGAGAGUUCCCUAUAUUCAAAUCCCAACCCUAAUAUCAUAUAAAAUAAAGUUUCAUGCUAGUAGAAUAUCUAAAUAUAUUCUCGGUAGUUUUUGGUCAUCAUUGGCAUAACUUUGGGCUAUGCACAAUAACUUUCCAUAUAUUUGGCUUUUAGGUAUAAAUUUAAUUUCUAUAUGAAAUCGUUCAAUAUAUAACUUUUUGCUACAUGAGUCUAAAAGUUAUUAACUUCCAUGCAUGGUGCGACUGGUGGGGUUUCCAAUCACUUGGAAACCAUGUCCAGAUACAUAUGAAGAGAUCAAUAAAACCAACCUUCCACUUCCUACAAUAAUAGUUUACCAAGUGUAUCUUCAAUCCUAAGCCAGUCUGGUAUUCGGUGUUGCAGCUCCUGUAAACUGGCCUCUGCUUGGUCCAGCUCCAGAUAAAGCUGCUCUACUUCAGCUAUCUUCUCAUUCAAGCGCCUACGAAUCACGUCCCUCUUGCCCUCUGCUUGUGCAUACUCAACUAAAGGUUGCACUCCUGUAAACUGGCCUCUGCUUGGUCCAACUCCAGAUAAAGCUGCUCUACUUCAGCUAUCUUCUCAUUCAAGCGCCUACGAAUCACGUCCCUCUUGCCCUCUGCUUGUGCAUACUCAACUAAAGGUUGCACUCCAACAAAUGGGCUUCUUAACCAAUCAACCUUAACCCGCGCCCUUGAAAAGAAGAAGAAUUAGCUGAAUUAAUAUUAUUGAUGUUGAAGUGUGUAUUUAUACAAGGAGGUUUGAGAUCUUUUUCUACAAAUCAGAAAUCAGCUUACCAUAUUCUAGACUAUCCAGCUAUAAGUCAGGAAUUACAAUAGGAAAACUAACAUAUACAGAUCAUCUAUUCUUAAUAUGGAAGAUUUAGGAAGAUUGACUUUCCAACACUCCCCCUCAAGUUGGAGAGUGGAUAUCCUGCACUCCCAACUUGCGAAUCAUAGGAGCAAAAAUCUCCUUUCCCAAUGGUUUAGUUAGAAUGUUUGCAAGUUGGUGUGCUGAGCUCACAUGUCUUGUAAUAAUGGAACCAUCUUGGAUCUUGUCCCUAAUAUAGUGACAAUCCAUCUCAAUAUGUCUAGUACGCUCAUGGAAAACAGGGUUAGCUGCAAUGUGCAACGUUGCCUUGUUGUCACAAUACAGCAAGGCAGGUUCCUGAUGUAAAACAACCAAAUCUUUCAAAAGGUACCGAAGCCAUGUCAACUCACAACAAGCUCUUGUCAUUGCACGAUACUCUGCUUCGGUUGAAGAGAGUGACACUGUUUUCUGUCGCUUUGAUCUCCAAGAAAUCAAUAAAGGUCCAAGGAAUACACAGUAGCCUACAGUGGACCUUCUAGUAAGUGGACAACCUGCCCAAUUAGAAUCACAGUAGGCUCUCAAUCUAAAAUCAUUAUUCGAAGAGAAGAACAGACCCUGACCAGGUGUAUUCUUGAGAUAACGUACAACUCUGAACGCUGCUUCCAUAUGAGCCUUUCUCGGUUGAUGCAUAAACCAGCUUAACACAUGAACUGCAUAAGUGAUAUCUAGCCUCGACAUAGUUAGAUAUAUUAACCUUCCAACCAAUCUCCUAUAACGACCUUGAUCCUUGAGCAAAUCGCUCUUAUCAGACAAUUUCAAUCCUCGUUCCAUAGGUGUAUCAAUAGGGGCAGCGCCCAACAAUCCUGCAUCCUCAAUAAUCUCUAAUGCAUACUUACAUUGGGAAAUAAAAAUCCCAUUUUUAGAAACAGAAACCUCAAUGCCAAGAAAGUAUUUUAAAUCACCCAGAUCUUUGAGAUGAAAAUGACUAUGUAGAAAUUUUUUUGUUGUAGCAAUGCUCACAGGAUCAUUUCCAGUAAUCAGAAUAUUAUCAACAUAUAUCAAGAGGGCAGUAAAGGACUUGCCUUGUUUUCUGGUGAACAAAGAAUAAUCGACUCGAGAUUGUGCAUAACCGACGGAUUGAAUAGCUUCUGAGAACUUGGCGAACCACUGGCGAGAAGCUUGUUUCAGACCAUAGAGUGAUUUAUGAAGGCGACAUACCAAGUUUUCCUCCCCCUGUCGCCGAAGCCCUAGCGACGGAGACAUAUAUAUUUCCUCAUGUAAGUUGCCAUGAAGAAAAGCGUUGUUAACAUCCAUUUGAUGAAGAGACCAGCCACGGGCUGCGGCAAUGCAAGCAAGCAGCGGACAGAUAUGAUCUUGGCGGUGGGGGCAAAGGUAUUCUGAUAAUCGACACCUUCUAAUUAAGUAAAGCCUUUCGCUACCAAUCGUGCUUUGUAACGCUCAAUAGACCCAUCUGAACGGUGUUUAAUUUUAUACACCCAUCGACAGCCAAUCGUUGUCUUACCGGCCGAAAGUGGAGUGAGAAACCAAGUGUCAUUAGCUUGGAGAGCCUGCAAUUCAGAACACAUUGCCUCCUGCCACUCAGGAUGAGCGGCUGCUUCUAAAUAAGACCUGGGUUCUGUGACAGCACUAUGUUGAGCAACAAAAGAUCUAUAUGCAGGCUUAUAUCUGUGAUAAGAAACAUAAUUGGCCAGUGGAUGUGUACCUUUAGUUGGACCUGGAAUCAAGAAAGACGAUUGAUUGGAGGAAACGUGGGAACAAACAUAAUCGUGGAGCUUGAUUGGCGGGGCGAUAUGGCGGCUGGAGCGACGAAGAGGAGUGGCUGGUUUGGGUGAGUGUGUCUCGGCUGGAGGAACGGACGGGAUGGAUGCAAACGGUGGCACCGGAGAAGGCGAUACUAGAGUUGUAGAAGGCGGUGGUGAAGGGUUUGGAUCAAUCUGAGAAGAAGGUUCGAUAAUGAGUUCGGAAUGUCGAGAAAGAGAGGAAAAGUCGUCAUUUUCUGUGGUGGGAGACAGUGUGCUUGUGUGGUUGGAAAGAAGAGGGGAAAGUGCGUGAGAAGUAGAGUCAAGGGAGGAAGAGAUGUCGUGGGCCACCAAGGGGAUUGGGCCAGAAUUAUGGGUGAACGAAGAGAGAGUAGAGUUGGGCUUGAGAGAGACAUAAGGAAAAAUAUCUUCAUGAAAUUUGACAUCUCGGCUAGUAAAGACCUUUUUGGUUGAUAAAUCAAAUAAUUUGUAUGCUUUCUGACCAACAGGAUAACCAAUGAAGAUGGAUGGCAUGGCACGGUAAUCAAAUUUGUGAGAGGUGUGAACAUUGGUGGCAUAGGCUAAACAUCCGAAAACACGGAGAUGGAGUAAGAAGGUGGUUUUGAGUAAAGCAAUUCAAAAGGAGUUUUGAAAGACAAUAUUGGUGAAGGUAACCGAUUGAUGAUGUGUACGGCAAUGAGAGCACACUCCCCCCAAAAUUGAGUGGGAACUUGAGCAUGGAAUUUCAAAGCUCGGGCUACUUGUAAAAUAUGACGAUGUUUGCGUUCCACAACCCCAUUUUGUUAAGGCGUGUAAACACAAGAAUGCUGAAAGAUGACACCAUUAUCUUGAAAAAAAGGAACGAAGUGAGGUAAAUUCUCUACCAUUGUCACUUCGAAAAGUUUUAAUGCGAAAUUCAAAUUGUGUGAACACAUAGCUGAAGAAAUGUUUUAAAAGUGAUUGUGCUUCAUCUUUAUAUCGCAUUAAAAAUAUCCAAGUGAAACGUGUAUAAUCAUCGACAAUAGUGAGAAAGUAAUGGGCACCAAACAGAGAACGGUGUCGAUAACGACCCCAAAUGUCACAAUGAAUAAUCUCAAAAGGUUUUGUAGAAGAAAUAGCACUAGUACCAAAAGGUAAACAACUUUGCUUAGCCAAAGGACAUAUAGGGCAAGCAUUAUUGGACUGAACAAAAAAAUUCAAAAAAUUCUUGGCAAUGAAACUCAAACGAGAAGGUGAUACAUGGCCUAAGCAACUGUGCCAGAGAUCGGUGGAAGAGAUGGCGAGAUUGCAGGCUGGUUGGUUUGUGGAUGAGGAAUGGUUGGUUAAAGAUUUCUCCGUCGCUAGUGCCACCAAAUAGUAUAGUCCGUCACGUUGUUUACCCAAACCAAUCGUCCUCCUCGUAGCCAGAUCCUGCAAAAUACACCAAUAAGGGAAACACGUCACUGAACAAUUUAGACCUCUUGUCAAACGACUAACUGAUAUUAAAUCAACUUUGAAUGUAGGCACAGAUAAGACAUCAUGCAGAUAAUAGACGGAAUUCAGAGGCAAAGUCCCUUUCGUAACAAUAUUCGUUUUUUCUCCACUAGGCAACAAUACGAGCGGUAACGAGCAAUUUUUAUCUUUAUGCAAUAACUUAGAGGAUGAAGUAAUAUGAUCCGUCGCCCCACUAUCAAUAAUCCAAUUGCGAGAAGCGACUUUGGACAAACCUGGCUUUGUUACAGCAUUCACUUUGGAACUAGAGUUUUCAUCUUGGUUAUUAAGAAGUGACAAAAGUUGCUUGAGUUGGGCUUCUGACAAUGCAACUGCAGGUUUCCCUUCAUCUGCCUCAGAAACUUGGUUAGCUGCAGAAAAACUUUUAUUUCGAUUUGAGUUUGAGCCUAAGUUUAUUCUUGCUUUUGGAUGGUCUGGUGGGUAUCCAUGUAGUUGAAAACACUUUUGGACCCAAUGACCCAUAUCUCCACAAUACGAGCACUGGGGGCGUCCUCUUCCAGAACCCAUGCGGCGCCAAUCUUGAUCAAAAAAUGGUCUGCCAUCUUGUCCCUGAGAAGACCGAUUCACCCGGAAAUUUUGAGAACUAGAGGGGUGAUCAGUCGGUUCCAUCCUUCCUGUGUUCGAUCGAUCUAUUCCAUCCUUCCAAGUUGCCGAAGACUUGUCGUUGCUACGCACAGCCAUAGCAGCACUUGCGGCAGAUUCCGCUGCUGCGUUCGUCGAAGUGAGGAGGCGUUGUUUUUCUUCUUGAGAGACAGAGGAGUAUGCUUGGCGGACAGAAGGAAGAGGAUUCAUCAGGAGGAUUUGCCCGUGAAUAGCACUGUAAGAUUCAUUCAAACCCAUCAGAAAUUGCAUCAAUUUUUGUUGAUCUUGUUGUGCCCCAUGUGAUGCAGCGUUGUAGGAAGCCAGUUCAUCCCACAGGCCUUUCAAUUUUGUGUAAUAGGCAGAGACAGAGAGUUGCUCUUUUCAAAGACAAGCAAUAUCUCGCUGAAUUUCAAAGAUGCGAGGCGCAUUGCUCUGAGAGAAUCGCUCACAGAGAUCUUCCCAAACUUCAUGAGCAGUAGAAUAAUAGAUUACACUGUCCGCAAUUUCUGGAUUGAGAGUAUUGACGAUCCAGGAGUGAACCAUGUCGUUACACCGUGACCAAGUCGCAUAACCUUCAGGAUCAAUUUCUUCUGAAGGAGCCUUGAUCGAGCCAUUAACAAAACCCAAUUUGUUCUUGGAAUUUAAAGCUAGAAUCAUAGCCCUUUUCCAAGCUGAAUAAUUGUCUCCAUUCAAAGAUUUGGAAAUCAAAACCAAACCUGGGUGAUCUGAAUGGUGAGUGAAAUAGGGAUUGGAGAGAUCUGCCUUUGAGAAAUCCGUAGGAAUCUCUAAUUUUGCCAUGAUGAUUGAAGAAAAGAGAUGCUAUACGAGAGAUUAGAGUGUAGCAAUAAAUCAGGAUUUUAGUCCUGCUCUGAUACCAUGAAAAGAAGAAGAAUUGGCUGAAUUAAUAUUAUUGAUGUUGAAGUGUGUAUCUAUACAAGGAGGUUUGAGAUCUUUUUCUACAAGUCAGGAAUUAGCUUACCAUAUUCUAGACUAUUCAACUAUAAGUCAGGAAUUACAAUAGGAAAACUAACAUAUACAGAUAAUCUAUUCUUAAUAUGGAAGAUUUAGGAAGAUUGACUUUCCAACACCCUCUCCAAAUCACUCAAUGCUCUAUCAAUGAAGUAGGUGUCUGCACCAGACAGGCUACAGGCAGUAUUCUUCUGCAUCAGCUCCACAAUCUGCAGUAUGGAACCUUUGAUGAUCUCUACAAACUGGGGUGCUGUAAAGGAGCAAUUGGCAGUUACGUCUCCAUAUUUGGUCCAUAUUUGCUGCCAAAUCGACUCCCUGGUAUUGGAAGUUACACCAGAUCCCUCAACCAUCUCAAGAAGCCCUGCAGCAGCUGUGUUAGGAUCUGUGAGAGUUUUGUCUGUGUCCUCAGCUUCAGUUGGAGCGAAGGAAGUUUGGAUCUCCUAAAGCCCAAAAAAGAGAAGGAAAAGUAUAGAACUUGUGCUUGGAAUUAACCAACAAAAAAGAUUAAUUUUGAUGUAAAAGUGCCCAAGGAAAAAUAUUUUGGUAGUUUCAGUUGAAAAUUUUGACAAACCUUGUCAGCUCCCGAAGCACCUUCCACUUCAUCUGAAGGCCAAUUAAGUGUAUCUAGGCAUUGCAACCUGUGAUUAUGCUCAAGAUGAAGUUUUGUGAUCACCCAUUGUCCAUUGUCAAGUUUGACUUGGAUCUGGACAUUGCAACCUGUUCUUGUUUCUGAUCUCUGAUACUUUGUUCCCUGGUUGGGAUGCUUCUUGGUCCGGAAGCCUUCACAUGAACAAAGAAAGCAUCGCCCUUUCAGUGUACCAUUUGCUUUCCUUUGUACCUUUCCUUUUCUUACUGUAAAACCAAUUCUCUUGGCAUACUUUUUACAAAAUUCUUCAGCUUCUAACUCAGAAGAAAACGCCAUCCCUCUCCGUGGUAUCUGAUCAUCGUCUUCAGGAUUUUUCUCAUUUACAUUAACCAAUGUUCCAAUCUCAUCACCAUUUACAUUAAUAGCCAUUUCAGUCUCACCACUAUAGAACGAACUCCACCAAGAAUCAAAAUUAAGCUCAUCCUGUACAAAGUGAGAUAGAGAGAGAAGUUUUCUAUGAGAAAAAUGAGAAGCAAAAAGUGGUACAAUGCAUAACAAUAAUUUUCUUCUGUUACACCAACUAUUGAUUCAAACUACAUCUUAUCCUGUAACUCUUGUAGAACAAUGAAUUAAUAUAAGAAGAGUGACACUGUAAGACGGCUUAUAGACAAGUAGAUGGAGUAACCAAUUCUUGAUUUGCUGGUAGCAGCUUUAUUUGGGCAGAAAAGUUUUUGAAUUAUUUAUCUUUAAAAUUAACCGUUGUUCUAGAAAAUGGAUCGAGCUUACCUGGAUAGUGAGGCGCCUGAAGGUACCGCCAACUCUGUUGUGGUUUACUAAAUCAUCAGAUUCCUGUAUGGCACCCCGAACAUCUGGGCGUGAACCGAUGGAACUAUACCUGCAAGAUGAUAGGGUUCGAUAGACAUUCUGGUGCAGUUGAUGGGUGUGGAUCCAGAGGAUCGGUGCUUGAUUGCUUUGCUUCCGGCUGGUGCAGGACCCUCAAAUGUUUGGGAUCUCGCCUUCCCAAGCCAAGACUCCUUUUAUGGCUCUCGCAGCCUGCUGUGUGGGACAGCGUCCUUUUUCCUUGUUUGCUUUGCUUCCGUUCCCAAAUUCCAACCCACUGCGCUUUGACCAGAUGGUCCAAAUCUCCAUUUCUCGGCCACGUCGGUGCCUUUGGUGCUCUUUUCCCUUGUUUUAUUUCCUUCAGUGCCUUCACUACAAAAUACAUGGUCCCACCCACCGUUUUUAAAAUUCAACCCAUCUUAUCUAUUUAAGCAUCCGUUGUCUUUUUUAUAAUUCAAAGAUAAAGGUUUUUUAUCUUUCCUCCCAAGAGGCUACUACUCAAAAAGUCAAAACUUCAGAAACAUUAAAUAUAUAUAUAUAAAAUAGAGAAUUAUCAAAACGGUGGGCGGAAAGUGGUAAUCCUUUUUAAAAGUCAUCAUGUUGACCAAUUCUACUCCUCGGGUAAUCAUUUGAAAGAAAUUUUCAAUUAUAUCCUAUCUAAACUUUAUUUUUUUAUUUUUUUCUUUUGUAUUAUUAUUAUUAUUAAAUAUUAAUACUACUCUUAAUAUUAUUAUUUAUGAUAUUAGUAUUUUAAAUUUUCAUAUUAUUAUUAGUAUCAUUCUUAUUAAUAUUAUUUAUUAUUUUUAUGAUUAUUAUUCAUAUUUUUAAUAUUAUAUUAAAAAUAAUAUUAUUAUAUUUUUAUUACUACUACAAAGAAACCUUAGAAGAUAAUUUAUAUUUUUUCGUUCUUAGAACUUGUAAACUUUAUUAAAAAUUUAUUCUUUUUUUUUCAUUUUAUACUUUAUAUGUUAUAUUAAGAUUAAUUAAAUUAUUAUUAUUAUUAUUCUUAUUAUUGCUAUUAAGAUAUUAGUUUUAUAUUAUUAAUAUUUUAAUAAAAUAAUAUUAUAUCCAAGUUAUAGAUAUAAUAAAAAAUGCAUUGAUGUUAAUAAUAUAAUAGAAUAAAGCAAUGUUUCUAAUACUAUUAGAUUUGUUACAAAAUGUAAGUACAACAUUUAUCUAUUGAAUUUAUAACAUAAAUACAUUAAAAAUACGAUAUAGUACAACAUUUUUAAUAGUUUUCAUGUAAAAAUAAAAUAAAAUUUUAUCAUUUAAAUUUAUCUCAUUUUAACUGUUAUACAUUCCAUCAUGUUAAUGUCUUGUAAAUUACUAUUGCAUUUUUUUUCCCACAAAUAAUAGAUUCAUGUUUAUCAUCUCACAAAUAAAUUUUAAUUAGGAUUUAUAUUUAUUUUAAUUUUUAAAAUAUUUAUAAAUAUAAAACAUAAUACAAUAAUUUAGUUUACAACAUUAAACUUUACCUUGCUCCACAUCCUUUCAAAAAGCAAGGAUGACCUUGCCCCAUGUGCUUUCAAAAAAUAAGGAUGAAAAUAUGGAUAAUUAUGAAUAUAUCAGUUAUUUAAUUUUACUGAUACAUUAGAGAUGCGAAUAUUUUCAUACAAAUAUCGAUGAAUAAAAAAUUGAUCAAAACUCAUGAAAAUAUUAUGAAAAUCUCUAAAAAAAAUGAUAUAAAAAUAAUAAUAAUAGAAAUAUUGAGAUUGUUUUGUUAAAAUAAAUUGAUAUAUAUAUAUAUAUAUAUAUAUAUAUAUAUAUAUAUAUAUAAUAUAAGUUGUGAUAUUUAACAAUAAUGUUUAUAACUUGAAAACAUAUUUUAUGUAUAUACACCAAAUUUGAAUAUAUUUAACAAUAUAUAAGAAAUGAUAAUAAUUUGUAGAAGAAUUUUUUGUUUCACACAAUAACCAAAACUAAUUAAUUUAUAAUAAUUUUAUUAUAAUUAAUUUAUAACAUAUAUAUACAUUAAAUAUGUUCGAUUUAUAAUGUAGCAUGGUUGGUUGGCUGGUGGUGGGGGAUUUUCCCCAACUUGAGGUUCUACCUUUCAAAUGAGCGCAAUGUGUAGGCUGGUAAGCGAGCCCAUUGCAAGAUGUUUGAAAAAAAAAAAAAGGAAAAGAAAAAGAAAAAAAAUGAAUCAUGUGGCAUUGAAAUUAUUGGUGCAUCAGUCGUAUGUCGGCGAAAAAUGGCAAGAAAAAAAAAACUCAAUCGGUCAAUUUAAUCUACUAUUCUUAUAAACAAGUUUGUUUGGCUAAAGGGUAGAUUUCACAAACAUGCUUGGAAUCAAAAUAAAUUUCAAGAUUAAUUUUAGCAAGAACUUGAAGAGAACUGGAUGACGAGUGCCCAAGAUGCUAAUGCCAAAGAUUGGGAUGUUUACAAAUGGCAUAAGCCAAGGCUAGAUUUUGGUCUUGUGCUAGGUAGUAGAGGUCAUUAUGUUGCUUGCCCAAGCCAAUAGUCUUCCUUGUAGCAGUGUUUUACACAAUACAAAAAUUGGAAAAGAACAUCACUAUACAUUUAAAUGUCCAUGUUAGUUUACUAAAUGAUAGUAAAUUAACUUGAAAUUGUGAAACUUUGAGUACUUCAUCAAGUUUAAUGUGGGGUGAAAUAUUCAAUGAACUAAUCGACUUAAUAUGUGUUUGACCACCAUCUGGCAAACUAAUGGUGGUUAUCUUAUGCAAAUUUUUUAGAUCUAGUAAUUCAGUUGAAGAAGUCACAUGAUUUGCGGCUCCACUAUCAAUAAUCCAACACAUAUUUCUGAGUGUAGGUAAUCUUGAAUGAUUUUGGAUGAUAUAUUUAUACUUGUGGCAUUUGCAAAAUAUUGUGAGUUACCAUCAUUGUUUUUUUGAAUCAUGGCCAUUAGUUGGUCAUAUUCCUCAGUUGUGAGCCUUAAUCCGUCACUUGUUGGAAGAUAUUUUGCUUUUAUCUCCAUGACCUUGUUUGUUUCCACCUUCACAUUGUUUGCAUUUUAGUGACACUGAUUGGGAGACUUCACGUUCUUCCCAUGAAGCCUGUGACCUAUUGGAAAGCAAUAUAGGUAGUAACACUUCUCAAUGUUAUGAUAAUCACCGUCACAAUAAGAGCAAUGUAGCAAAGUUUUUUACCUUUAAACCUAGUGUGCUGGAGUCACCUUGUUGUGCCAAUCUGCAAGCAUGGCAUGACGGUUCAUGUUCCCAUGUUUGAUAUAAACUUCAACCUGUUUUUCUUAUUGAAGGACAAGUGAGUAAACUCGACAUGUAUCAGGUAGAGGUUGCAUAUCAAUAAGAUUUGUCCAUGAAUGGUAGCAUAACUAUCAUUCAAUCCCAUGAGAAACUGCAUAACUCUUUCUUUCUCAUCCUUUUCCUUGAGUUUCUCCAACCCUCCACAAGAGUAGGAUAACACUUCAUGAUAGGAUGAAAGUUCAUCCUAAAAAGCUUAAAGCUUUGUGUAGUAAACCGAAAUUGAUUGUUGGCUCACCUAUGUUCCAUGAUUUCUCGUUUGUUUUAAUAAAUUCUUGAAUUAUUUCCUUGAAAAAAGCAUUCUUUUAGAUCUACCCUAACUUUUGUUGAAGUUUCAACAUAAAUCACACUGUUGAUUAUGUCUGGAUGAAUGAAAUUCAAUAACCAUGAGAUCACCAUAUCAUUGCAUCAUUGCAUCAUUGCUAAGAAGGAAAACUAUCAUAUGUCAAUGGAGUUGGAGUCAGCUUGAUUGAACCUAUGACAAAUCCAAUCUUAUCUUUAGUACUCAAACUAAUUCUCAUACCCCGACUCCACGUGUUGUAGUUAUCUCCUUCAAGUACCUUAGAGAUGAGUACCAUACUCGGAUGGUUCGAGUGGUGUAGAGAGAAGGAAUGUGAGGCUUCUAUGGUAGCCUUAGACGAUGUCAACAAUCUCAUUCUGUUAUUAAUGUCCAUGGCAGCAACUGUAACAAGGAAUUAGGUUGCAAAAAUAUUUGGAAGAAUUCAAAGCCACCAAGUUUGGUGCUUUGAUACCAUGUCAAAAACAAAGUAAAACAGAAUAUUUUGGAAAUCUUCAGUAUAUUGAAUGUUUUGACUUACAAAGAAAAAAAUACAUAUAUAUAAAACAUCAGUUAGCCUAUUAUAGGAAACUAUGUGUAAACAGAUCAAUUACAAUCAAUCAAAAAAAUAAUCUCAUAUUAACAAAUCUUAUCCUAAAAUUAUGAGAUUCUUGAUUCUUUUCUUGUAAUAAGUUCCACGGUUGGAGUCAAAUAAAGCUCCAAUAAAUGUUCCAUUUUACCUUGAAUAUCUAGAAACUUCUUGAGCCCUGAGCAGCCAAAGAAAUUAAGAAUUUCAAGUGCUUCCAUUUUGAUGAUGCUCUAAAAAUUGCUAAGCUUUUUGCAGUUUUUCAAACUCAAUAAAAUAAGCUUGCUAAGCUUUCCAAUAGAUGGGUGGACCUAAAGCAAACUUGAACAACCAUCAAGAAUUAGUUUCUCCGGAUUGGGCGCACUAAAUGUGAUGUCUGGAAUUUCAAUUAGGUGUUGAAGAAGCUAUAACCAAAAAUAAAAAAGAAAAACCAAUAAUAAUAAUUACUUUAGUAUAUAAGCUUUCAUGGAGUUUAGAGAUUAACUAAAGAAGAAACAUGAAAAAAAUAAAAUAAAAUCACUCAUCAUACCAUGUCAUUUUCACAAAGUUGUUUUAAGCUGCUAUGACACAUGUUAAGUUCUACAAUGUCUUUUGCAUAAAAACUUUAAUAGUUUUUAUGUAAAAAUAAAAUAAAAUUUUAUCAUUUAAAUUUAUCAAACUUUAACCGUUAUACAUUCCAUCAUUUUAUCGUCUUGUAAAUUACUAUUGCUUUUUUUUUCCCACAAAUAAUAUAUUCAUGUUUAUCAUCUCACAAAUAAAUUUUAACUAGGAUUUAUAUUUAUUUUAAUUUUUUAAAUAUUUAUAAAUAUAAAACAUUACACAAUAAUUUAGUCCCAACUCAAGACUUUACUUUGUUCCACACCAUUUCAAAAUCCAAUGAUAAAAAAAUAUCGAUAAUCAUGAGUAUAUUGAUAUUUUGAUUUUAGGAAUAUAUCAUAGAUACGGAUAUUUUGACGUAAAAUGUCGAUGGGUCAAAAAUUUGAAUGUACUUAAUAAUAUAGAAGAAAUAAUGAUAAUUUGUAUAAGUAUUUUUUAUUUUAAAAUUUUGAUAAUUUUAUUCAUAAAUUUAUAUUUAUUUUGUAUUUAACACAGUAAUCAAAAUUAAUUUAUUUAUAAUAAUUUUAUUUGAAUUAAUUUAUAUAUAUAAUUAUAUUUGUUUAUAUAGAUAUAUGGUUUAGAGCCCGUUUGACAGUGAUUUUUAAAAGUGUUUCUACCCUUAAAAACACUUUUAAGUGUUUUUGGGAUGAAAAUAAAGUGUUUGGCAAAUUUUAAAAAACACUUUUGAAAAUCUGGAAAAACACUUAAAGUGAUUUUUAGAGAAUCACUUAACAGGUGUUUUUUUUUAAAAACACUUCAAUUUUUUUGAAAUAUUCCAAAAAUGCCCCCCAGUGGUCAUAUAUUGUUUUACUUUUAAAAUUAUCUUUUAUUCAAUGUUUUUUUUUUUUUUAUUGAUUUAGAUGUUUUUUGUAAAUAUUUUUUAAAAUUUUAGUAUAGUGAUAAAAAAAUUAUUAUUUUUAAUUAGAAAAGUCUUUUUCUUUUUUAGAAAUUAAUAGGUAAAAUCAUAUAUUGUUUUAAUUUUAAAAUUAUCUUUUAUUCAAUGUUAUUUUUUUAGUGAUUUAGAUGUUUUUUCAUUAAUAAAAAGUUUUUUUGUUUAUCAUACCAUUUUUUUUAAUUAAAAUUGUAUGUCCUUUUUGGUAAUUUAUUAAUAUUAAAAGUGUUUUUAUAUUUAUACAAUAUAUUAUCAAAAACACUUUAGAAUCAUUUUUUCUGAUUAUCAUAAAAGUGUUUUUCACAUAAACACUACAGUAGAAAACACUUCAAAUAAAAACACUUCCACUAGAAUCACUACCAAACGGGCUCUUAUAUAUGUAAUGCUGAGAAUGAACAUAUAUAUUAAAUAUGUUCGGUUUAUAAUGUAAAACAUGGUUUUCCCAAGCUCGAGGUUUUACCUUUAAAGUGAGCGCAAUGCGUGGGCUGGGAAGUGAGCCCAUUGCAAGAUUUUUGAAAAAUAAAUUAAUAUUUUAAUAUCCCUCACUUAAAAAUAAAUUCUCUUAUAGCAUGUUGAGACAAAAUAAAUAAAUAAAUAAAUAAUGGUCUAUAGAAAGCAGGUGGGUCAACAAGGACCCUUUGUCUUCGAUGAUCUCACUGGCAUUUAAUUUACUUGUUGCAGAAACUGCCUGUUCCUUACACUCUGCGAGUUUUGCUCAGACUUGACUUUCACAACUCAAAUUUCAGAAUCCAUCUUCUCUGCCGCCUCGUAAUGGCUGAUCCUUCUUUCCAACGGAGCUAUGAUGUGUUCCUGAGCUUUAGAGGAGAAGACACCCGCAAUAGCUUCACUGCCCAUCUCUAUAAGGAGCUACGCACCAAAGGAAUCAACACGUUCAUUGACGAUGACAAGCUUGAGAGGGGUGAUGUCAUUUCUUCUGCGCUUGUUGCGGCUAUUCAAAACUCCAAGUUUUCUCUCGUUGUUUUGUCAGAAAAUUAUGCAUCUUCCGGGUGGUGUUUGGAGGAGCUGGUGAAGAUUCUAGAGUGCAUGAGAACCAUGGGACAGAGGGUUCUCCCCAUUUUCUACGAUGUGGAUCCCUCGCAUGUAAGACAGCACAACGGAAAAUUUGGAGAAGCACUGGCUAAACAUGAAGAAAAUUUGAGAACUAUGGAGAGGGUGCCGAUUUGGAGGGAUGCUCUCACUCAAGUUGCCAAUUUAUCCGGUUGGGAUUCCAGGAAUAAGUAAUUCUCUACAGCUUUCCCAUCAUCAUCUUCAUCCUCAUAUCACUAAUUUCAAUAUAUGCAUCUGUUCAUUAAUUAUCUUGUUUACUUUAAUUUUACCUUUCUCUUUUUGAGUGAUGAACUAAUUUCAUGUUUAUACUUCAAAUUUGGCAGGCAUGAGCCUAUGCUUAUCAAGGGAAUUGCCACUUAUAUUUGGAAUAAAUUGUUUAGUAGAUCCUCAAAUUAUGCUGAUCAGAACCUAGUUGGAAUAGAAUCUAGCAUACGAGAAAUAAAAUCCCUGCUAUUUACCGAGUCUCUAGAUGUUCGCAUGGUGGGGAUUUGGGGCAUGGGCGGCAUAGGUAAAACAACCCUUGCCAGAGCUGUUUAUAACCAAAUCUCUCAUCAAUUUGAAGCUUGCUGCUUUCUUGAAAAUGUCAGUGAUUAUUUGGAAAAGCAAGAUUUCCUUAGCUUGCAAAAGAAAUAUCUUUCUCAACUAUUGGAAGAUGAAAAUCUAAAUACAAAAGGAUGCAUCUCUAUAAAGGCUUUGCUUUGUUCUAAAAAGGUUCUCAUUGUCAUUGAUGAUGUGAACAAUUCAAAAAUAUUAGAAGACUUGAUUGGGAAGCAUGGUUGGUUUGGUAUCGGAAGUAGAAUCAUCAUAACAACAAGAAAUAAGCAGUUGCUAGUUACACAUGGGGUGAAUGAAGUCUAUCAGGCUGAAAAAUUAAAUGAUGAUAAUGCGGUUGAGCUCUUCAGUCGAUAUGCCUUUAAAAAAGCCCAUCCUAUAGAUGAUUAUGUGGAGCUCUCUCAAUGUAUAGUGGUUUAUGCUCAGGGCCUUCCAUUAGCUCUUCGAGUUUUAGGUUCAUUUUUAUUUGAUAAGAGCAAACGGCAAUGGGAAAGUCAGUUGGAUAAACUAAAAAAAAUUCCUAAGAAGGAAAUUCAAGAUGUGCUUCGAGUAAGUUUUGAUGGGUUGGAAGAUAACGAGAGAGAUAUAUUUUUGGACAUCGCAUGUUUCUUUCAAGGGCAUGAUAAAGAUUAUGUAAUGGAAAUAUUCAGAUCUUGUGGUUUCUUCCCUGAUAUUGGAAUAAGAGUUCUCAUUGAGAAGUCUCUUAUAUCUGUUGUUGAGAAUAAAUUGAUGAUGCACAAUUUGUUACAAAAAAUGGGUCGGGAAAUUGUUCGUGAAGCAUCUCCUAAGGAACCUGGAAAACGCAGCAGGUUGUGGAUUCAUGAUGAUGUAAAUCAUGUAUUGACAAAAAAAACGGUAAGAGACAAAUGUAUAAACCCUUUUUUUAUAUAUAUAGGUAAUUAGGUUGGUCUAAAGUGCAACUUAGGAAGUACCAACUUUGUUUAAUUGCGUAGUUUAGUAUGUAUAUAAUUUUACUCACUUAUCCAUUACUCUUUUUUGCUAGGGAACCGAAGAAGUUGAAGGAAUAUCCCUUGACUUGUCCAGUUUGAAAGAGAUAAAUUUCACUAAUGAAGCUUUUGCACCGAUGAAUAGGCUCAGAUUGCUCAAAGUCUAUACAUUGAAUUUUCUCAUGGACUCCAAAAGAGAGAAGUGUAAAGUGCACUUUUCCCGAGGCUUUAAAUUUCACUGCGAAGAACUGAGGCACCUAUAUUGGUAUGAAUACCCUUUGAAAUCACUGCCCAAUGAUUUUAACCUCAAGAAUCUUGUUGACCUCAGCAUGCCUUAUAGCCAAAUAAAACAACUUUGGAAAGGGACCAAGGUAUCGCUAUGAUUUAUCCAUGUUAUUUUAUUUAGAUUGUAUGUACCGUUCAUGAAAAAUCAUCUUCUUAAGCCUUGUUUCUUUCACUGCAGGUUCUUGAAAACUUGAAGUUCAUGAAUCUCAAGCACUCCAAAUUCUUAACGGAAACCCCGGAUUUCUCAAGGGUUACCAACCUUGAACGGUUAGUUUUAAAAGGUUGUAUAUCUUUGUAUAAGGUUCACCCAUCACUUGGAGAUUUGAACAAACUCAAUUUCUUGAGUUUGAAAAAUUGCAAAAUGCUGAAGAGUCUUCCAAGUUGCAUUUGUGAUUUGAAAUGCCUUGAAGUAUUUAUUCUUUCUGGUUGCUCAAAAUUUGAAGAGUUACCUGAGAAUUUUGGGAACUUAGAAAUGUUGAAGGAAUUUUGUGCGGAUGGAACUGCUAUUAGGGUACUUCCCUCCUCUUUUUCUUUAUUGAGAAACCUUGAAAUAUUAUCCUUUGAGAGAUGUAAAGGACCACCACCAUCUACCUCAUGGUGGUUGCCAAGAAGAAGUUCAAAUUUCAGUAAUUUCGUAUUGUCUCCUUUGUCAAGUUUAAGCUCCUUAAAAACUCUAAGCCUAAGUGCCUGCAAUAUAUCAGAUGGAGCAACUCUUGAUAGUCUUGGCUUCUUAUCUUCACUGGAAGAUUUAGAUUUAAGUGAGAACAACUUUGUUACUCUGCCUUCAAAUAUCAGCCGACUUCCUCACUUGAAAAUGCUUGGGUUGGAAAAUUGUAAAAGAUUGCAAGCACUGCCAGAGCUUCCAACAAGCAUACGUAGUAUAAUGGCUCGUAAUUGCACAUCAUUGGAAACAAUCUCAAAUCAAUCAUUUAGCUCCCUACUAAUGACUGUCAGAUUGAAGGAACAUAUCUAUUGCCCAAUAAAUCGGGUGAGAUUUUCCUCCGGUAUAUCAUAAUUCAAUUUCCCACUAAAUAAUGCACAAUUUAAUUUCAUUUGUGGUAGUGUAAAAUAAAUGUCGAAUGAUUUAAGAUGGUAAAGCAGCAAGCAAUUUCUAUCUCUACUAACAUCCUCAUCAUGUUCAUUCUACAGGAUGGACUUUUAGUUCCUGCACUUAGUGCAGUUGUUUUUGGGAGUAGAAUACCAGACUGGAUAAGGUACCAGAGCUCAGGGAGUGAAGUAAAAGCAGAGCUACCUCCAAACUGGUUUGAUUCCAACUUCCUGGGUCUUGCUUUGUGUGUUGUCACUGUUCCCAGGCUGGUGUCACUUGCUGAUUUUUUUGGUCUUUUUUGGAGAUCAUGUACCUUGUUCUAUUCCACAUCCAGUCACGCUUCUUCCUCCUUUGAUGUUUACACUUAUCCAAAUCAUCUUAAGGGAAAGGUGGAGUCAGAUCACUUGUGGCUGGUUUAUGUACCGCUUCCCCACUUCAUCAAUUGGCAGCAAGUCACUCACAUCAAGGCUUCAUUCAGAAUAACCACCUUCAUGCGCCUUAAUGUAAUUAAGGAAUGUGGGAUUGGUCUAGUGUAUGUUAAUGAAGAGUUGAAUUACUCUCCCUUCUCUCCUCCUCCUAAUGAGUCAUCUGUUGUCCUUCAAGAAAUCCAUGGGGAGGGAUCUAGUGGAAGUGGGAGCUCUAAUAUUGAUGGCUCAGAAUCAGAGAACUCCGAUUACUAUUCUGCUGAUGAGGGGGAACCCUCUGCACCCCUGCUGUAAGGAUCACUCUCAAUCAGAGAUGUGGCCAGAGAAACACUUGCAAUGCAGCCAUUAUCAGAGCAUCCCUUGAUGAGGAGGAACUAGCCAGACAAAUGCCUGAUUUGCACCCAAAUCUUUCCAUAACAACUCUUGGUGAGUUGUGUGCUUCCUUUGUUUCUUUUCCUGAAACUGACUUUGAGUUGCUUAGCAAAAUACCUUACUUUCUAGUAUUCUGGAAACAUCAUAACUGUUGGAGUUUUUGGGUUGUGUAUUAGUGGUGUUGCUGACUAGUUUUUGGAGUUUGAUACAUGUUGGGUUGUUGUUACUGGUUUUUGCUUCAAGUUUGCCUUGAUACAUGUUGAGUUGUUUAGCAAACUCUCUUGACAGAUUUUGGUUUUCUUUCGCACAAGGUAUUGUGAUACAUCUCUGUUCAUAUUCCCAUUUUCAUUCUUAUUCUCAUGUACUAAACAUAUACCCUUAAGGGCAUAUGUUCUCUUCCAAUGUUAGAACGAAACAGAUCAUGAUCAUUGUUUUUGGGAUAUGUUCUUUUAUCUGAAUAUGAUAGAGCUAUUACAGUUAAUGGUUACUUCGUAAGAAUUGUAAAUUCUUCCAUUGAUAUUAUACCAUAUUUUGUACUUUCAUCUUGAUGGGUUCUAAGGUAAUCCAUGGCUCAUUUUUCAUUCAUUUUGUUAGUAAUGAUGUAUAAGAUACUCGUAGCCAAUGUUUUGAAAAUCAGACCAGUCGUCCAACCGAUUGAACCGUCAAUCAGCCAUCUCUCUAGUCUGAUUUGCCCUAAGGAACUGUUUUCAUAUUAAGCCAGUGUUGAACUGCUUGAGCCGGUCUGGUUUACCCUAGGGAAUCAUUUUUAUAUUAUACCGAUGUUGAAUUGCUCGAGUCGAUGGUUGGACCAUCUAAUUGGAUGGACUGUCCGGCUUCCUAAGAGUAGUCAAGCCCAAAACCAGGCCAAAUUUGCACUUGUUGUGGAAGCCCAAUAGGCGUCACAACCAAUCACCCAUUAAAAGUCGAAACAGAUUGAGUCCAAAAGGGUUUGAUGAUCAGUCAUUAUGGUCCGACUAGUAAAUCAUAAACUAGUAACUUUUCUAAUUCAAUAAUCGAUUCGGUUUUGAAAAUAUUGCUUAUAACUUAGGUUGUUUCUUCAUUUUCUACCGAGAAUGUUGUCUUAUAAUGCAGGCAAACUAUCACCAAUGGAGAAAACAUAGAGAAAAGAAGAGUUUUAUUUUUCAAUUUGUUUAGCCAAUAAAUACCUUUCUUUAAUUUACUUUUCAAAUAUGAUGACGUUCAGAAAUUAGGAAAACUUGCCCAUGAAAAUAUAAAACUUGGGUCUGCUCUGGAUUAAAGAGAAAUCAGACUUGGCGGUACAUGGAUGUUUGCCCAAAUAUAUGAAAUUAAUUUAAGUGAAAUUAGGGGAAAAGUAUACUAAUACCUGGAUUCUAGCAUAUAGUAAUGGUUAGGCUGGGAACUUGAAAAUAAAUUUUUUGUUCUUUGGAACUGAAAUAAUUUUCAGUUGACAGAUUUUAUUAUUCGAAACAAUUUUAUGGAGAAUUUAUUCUUAAAACAUAAUAUUUUUUAAGAAUAUAUUGAAGGUGUUUUCUUAAAAUAUUAUAAGAAAUAAUUGAAAAUGUAAAGAAUAUUUUAAAUAUUUUUGCAUUAUACAAUAUUUUCAUGAAAAACAAAUCAAGAAAAUUGCUUUUUCAAUACAAUAUUUUUAAGAACUAUUUUUAUUUAUUUUUUAAAUGUUAUCUAAGAAAACCCUAUACCUAAAAAAAGUCGCCAUAAAGCAUAGAAACAAAACGGAGGCAUAAUACCUCCGGAGGCACUGUAGAAUUUUUCAGCAUAAAAAGGUUGUUGUUAUUCUGAUUUGUUAGGUCAGUCUAGGUAACAAAACCUAAGCUAUCCCUUGUAUAUUUCAUGACAUAAGUUUAAGUAAAGAGGUAUAAUUAGCAAAUGAUCAUUCUCUUCCCCUUACUUCCAUCCUCCUCACUGUCCUAAGAAAAAUUUAGCAUCUUCAACCUUGUACUGCGUGUGCUCUCGGGUCCUAUGGCUUUGUAUCUAAUCCCCAUUUGCAAAACGUUCAGUGCGUGAAGCCUAAGGGUCUGAACAAAAAAUCAUGGUAUAAAAUGUGAACCAACCAAAAGGCUUUAUCCAAUUCUUGUGGCCAUGCAAAGCCCUUCUCUUUCUCUGCCCCACUUUCCACCCACACCUCUCACUCCACCCCCCUCACCUCCUCUCUCUCUCUCACCUCCCACUUCUCCAUGGCCACCGCCGCUGCCACCAAGCUCACGCCCCAUCUCCUCUCUCUCUCCUCCCCCCUCCGUCGCCGGAAACCCCUGCUGCACCACCUCCCUCCGCCGCUGCCCCGGAAUGACCGUUCUUCUGCCUUAACACUGGGACUCUCUAGCCGGAGAAUUACUUGCAAGGCGACGGAAGUGUCGGUGGCGGAGGAGUCGUCGGCUGC
rnacentral:lncRNA from 1 species